rnacentral:lncRNA from 1 species
CAAAAUUGAAAUUUCAUGAAAAGGUUUUUGCAUUGGUGUCUUAUAGCGAGCGAUAAAUUCGUUGGACACGAGUUGCAUUGUAGGUCGAGACUUUGGUUGAGAACGCAAGCAUGAAAAUGCUACUGUUGAAACAAGAAUGAUAUCCUGCCUAAUCUUUUGAUCCACCGGAGGUGAGAAGCGUGGGUCCAGCAAAUCAAUCAGCUUAAUAUUUUUAUCUAAUGACGAAGAUAACGAUGAGAGGAGCUCUCCAGGAUGCUUUCCCAUUAGUACUUCUAGUGCCUCCACUCCGAAGCUAUAAACAUCAGAUUUCUCCGUCACAAUCAUGGUAUAGGCCAGUUCUAUCGGAAAACAGAAGCCUUUAUUAGUGAUAUUUCGUAUAUAAUAACAAGAGCAAUUUGUUUAUAUUUUUGAGCUUCUGCAGCAAGGUAUGACAAAGAAACAUAUGUUUUUAAUUGAUAUUUAAACUGUGUAUUUUUUUUUUUUUUAAAAAAAAGUUAAACGGGUAGGCAAAGUUCAAAUUUAUCUUUCUAGCUCCUUACCUAUUCCAAAAUUCGAACCUAAGUAGCUAACUAAAUAAAACUGCUUAAAACUUACUUAACAGAGUGCAUAUAGAAAUUAAUUAAAAGAAUAAUUAAAGAAGCAUAAGAAGAACGGCUAGAAGAUUACCUGGAGCAAUAUAUCCAUAAGUGCCAGCUAACAUGAGCCAUGCCCCUCACAGUGUUCACCCUUUUAGCCCAAUCCAAAUCAACAGCUUCCUCAUCUGUGCGUAGAACACAGAACAAGCUUCCCAUUUCCAUGUACUCAUAGAUUAAGAACAUGCAUUUCCUGUGCAAACAAAACCCGUAAAGCUUUACGAUAUUUCGAUGCCGUAUUUGGGACAGUAGACGAGCCUCAUUCCGGAAACUCUCGAGGGAAGCUAACUCCUCAGUUUCUGAACGGUGAAGCUUCUUCAAAGCAACUACUUUUCCACUGGGUAGUCGUGCUCUGUAAACGCUGCCGUAGCUUCCGGUUCCAAUGCAGUAUUUGAUAUGGAAAUCCUCGGUAGCUUCAAUCAUGUUUUGAAAUGUAAUUUUACCGUCGUAAUUCCAAAUUGCAAACUCAUCAGCGCACUUGGUGAUUUCUCCUGUCUCAGCUGGUUCAACUCUCUUAUCCCUUCGUCUACGGACAAACAAGAUUCCAAAUAUCAAGGCAAGCAAUGCGACCAUAGGGAGAAUAAUUGCAACCAAGCGAGUGGCAAUCUUUUUGUGAUGUGGCGGUGGCGAAUUUGCCGAAGUAUUUGGGAUUUUUACCUCGAAAUUGUUGCCUGACACAUAUAAGAGAGGCACUUUUUUGACAGAUUCAGGGAUACUACCGGAGAGGUUAUUCAUGGAAAGGUCCAUGGUGCGUAUGCGUGGAAUUUCUCGAAGCUGGGAAGGUAUUUUACCAUUAAUGGAGUUAUGGCUCAGAUUAAGAUAAUUUAGUUCUUGAAGUUUGUUAAUCUCUGACGGGAUGCUUCCACUUAACAAGUUGUUUCCCAAAUCUAAUUCCCACAGCUUUGAGCAAUUCAUGAGUUUUGGAGGAACUCGACCAUCAAGUUUGUUGUCGUACAGGUCAAGAACUUGAAGAACCUUCAAACUCCCGAUUCCUAAUGGGAUGGAACCAUUAAUUUGGUUUGAGGCAAUAGCCAAAGUAGUUAGCUGGGUUAGAUGACCUAGAGUUGGAGGGAUAUUACCAUGAAGGGCGUUAGAAGACAAGUCCAAAAUUUUCAAUUUGCUUAGAGACCAAGAGUUGGAGGGAUAUAUCCCAAGAGGUAAUUAUUAGAUAGAUCCAGGUGGACCAGAUUCCUCCAUCUCCCCAUCUCUGAAGGGAUAAUUCCUGUUGCGCAUGUGAUUUAUGAAAAAUGAAAUCAGUAUUCACUAUCCUCAUAUAAAUAAAAUUUAUAAAGAAAUGCUUAGGUUGUAAAAAUUAAUAGAUUUUUUAGUGCUCCAAUAGUUUUUUUAUUCUUAUUUUUUGUUGGGGCUCGUCAAUGCUGCAUAUUUUUUACUGAAAGUUAAAUCCGCAGAUGCAACAAAUAUAUCAAUAAAUUAAUACAAAACUAUGGAGAGUGGAGAGAAUCACUCUCAGUGCUCUCAAUUGACUAUCCUAUUGUGUAAAUACAAAAGUAAAUUUAGUAAAUUAAUGAGGAACUGUAUAUGUGUGAAAUUAGAAAUAGUGCUUUUGAUUUUUAAUCAUAUCUUUUAUAGGAUAACCCUGAAUUUUAAUGCAAAGGGGAAAAAAAGAGAGGAAAAGAUACAAACCAAAAAUGCUUAAACCUGCCUUCCUUAAUAAUUACGUACAACUUGUAAUCGCCCAAUGUAACAAUUGCAAUUGAUGGAUGCAAUUUGGAAAAGAAACUGACACUUGAAGCCGAUUCAUUUCAUACAAAAAUUGAAGGAAAAAAAGCCAACCAGCAUAUUCUCCAAAUUAAAACACUACCGAAGUAAUAAACAAAGAUGUAGAAAUUUAUUAUAUAGUUUCACUUUCACACAACAAAAAUGUGCUUAGACGACCAAGAGUUGGAGAGAUAUUACCAUCAAUGCCGUUAGAAGACUAUAGUUUCACUUUCACACAACAAAAAUGUGCUUAGACGACCAAGAGUUGGAGGGAUAUAUCCCCAGAUGUAAUUAUUAGAUAGAUCCAGGUGGACAAGAUUCCUCAAUCUCCCCAUCUCUGAAGGAAUAAUUCCUGUUGCGCAUGUGAUUUAUGAAAAACGAGAUCAGUAUUCACUAUCCUCAUAGCAAAUAAAAUUUAUAAAGCAAUCCUCGUAAAAAAAAACUUCUUCAGUGUUGUAAAAACAGACGCCUGCUUCAAGCAUGAGCACGACUUCAUACAUACAUACAUACAUACAUAUAUAUAGUGAAGUUUCGUAGCAUACCGGUAAGAUAGUUGGAGGACAGUUCAAGAGUUUGGAGCAUUGAAAGGGCAGUAAUUUCAGAUGGAAUGCUCCCAGAGAGAAGAUAAUUUGAAUGAAUUUUGAAACUUCUGAGGUUCGGAAAGCAAGAGAAUUUGAAACGACCAAGCUCUCCUUCGAUGUUAUCAUUUUCAUACCAGAGUAAGCUGACCCCGAGUACGCUUCCCGCUGAAUUGCAACUGAUGCCAGUCCACUUAUAAUGAUCGGACGUGGAGUUGCCCGUCGCCCAAUUGUUGAUCCACCAGCCUGUACCAAGUAUAGCUUCCCUUUCUAACUGUAUGGGUGACGACAACAAUCCUGCAGCUGAUGCUAUUACAAAUACUGUCGUAUCACUUAUAGCACCAACAUUUAUUAAAAUUAUAAUGACCACCAGUCUCGAAACAGAGGACGCUGAUGCCAUGUUUAUGGUGGUUUUCGGUUGAUUGAGCAUUUGAUUCUCAGCAAAGCGUUUAUAUAAGAAUUAAUUGUUUUGCAACUUCCCGGUGUUAAUUUCCAACACGCGUUUUCAAAUAGUGUGAGUCAAGGUCUUCUCUAGAUGGAUUUAAUCAUGGAGAUAUAACCUUAUCGGCUUGUAUUUGUGAGGUGUAGAUCUAUUUGAACAACAUUGCAGAAACAUGAGAUAAUACGGACAAUAUUAGAAAUAAUUAAUAGCAUUAUUAGUAGUAUAAGAUAUUAAGUAUUACCCAAAAUAAGAAAAGGAAAACCGUUCAAAGAAAAUAAUUGUUAUAAAUAAUGGCUCAAAUAGGAAAAUAAACAAGACUAAUCAUAUCUUUUGUAACAUACAUACCAUAGCUCAUGGGCUAACUAACAUUUUUUUUUUUAACCCUAAACAUCAUAAAUGAAAGAAGAUGAAAUUUUCAUUACCGCUCAAUUUUUCUGCACGCAACCAAAUUUUUUUUAAAAAAAAACAAAAAGAAAGUGUUAGAAAAAUAAUGCGCAAGUAGCUACUUGAGGCAUGAUUUUGAAUGAGACCUUUUUGGUAUAAGUGAAAAUUCAGAAAUUGUUUCGCAUAUUCCUCUAUGAGUACUUCGGAAUGUUAUCUAUACGAUCAAAAUGAUCCUCAAGUGAAUGAGAAAUUAUUACUCAAAGUGCACUCAUGAAUUUGAAAAAUUAAAGGAAAAUACAUUUGUCCCACAUUGGAAAGAUUUAUACAUAAUUACUAGAUGAACGGUAAGCUAUUAUAAGCAAAGGGGCGUUCCUUGUGCACGGUCACGGGAGUGCAAAUUUUAACCACCCCAAUUAGCUUAACCAGUGUUCAUAUUGGGGGUGUUUACCCGACCCUUAGUUGGGGUUAGCUAAUGUGGCAACUUAGUUUGCCUUUUUUUUUUUUUCUCUUUGUAAUAAUAAUAAUAACAAAUUAAUAUAAUUUUUUAAUUUAAUAUUAUAUUACAUAAUAUUAAAUUAUGUUUUAAUUUUUAUUAUUUUAAAUAUAUAACUAAACAUUGUAUUAUUUAAUUGUAUUAUUUUAAUUAAUAUAUAAAAUUAUAUUAAUUAAUCUUUAAUAAGUUAAUAUAAUUAGUAAUAAAUACUUAAAUAAUAUAAUAUUACAUUAUUAAUUAUAGUACAAUAAUUAAUUUAGCUAUUUUUAAAUAAUUUAAUAUAACUAACAAUAAAUAUUUAAAUUUGAAUAAUAUUAAUUGAAAAUUAAUAAUAUAAAUAAUUACUGGAUUAUUUAGCUCAAUUAUAUCACUUUAUUAUUCUAUAAUUAUCUUGUAAUAUGUAUAAACUUUUAUUCUAUCAUCCUCAAAUGAUUUUUGAAUUAAUCUUGAAGAUUUCAACUAUUUAUUUAUGUUGUUAAAUUAUUUAGUGAUUAUUUGAUUAAAUUAUUUACUUUGAUCUUUAUUUCAUAAGUUAUAUAUUUAGAAAAUACUAAAAAAUACACUUCCAAAAAUUUAAGACUAUAAGCUUCGGAAGAAUUAUGACAUUUCAAUAUAUAUUUUUAAUAAAAAUGUUAAAUUUCCAAAAUUUAAGAAUUUUAUAUUUAUUAUUUUUAAGUACUAAUAAAUAUUAUUUUCUAAAUAUAUAAUUUAAAUUAAUCACAAAAAAAUUAAUACAGUACAAUGUAACGCCAAACAUUGUACAACAUUAUUAUAAUACAGUGUUAAUGCAAUACAACAUAAUACAAUACACCUGCAAUAAAAUAAUGCAAUACAACAUAAUACAAUACAGUUUGUCAAACACACCAUUGUAUUAUUGUUUCGUUCUCAUUGUAUAAUUGCCGUCCAUACCUGUGCAAAACAUUAAGAGUUAAAAAAAUAUAUUUUUAUGAUUAAUUUUAGAUAUUUUUUAAACUUUAAUAAUGCCAUAUUAUUUAAUAUUACAAUUGCCGUUCGAACAUGUGCAAAACAUGAAGACUAAUAUAUAUAUAUAUACACCAUAUUAUUUAAUAUUUAAUUUUUAAGGCAACUUUUACUUAAAAAAAAAAAAAUUUAAGGCAACUUUUUUAGUUGAGGGCAGGGAACCCCUACGAUACCUAAUUCCAUAACACGCUCAUCUAAUCACCUUGACUAUAAGACUUCUCCUAGUCAGCAAUUAUUUGGAAAAAAACGUCUUGACAUGUGCUGUGGAAAUUAAAGAAUGAGGUGGACUUACGAAGUCAAGGGGUUUUUCUAGUCUACAUAUUUUAAUUUAUAUGUGUAGAAAAUUAGAAAUAUUCAAUGUCUAAUCUGAUUCUACAUAAACACUAAUGCCCCAAGAUUGUGAUUGAAAUGCUAUAAGCAGUUUAUUUUAUAAGUUUAGAUAAAAAUGAGGUUUGAUGGCUUUGUUAAAAGUUGCUUCUUUCACAAUUUUCUCAAUUUUGACUAAAACUUCUAAAAACAGGCAGGAGAUUAUUUUGAUAAGCAACUUAUUAAAUAAGUUGCUAGAUCUUUUUAAAUGUUCCUAUAAUAAUCUUAAUAUUUUAAGAAAAGAAUAAUUAUAUCUUUCUUUUCUAUAAGCUCUAAUAUAUAAAUAAAACACAGUUUAAACUUAUGUCUAUUUUAGUGAUUAAAUAAUACAACACAUUCAUAAUCAAAUUUACCAAACACGAGCAAGACACUUUUUUAACCAUCAACUUAUUUCAUCCUCACAACAAAAAUAACUUAUUUUAUCAGCCACCGCCAUCCUAAACUUGAUGCUAAGUCACGUUUGGGAUUGCAUUAGAUUGUCAAAUAAUUAAGAGAAAUAGCCAUUAUGGAGAAGAAUAGGGAGAGGUUCGCCUAAAGCAAUAUACUCGUAAGCUUGGCUACUAAUAAACGGAGCAUAUAAGCAUAAACACCUAACUUUUGAGGCAUAUAAGGGAUCUAAAAGUGCGGAAACGUUUGGAAAAACUUUAAAACCACAGGGUUUUAAAGGUUUAAACCGCAUGGUUUAUGUGUUUUCCUAGAUAUUCCCGCACUUUAAAAUUUCAGAUUAAAACAUUUCCAUAUGUGUGUGUGUGUGUGUGUGUGUGUGUGGAGGGCAAAUCUUUGACUCUCUCCAGCUUCAAGUACCUAUACGGUAACUCUUAAAUCAAAGGGAGAAAAUGGUUAACCCAAUCUUAUUGUAUAUGAAUUGAUAUUCACCAUAUGAUUAUUACAUAAAGAUUGAGCCUUAAGUGCUUUACAUUAAGUAAUAUUGCACACCUGUUCUACACAUUUAGACAACUCAGAGUAAAAAUAAUGAAAAUGACAACCAAAUCCAAACUACCUGUUCUACACAUUUGAACCCUAAUUUUUUAUUUUAUAGAAAAAUUUAAAUACCGUUUCUUGUUGUCACUGCUAUUAUACUGUCUGAUAUAUCUUCCAGAAUCCUAUAAUCCCCCCCCCCCCCAAAAAAGAAGAAACAAAAAAAGGUAUAUAAUUAAACAGGUAACUUCGAUAGAAAAGAGUGUACAUAAUUCUUAAGCUUAAUUACCCCUCGCUAUUAUAGGGAUCACGAAGGCCAUUAGAGAAAAUAAUGUUGCUACCAAAUCUCUUUAAAACCACUCUUAUAUCUUGCAAAUUAAAAAGAAAUAGAAAUCAAACAAAACUUGAGGUGAACUUUAUAAUUAAAACAGAAAAUGAGAAACCUUAAAAUAUUAGAAGAAUUAAUUUGGGGAUUAAUCGACACUUACAUUACCACUUUAAUAAGUUGUAAUCCAAUGUGGUCUUGGAACCACUCCAUAAGACUUAUUGCAUGAAUCCAUAUAUUCUGUCAGAUUAAAUGUGUCUGCUUGAAACAUUAUGUCGUUUUUGCCAAUUCCAAUUGGUGAGACCAUUUCACUGCAUGUCUGCAUGAGAAACCCCCCAAAAAUAAAAAAUAAUAAUAAUAAAAUAAGAUAAAGAAGAAAACUAUUUUUAAUCAUUCAUAAAUAUAAAGUCUCAUAAAUAAAAUUAAGAGAUGUACAUAAAAUAGGUAUUGUUCUCAUUGCCACAUGUUGUUUAUUUAACGGUCUCAAUAGAACUAACCAAUGAAAUCAUGUCACUUGUAAUUGCAUACCUGUCUGCCCCAGCUGGAGUCCAAUGUUGCAUCGGAGAAGAAUUCAUCAACAUCAUGGCAAGAAUCCUCCCCUCUUAAAUCAACAAUUCCUGAGAAGAUCCGGUCUAGGGUAUCUGUGCCUUCUAAAGCUCCAUCAAUACCAUUACAGGCUUUGUUCACUGGGCUUUCCUGAGGAUCAUCAUACUGAGCUGCACCCGUAUACAUAUACUCUAAAUAAUCUUUCAAUUCUGAAACAUCCUUCAGAGGCCUGUAAUCAAAUAAACAAUAACAUAGAAUUAAGUGCCACAAGGUCAUUAACUUUAUAAAAGAUCUUUCAACAUACUGUCUUAAAAAUGUUGUUAUAUUUAGUUAGAUUACAAUAAACUUUAUAAGUAUGAAGCUAUUGAUAUUCUCAAAUGCAAACGUUCAAAUUUGGCCUCAUUUGAUUAUCAGAGUUUUGCGUGGUUUUGUAGUUUAAAUUUAGAUUCUGCAAAAUAUGGACGUCUGAACCUAAGCACCAGUAUACUAUAUAUGGUAACGCAAAGGCCGUGUAUAAGCCCAAAUCCAGAUUUUUACUUUGUAUAUUACACGUUAAUCGAAAUGUAUAUACACGCUGAGGAUGACAGAUAAUUAAUUAGACAUGGUACAUUCGAUAACGAUGCUAAAAUAACAUUGCAUUAAUUGUAAUUAAGGGAAAAUCGGAUGGAUAUACAAUAUAAGCAGUUAUGUAAAGUAAUAUGAUUAAUUACUUGCAGGUUUUGAACUUUAUAGAGAGAAAAGCAAGUCCAUUUUUUCCAGCAGCGACUUUAUCGAUUUCAGCCUAGGACUGUUUGAUGGUCUUGUAGCAGCUCUCGCUGGCUUCCUGCAUCAUUAAUUUUUAAAAUUCAAUGGCUAAAUUUUAACAAGAAAACAUAAUCAUGCUUAUAUAAAAUUUUAAUUAACUAAUUUAUUUCUUACCCGAAAGUCCUUGGUGACAAGAUCAUAAUAUGCGUUUGACGGUGUGAUAUUCUCAAAGUAGAGAACUGGGGCGGAUGAGGCAACUGCUCCCAAAGCAAUGUGAAGAUACUUCAAGUGAAACCAUGCAGCAAGCAUUGUUGAUAACAAACCAACAAACAAGUAACUCUCGAAACCAUAUCACAUCCCAGAUCUGAUAAAAUAGGAUGAAUUGAGAAGAUUAUUUUUAAAUACAUAAUUAUCUUGAAUAUAUUUAUUAUUUCUUGAUUUUACGAUCGCCAAGAGUAUUCGUUAGUUGCAAUAUUAAAUAAAUUUGUAUCAUAGUAAUAUUGCCGUAGUCAAUAUCUUGAUCGAUCAAUCGUGAUCUAAAUGAGUAAAAUGAUGUGACAGAUGACACGACAUUAAUCAAAAGAUGUAAGUAAGUUAAUAAUAUUAUAAUUUACUUCCUCCAUAAGAUGCUCCAACAACCAUAAUGGGAGACAUUUCGUCCGAUAAAUUUUUCUGGAUGUGUAAGAGAAUCUCUGCGUAAUCAGCCAAAGCUUGAGCAGAGUUGAAAUAUCCACGAAGAGUUGCAUUCUUUGGGGCAUCUUUGCUUGAUACAAAAGGUAUUGAUUUUCCAUAGAACCGAUACUGCAUAAAAAAUUGAAUUAAAAAAAAAAUCCAUCACAACUUUUCGUAUGUGAACUCUAUUUCAAUUAUUAUCAAGCUAGCCUGAUAACAUAUUCUUUACUUACCUCUAUGUAAACUUGUAAGGCUUUAAAUCGAUGAGCACUAUUAGUUAGCCAUCCAAUGCCACCAAGGUCAUCAUAUCAAGACUACUCUCUUCACCAAGAUAUGCCAAUAUCGGCGCCGCCAUGGCUCUGCCACCGCCCCAAUGCUUGAAGUUCAACGCAUAUCUAUGAGGAAAAGUUAAAUAACUUUGUGGAUUAUAGUUAAAGUGAUCAAGUGUUUGAUAAUAAUAGUAAGUUUCGAGAUCAUAAUAGUAACUUUGUGGAUUUUUUUGCUAGGGUUUUGAAAAAUAGUCCUUCCACGAACAGCACCAAGCUUUGGGAUGUUCUUUAAUGGUGAAGUGGAAGCAAAAGCAAAAUUUGUGAGGAGAAGAAGAAAAAGGCAUGGAAGCCACCGACCUUUCAUGGCAAAGUUGUAAAUCCUUAAUUAGCAGGAUGAUUAUGUAAAUACAGAAGAAAUAGAGUUAAGAUUAGAUUAUAAAUUCAGCUUCAAAAUCGACGUGUUUGUUAAUAUAUCCUGGAUUUGUUGUUAUCGUAUAAUUUAAUUAAUGUUGGUUUUAGUUUUAUAUUAGUAUGGAUCUUCAUUUUUCAUAAAAUUAUAGUGUGUCGAAUAUAUAGUUAUCGGUUUCGUAAUUAAUAAAAAUUUUUAUUAUUUCUUUCCUAGUAAUUAAUUAUCUUGUGCUUACCAGAAUAUCACUAACCACAACUUCUGCAGAAGCUUCCUCACCUUCGGAUGACAUCAGCGGUGCGUCCAGGAUGUUUGAUCGGAUCAGCUAAAUUAAAAAUUUAUUGUAUAUGUUUGUGUGAAUAUUUACAAAGGAGUGAAAAAAAACUAAUAUAUUGAAUAACGCGACAUCAAGAACUUCGUUCUGAAUGAAAUUUUUAUAUAUAAUUUGCAAAAUAAGCUAAUAAAUAGAAUGACAAUUUACCCUUUUUAACUUGUAGAGACACAACCUUAAAUUCCUUAAUAUGCUGGUUAAUUCAGAUCAUUGAGAUGGAGACAAUUAGACAAACCUUAUUUUAUCAGAGUGAACUGCGAAAGUACUAGCUUUACAAAAGAGACUAAUGUCGUAGUGUGAAUGGAAUUAAAAAAUACUAAGGCAGACAAUUCGUCGAACACAUAAUAUUUGCUACAUUGCUACUACCUAAUAAUUUCACAACCAAUUAACAGUCUCCUUUAUUGGAAAAAUCACAUUAAUCAACCAAAUACAUUUCUUGGUUUCUAAGCUCCAAAAUUGAAAUUUCAUGAAAAGGUUUCUGCAUUGGUGUCUUAUUGCGAGCGAUAAAUUCGUUGGACACGAGUUGCAUUGUAGGUCGAGACUUUGGUUGAGAACGCAAGCAUGAAAAUACUACUGUUGAAACAAGAAUGAUAUCCUGCCUAAUCAUUUGAUCCCCCGGAGGCGGGAGGCGUGGGUCCAACAAAUCAAUCAGCUUUAUAUUUUUAUCCAAUGACGAAGAUGACGAUGAGAGGAGCUCUCCUGGAUGCUUUCCCAUUAGUACUUCUAGUGCCACUACUCCGAAGCUAUAAACAUCAGAUUUCUCUGUCACAACCAUGGUGUAGGCACGUUGUAUAGGAAAACGGAAGUCUUUAUUAGUAAUGUUUCCAUAAACAAUAACAAGCACAAUUUGUUCAUGUUUUUUAGCUUCUUUAGCAAGGUAUGACAGAGAAGCAUAUGUUCUAACUGAUAUUCAGUGUAUGUGUGUUUUGAAAGGUAAAGGGAUAGGUAAAGUCUAAAUUCAGUUAUAGCUCCUUAGUUUUUUCAAAAUUCGAACCCAAGUAGCGAGCUAAAUAAAGCUGGUUAAAAACUACUUAGCAGAGUAUAUAUAAAAAUUAAAUAAGAGGAUAACUAAAGAAGCAUAAGAGGAAUAGCUAGAAGAUGACCUGGAGCAAUAUAUCCAUAAGUGCCAGCUAACAGAGUUCGAUUGGAUGAGUCAAAAUUUAACAAUCUAGCAAUACCAAAGUCAGCAACAAAAGCUUCGAAUUCUGAGUUGAGUAGAAUGUUGUUGCUUGAUAUGUCGCGGUGAACAAUUGGUGGUGUGCAGUGAUGAUGCAAGUAUGACAAAGCAUGAGCCAUACCCUUCACAAUGUUCACCCUUUUAGUCCAAUCCAACCCAACAGCUUCCUCAUCUGUGCGUAGAAUACAGAACAAGCUUCCCAUUUCCAUGUACUCAUAGAUCAAGAACAUGCAGUUCUCGUGCAAACAAAAGCCGUAAAGCUUUACAAUAUUUCGAUGCCGUAUUUGGGACAGUAGACGAGCCUCAUUCCGGAAACUCUCGAGGGAAGCUAACUCCUCAGUUUCUGAACGGUGAAGCUUCUUCAAAGCAACCACUUUUCCACUGGGCAGCCGUGCUCUGUAAACGCUGCCGUAGCCUCCGGUUCCAAUGCAGUAUUUGAUAUCGAAAUCCUCAGUGGCUUCAAUCAUGUCUUGAAAUGUAAUUCUACCAUCGUAAUUCCAAAUUGCAAACUCAUCAGCGCACUUGGUAAUUUCUCCUGUCCCAGUUGGUUCAACUUCCUUAUCCCUUCGUCUACGGAUAAUCAAGAUUCCAAAUAUCAAGGCAAGGAAUGCGACCAUAGCAAGAAUAAUUGCAACCAAGCGAGUGGCAAUUGUUUUGUGAUGUGGCGGUGGCGCAUUUGCCAAAGUAGUUGAGAUUUCUCCUCCCAAUUUAUUGCCUGACACAUCUAAGUGUGGCACUUUUCUGACAAAUACAGGGAUUCCACCGGAAAGGUUAUUCAUGGAAAGGUCCACAGUGUCUAUGCGUGGAAAUUCUCCAAGUUGGGAAGGUAUUUUACCAUUAAUGAAGUUACCGCUUAGAUCAAGAUAAUAUAGUUCUUGAAGUUUGCCGAUCUGUGACGGAAUGCUUCCGCUUAACAAGUUGUUUCCCAAUUUUAAUAUCCUCAGCUUUGAGCAAUUCAUGAGUUCUGGAGGAAUUGGGCCAUCAAGUUUGUUGUUGUACAUAUUCAAAGUAGUUAAUUGAGUCAAAUGACCCAGAGACGAAGGGAUUGGGCCAACAAGUUUGUUUUGGGACAAGUCUACACUUCUCAACCACUUUAAAUGGCCAAGUGUUGUAGGAAUUGAACCUCCAAUUUCAUUUCUGGACAGGUCAAGAGCUUGAAGAACCUUCAAACUCCCGAUUCCUAAUGGGAUGGAACCAUUCAUUUGGUUUGAGGCAAUAGCCAAAGUAGUUAGCUGGGUUAGAUGACCUACAUUGGAUGGGAUAUUACCGACAAGGGAGUUAAAAGACAAGUUCAAAAUUUUCAAUUUGCUUAGACCACAAAGAGUUGGAGGGAUAUGUCCCAUGAGGUGAUUAUCAGAUAGAUCCAGGUGGACGAGAUUCCUUAAUCGCCUCAUCUCUAAAGGGAUAAUUCCUGUUGUGCAUGUGAUUUAUGAAAAACGAGAUCAGUAUUCACUAUCUUCAUUAAAAAAAAAUUACAUAGAGGGAGAGUCAAGCUCAAGUGCGGACGACUCACACUUCUUUAGUGUUGUAAAAACAGACGCCUGCUUUAAGCAGCAGCGCGAUUUUAUACAUACAUAUAUAUAUAUAUGGUGAAGUUUCACAGCUUACCGGUAAGGCCGUUGUAGGGCAGUUCAAGAGUUUGGAGCAUUGAAAGGGCAGUAAUUUCAGAUGGAAUGCGCCCAGAGAGAACAUAAUUUGUACGAAUUUUGAAAUUUCUGAGGUUCGGAAAGCAAGAGAAUUUGAAACAACCGAGCUCUCCUUUGAUGUUAUCAUUUUCAUACCAGAGUAAGCUGACCCCGAUUACGCUUCCCGCUGAAUUGCAACUGACGCCAGUCCACUUACAAUGAUCGGACGUGUAGUUGCCCGACGUCGCCCAAUUGUUGACCCACCAGCCGGUAGCAAGUAAAGCUUCCCUUUCUAACAGUAUGGGUGACGACAAUAAUCUUGCAGCUGAUGCCGUUACAGAUAUUGUCGUAUCACUUAUAGCACCAACAUUUAUUAAAAUUAAAAUGACCACCAAUCUCGAAACAGUGGAUGCUGCUGCCAUGUUUAUAAUGGUUUUCGGUUGAUUGAGCUGGCUAUUUGAUUCCUUGCAAAGCGUUUAUAUAAGAAUUAAUUGUUUUGCAAGCUCCCGGUGUUAACUUCCAAUACGCGUUUUCAAAUAGUGUGAGUCAAUGUCUUCUCUGGAUGGAUUCAAUCAUGGAGAUAUAACCUUAUCGGCUUGUAUUUGUGAGGUGUAGAUCUAUUUGAACAACUUUGCAGAAACAUGAGAUAAUAUGGACAAUAUUAGAAAUAAUCAAUAGCGCUAUUAAGAUAUUAAAUAUUACCCAAAAUAAUAAAGAAAAAAAAAAGCUCGAAGGAUUGUUGUUGUAAAAUAUGACUCAAAUAGAAAAAUAAACAAGACUAAUCAUAUCUUUGUAUAAAUUUAAGUAUAAAAAAAACUUGUAGGUGUAUUAUUAUAAUAAGCUGUAGAGAAAAGAAUUUGUAGACUUCUGUGAUUUGACAAAAUAAUAAAAUAAUCCCUUUAUUUUUUAAAAUAGUUACAAAACUCCUUUUGCAACAUGCAAACUAUAUGGAAAAUUGGAAAUUCAUGGGCUACCUAAUAUCCCUCUUAUUUUUUUAUUUUUUAUUUUACACCAAAACAUCAUAGACAAAAGAAGAUAAAAAUUUCAUUGCACUCAAUUUUUUUCAUGAAAUCAAACAAGGAAAAGAAGCAAAAAGUGUUGGAAAUAUAGCACAAGUUACUAUUUGAUGCGUGAUUUUGAGUGAGACUUAUCUGUUGUUUCAAAUAUUCCUCCGUAAAUACUUCAGAAUGAUUUUACCUAUAUAAUCAAAAUAACCCUUGGAUAAAUGAGAAAUUGUUACUCAAAGUAAAUUCAUGGAAUUGGAAAAGUAAAGGAAAUUAUAUUUGUCCCACAUGAAAAAGAUAGCAAAGGCAUGAAAGGUUUGUAUAUAAUUACUCAUGUGUGUAUAAGUAAAAUAUAAACCAAGACGCUCUCUCUUCCGUGCCCCAUCCUAAGUACACAAAUUCAAUGUGAUACGAUCCUAUAGUUUCCGUUCAAACCUAUGCACACUUUAAAAAAAGGUUUUUUUUAAUAUAUUUUUUAUGUAUUUUACAUUUUUUUUAAAAUUUAAUAAAUGCCAUAUUAUUUAAAUAUUUAAUUUUAAGGCAUCUUUUUUAAGUUGAGGGCAAGGAACCCCUCCGAUACGUAAUGCCGAAACAUGCUAAUCUAAUCACCUUGACUUUAAAGACUGCUUCCCCUAGUCAGCAAUUAUUUGGAACUUACGUCUUGACAUGUGCUGUGGAAAAUAAAGAAUGAAGUAGACUUAUUGAGUCAAGCUGUUUCUUCAAUCCAGAUAUUUAGUUUAUACGUGUGCAAAUAUUCAAUGCCUAACUUUAUUCUGCACAAAGCCUAAUGUCCUAUUUGGGAUAACGGUUGAAAUACUUAUAAGUUUUGAUAAAAAUGAUGUUUGAUAAAUUUGUUAAAAGUUUAAUUCAUAUUUUCUCCAUUUUGACAAUAACUCUUAAAAUAAGUAUGAGAUUGUCUUUUAUAAGCAACUUAUUAAAUAAAAUGCCAUUUUUUUAAAGUUUCUAUUAUAACUUUAAUAUUUUAAGAAAAGAAUAAGUGUAUCUUAUUUUUUAAAAAAUCCUAAUAUAUAAGUAAAAGACAAUUUAAACUUAUGUUUAUUUUAAUGAUUAUAUAAUAAAAUAUUAUUUUCGUAAUCAAAUUUACCAAACACUGAGUGAGCUACUUUUAUAAUCAUUAGAUAAUUCCAUUCACAUCGCAGAAGCAGCUUAUUUCAACAGCCACCAAAAUCUUAAACUGAUCCUAAGUCAUGUUCGGAAUUGCAUGGGAUUGUCAAAUAAUUAACAAAAGAAGCUAUUAUGUAGGAGAAUAGGAACAGGUUCACCUGGAGCAAUAUACUCAUAAGCUUGGCUACUAAUAAACGGAGCGUGUAAGGAUAAACACCUAAGUUUUGAGAGAUACAUGUAUCUGGAGGGCAAAUUCUUUUUCUCCCACCGGCUUCAAGGACCUAUACAGUAACUCCUAAAUCAAAGGGAGAAAAUGGUUAAUCCAAUGUGGUUGUGUAUGAAUUGAUAUUCACCGUAUGAUUAUUACAUAAAGAUUGAACCUUUGUACGUGCUUUAUAUUAAGUAAAACUGCACACUUGUUCUACACAUUUAGACAACCCAGAUUAAGAAUUAUGAAAAUGAAAUCUACAACUAGCUAGGUGCACUAUUAUUUAUCUUUGCUCCUUAAAUAUUAGAAAGAUAGAGGAGAGGGAGAAAAAGAAAAGACUAAUUUUGUAGUCCAAAUUUAAUCUUAUGCUCUGAUUUUGAAGCAAAUCAGCAGAGUAUUUGAGGAACCAAUCAUGAACCAUGUCCAUUUCAAUCUUUCGCUGCAUUACUAACCAUUCGGGGUCAUCUUCUGUUGCUGGCUGUAUGUCUAAGCAAUGGGAACCUGCUCCAAUUUACACACUAUUAAUUAUGUUAUCCAAUAAUUUAGUUAAUAAUUGAACACUAAUUUUUUAUUUUAUAGAAAAAGUUACAUACUGUUUUUUGUUGUCACUGCUAUUAUAUUGUUUGAUAUAUUUUCCAGAACCCUAUAAUCCCAAACAAAGAAAGAAAAAGAAAAAGGUAUAUAAUAAAACGGGUAACUUCAAUAGAAAAGAAUAUCCAAAAUUCUUAAGCUAAAUUACCCAGCGCUGCUACAGGGAUCGCGGUGGCCAUUAGAGAAAACAAUGUUGCUACCAAAUCUCUUUAAAACCACUCUUAUAUCCUGCAAAUUAAAAAGAAAUAAAAAUCAAACUCAAGAACGAGGUGAAGUUUUUAAUUUAAAAAAGGAAAGAAAAAGAGAAAAUUAAAAGAAUUAAUUUGGGGAUUAAUUGACACUUACAUGACCACCAUAAUAAGUUGUAAUCCAAUGUGGUCUUGGAACCACUCCAAAAGACUUAUUGCAUGAAUCCAUAUAUUCUGUCAGAUAAAAUGGGUAUGCUUGAAACAUUGUUUCCUUUUGGCCAAUUCCAAUUGGUGAGACCAUUUCACUGCAUGUCUACAUGAGAAACCCCCUAUAUUAAUAAUAAUAAUAAUAAGAUAAAGAAGAAAAAUAUUUUUAAUCAUUCAUAAAUAUAUAGUGUUAGAGUGCAAUUUAUGCACUAGUUUUGCAUUGUUUACUUCCCUUAAUAUCGAUGUUUUGCACUUAAUAAUAGUGAUUUACUUGUGUUUUACUUUUGUGGGUGCAGUUCUAUUGAUUUGUGAUAAAAUUGAGCUAUAAGAUGUUGUUUAAAGAUGAUUGUUCUCUUGGAGAAAUUUAGAGCGUCAGAAGAACUUUGUUGAUAAGGCGUGGGCGCGUGCUGUCAACUGCGGGCCUGCAGUUUUUAGUUUAACAUGUUUUGUAUUUUUGGUUAUUUUGUAAUUACGAAUUUAAUAUUUCAGUUAUUAGUAUUUUAUUUUAAAUAGAAUUCUAAAAGAGAAGAGAGAGAGAGUAUUUAAGGGAGGAAUCUAUUGUGAAAAAGGAGACUUUUGGAGAAGAGAAAGAAACCUUAGGUCUAAACUUUUCUCUUCUCUCUAUGAAGCACUAAACCUAUUUUUCUGGUUGAAGGAUAAUGAAGCUUUGAUUCAUCACUACUGUGAGAUCUAUUUUAUGCUUUAAUUGUUUUAUUGCUUUUUGGGUAUUUGUUUAUUCUCUGAAUUAUUUUCAUGAUUAUGUUUGUUAAUUAGGUAAUUGGCCACUAUUUAAUUAUCAACUUAAUCUAUUAUUAAUUAAAGGAUUCAUCGUAUGAAAAUUUUAAUGUUUGUGACAAAUAACAUACCAAUGAGUUGUGUUAUGAGAAUAAACAAUCUAAUUUAAAUGAAUCAUCGUAUGUGUUGAUUAGGAUUUGGGUCUCUCUGGUCUUUCAGGCUAUCAAUUGAUUAAAUCCUAUGAUCGUAUCUAGGAUUGUCUAUUGAUUAGGGAAAUAGCCAACGGUCGUACCUUGGUUAUCGACUAGUUAAGGAGAGAUUGGCUAUUAGAGGGUCUCAGUAGCUAUAACCGGUCUAUUCAUAAGUAAUAAUAAUCUAUAUUUGAAUCAAUGAUCAGUAAUCGAAUCUAGCUGAAUUAAUUCCUUCAACCAGAGCUUUCUCCAAUUUGAAUUACAACUUUAAUUUGCAUUCUUGUUAUUUUAAUUUGAUUUUUAUUAUUGUCAACAAAACCCCCAUUUUAUGUUUUACGUUUUAAAAGGAUUUAAAUAAUUACCGAUCUCUGUGGACACGACCCUGCUCAAUCACUAUACACAAUUUAUUUAGAGUAGGAAUUUAUUUUUGUUGGCUUCGACAACCAUCGUAUAGUCAUAUAAAUAAAAUUAAGAGAUGUACAUAAAAUAGGUAUUGUUAGGCGAAAGACUAAUUCAUUGCGACAUGUUGUUUAUUUGAUGGUCUCAAUGGAACUAUCCAAUGAAAUCACGUCAUCUGUAAUCGCACUUGAGCAGAGUUGAAAUAUCCACUAAGAGUUGCAUUCUGUAGGGCAUCUUUACAUGAUACAAAAGGCACCGAUUUUCCAUAGAACUGAUGCUGCACAAAAAAUCAAAUUAAAAAAUAUAUAUAUAUCACAACUUUUUAGUUGAUAUUAUAGAUUAAAUUUAUCUUUAUUAUUAUUGUUUCGCGUUCGAACUCUGUUUCAAUUAUUAUCAAAUUCUUUACUUACCUCUAUGUAAACUUGUAAGCCUUUAAAUCGAUGAGCAUUAUCAGUAACCUGGAUUUGUAUGUUAUUAGGAGGUCGUUGCUUAGAGAUUCCCAUGUCCACUCUUAGUGCCAAAAGACUUGGUCUUGAUGCACAGGUGACAAGUUUGUUGGGGAGUACAUUUGGACUCGCUAUCUUGAUUUAGUUCCAAACAUCAUAGCAUUUGGUUAUUUAUGUUGGUCAAAGUUCGCAAGUUCAGUUUGCGUGGUCAACUCAAGUAGACGAGAGAGUUGUGCAACUCUUGACCAUGCGUGCAAAUGCCAAUGUAUGUGGCUUUAAAAUUUGGCAGUGAGGACGUAUGAUCCCCCACAGCCUGGAAUCAAUGUGUGUCUGAAACCUUUUUUGAACGAAAACACGGAGCAAAUGUGAGCUUCUCGCAGGCUAAGGUUCCAAGAGAGGUUACAUAUGUUUACCAUGAAGUGUCAUAUGAACUUGUACAGAUUGAUUUCCGAUGUUUCUUUUUCCCGGUAAUUUCUUAUUUUAAAUCUUAUUGCUUGUCUUUGUGUAUGUGCGUUGGGCUGGAGGCUCCAUUGAAAUGGUGUUUCCUCAAAUUAUGAAUUAUAAUGCUCGUAAGUGUUAAUAUCAUCUCUUCUAGUCCAGCUUAUUAAGAAAGUCUUUCAGAAUCCUAUUCAAACAUAUUCCUUUUUUUUUUGUUUUUUGGAAGGAAAGAUUUUCUUGCUGGAAAUGUUGUUAAUUAACAAGGAUUCUGGUUGUAUUAACUAUUUUGUAAACAAAUUCUUUCAUCUGUACUACAAUAGCAGAUGACGGAGCUCACUGGGAAUAUUUUAUAUUUUUACCAUUGAUGUGAUAACUAAUAUAAGGCAUAAUGGUUUCUGUACCAUUUCCAGCCUCAGCCUGAUUCCAAUACUUGUGGAUCAAAGCAGAAAGUUGCCACACCACCUGUAGGUCCUGGAGAGCUUCCUUCAACGGGUUCAAACAAACCCAAGGAGUGGAGUUGUGCCCUCUGUCGGGUCAGUGCUACUACCGAGAGAGGUCUAGAUGAGCAUCUUCAAGGUAGGAAGCACAAGGCCAGGGUUUCAGGACUAAUUAGAGAUAAGAAAAUGUGCAGUAACUCCACUUCAUCCACGUCAAAAAAAUCUACUGAAAGCAGAGAUGGUGUUGGCCAAGAAAUGAAGACUAAAGUACAAGAGGAAUCAGUUAAAGCUAAUAAAACUGUUGUUGGUCUAGACCAGAAAGGGGAGGUUGGUCUAGAUGAGCAUCCUCAAGGUAAGAAGCAGAAGGCCAAGGAAGAAGAACUACUUGGAGCUCAGAAGUGGAUAAAAAAUCUAAUGAAAGCAGAGAUAGUGCUGGCCAAGAAAUGAAGACUAAAGUAGCAGAGGAAUCAGUUAAAGCUAAUAGAACUGUUGUUGGUUUAGACCAGAAAGAGGAGGGUUGUCAAGCCCUGCAGGUUAAGCCCUAUCCCAACCUUUGUGGAUCAAAGCAGGAAGCUGCCACACUACCUGCAGGUUCUGGUGAGCUCCCUUUGACCAGUUCAAGGAAACCCAUGGAUUAAAGCUGUGCCCUCUGUCAGGUCAGCACUACUCACAACAGAGAUCCAGAUUAGCAUCUUCAAGGCAAGAAGCACUAGGCCAAGGAAGGAGGACUACUUGGAGAUGAGAAGAUGUGCAGUAACUCCACUUCCAGAAACUCUACUGAAAACAGAGAUAGUGCUGGCCAGGAAAUUAAGGCUACUCUAGAAGAGGAAUCAGUUACACCGAAUAAAAAUAUCGUUGAUUUAGACCAGAAAGUGGAGGGUGGUCAAGAUGAGCAUCUUCAAGGUGAGAAGCACAAGGCGGAGGAAGCGGAGCUAAUUGGAGCUCAGAAGAUGUGCACUACCUCAUCUUCAUCGACAUCAAAAGAUUCUGGAAAGACAAGUAGACCAGAAAGUGGGUUAAGACCAGAAAGUGCUGGCCAAGAAAUGAAAGCUAAAGUAGAAGAGGAAUCAGUUAAAGCUAUUAAAACUGUUGUUGGUUUAGACCAGAAAGUGCAGGGUGAAGAAGAUUCAGAGAACAAAAAUAAGGAGCUGCUAAAGAAGGACUUGAAUGCAAACACUCAGAAGAUGACAAAUGGAAUACCGACUGGAGAGACGAUGAAGAGAAAACUUCCCCUUAGAGAGAAUUUCGAAUUCUGGUGUGAAGUUUGUCGAGGAGCUCAGAAGAAAUGAAGAGAAACUUCAUAUAUGCAUGGUUAUGACAUUGGACUCUUCGGCUCAAAGCAAAUUUUUCUUGAUCAUGACCUGACAUUAGUUUAUCUUUUGCUGGCAGGUAGUUGGCGGGAUAUCACUAACCACAACUUAUGCAGAAGCUUCCUAACAUCAGCGGUGGGUCCAGGAUGUUUGAUCGGAUCAGCUAAAUUAUUGUAUAUGUUUGUGUGAAUAUUUACAAAGGAGUGAAAAAACUAAUAUAUUAAAUAUCAAGAACCUCGUUCUGAAUGAAGUUUAUAUAUAUAAUUUGUAAAAUAAACUAAUAAUUAAAAUGACAAUUUACCCUUUUAACUCGUAGAGAUACAACCUUAAAUAAUAACAAGAGAGGAGCUCUCCAGGAUGCUUGUAGUGUCUAAAAAAUUAUCAUCAAUGAAAAUGGGAAUGGGAGGGCGUGGUGGGGUUGAUGAUCUAAGACUCUUUGCUCAUCACUGGUGGCCGUAAUAAUGGGGGCUUGGAGCACCUUCACUUCAACCCCCAGCAGCUCCUCGGCCUUUACCACUCAAUGAGCAAACCCUCUGGCGGCAGCAGCAUCUCCUGUGGCUAUCAUUGUUGCUGAACGAUAAAUUUGUGCUGCCCCUGAGAAGCUGAAAUUGCAAGAACAAGGCAGCAACUCAAAAACCAGCAAUCUUUUAAAUGUAAGCAAGCAUAAUAAUUAUUCAUAAAACGUUGAAACACAAAGUCCUGCUAGAUUCAAAAUUUAGAAGACUCGUGAUACAAUAAGAACUUAAAGUGUAUAUACGAUUAUGCAUUACAAGUGAAGUUGCAUGCUAUAUGAAGUUUUAAAAUAUGUCUCACUUUUCAAUGAUUUCUGGUAAAUCGCUAAUCCGAUAAUAUCAAAUAUCCUUCAUAAUCUUCAUCUUCCUCUUCUUCGUCGUCAUCGUCUUCUUUAGAUAUUUUUCCUCCUUCAACACCGUUAACCAUAUUUUUCAACUGCAAUGUCAGUUUGGAAGUAAUAUUUAUGAAGUUCAACAAGUUUCAAAUUUUGAUAUUGUUUGAAAUGUGAAUGAUAAGUACAACUUCUACCAUUAUUUAUAGAAAAAUAUGCAAUAUUGGCUUUGAGGAAAUAUAAUAAAGUUUACAAUUAAGAAAGGUGUAAUCCUAAAUCUCGAAAAAUCUGAUACUAAAUCUUAAAAUGUAAAUAUUUAAAUCCCGAAGAAUCCGAUGCAUAUUCUAACAGAUAGUGUUAUAAUUGUUGGAUUUACAUGGAGUCUAAUUAUAGUAUUAACGUUAGUACUCGAAUUCUCAUAUGAUCUAAACUUCUCUUGAGUAAAACUCACAUGGGAGAUUUGUGAUCCAUAAAUAAUUAUAUAAAAAAAAGAUAGUAAUUAAAUCAUAAUCGGGAGCGCUUAGAUCUUUUUUAUUUUUACUAUGAAGAGCUCAAUCGGGAGAAAAUUUAAAUUUUUAAGGGGAAAAAGCAACCCACACUCCCGAAGUUUGCUUAAAUAGUCACACAAACCCCCUUAAUUUCAUAAAUGAUGGAUUGCAUACCAUUAAGUCUAAAUUUCAUAAAUACUGUAAUAUUUUUAUCUAAUGAUGAAGAUAACGAUGAGAGGAGCUCUCUAGGAUGCUUUCCCAUUAGUACUUCUAGUGCCACCACUCCAAAGCUAUAAACAUCAGAUUUCUCCGUCACAACCAUGGUGUAGGCAAGUUCUGUAUGAAAACAGAAGCCUUUAUUAGUGAUGUUUCCUAAAUAAUAACAAGAGCAAUUUGUUUAUAUCUUUGAGCUUCUGCAGCAAGGUAUGACAGAGAACCAUAUGUUUUUAACUGAUAUUUAAAGUGUAUUUUUUUUUUAAAAAAAAGUGAAACUGGUAGGCAAAGUUCAAAUUCAUUUUUCCAGCUCUUUACCUAUUCAAAAAUUUGAACCUAAGUAGCUAAUUAAAUAAAACUGCUUAAAAAUUACUUAACCGAGUAUAUACAAAAAUUAAUUAAAAGAAUAAUUAAAGAAGCAGAAGAAGAAUAGCUAGAAGAUUACCAGGAGCAAUAUAUCCAUAAGUGCCAGCCAAUAGAGUUCGAUUGGAUGAGUCAAAAUUUAAUAAUCUAGCAACGCCAAAGUCAGCAACAAAUGCUUCUAAUUCUGAGUUGAGUAGAACGUUGUUGCUUGAUAUGUCGCGGUGAACAAUUGGUGGUGUGCAGUCAUGAUGCAAGUAUGACAAAGCAUGAGCCAUGCCCUUCACACCGUUCACCCUUUUAGUCCAAUCCAACCCAACAGCUUCCUCAUCUAUGCGUAGAAUACAUAACAAGCUUCCCAUUUCCAUGUACUCAUAGAUCAAGAACACGCAGUUCUCGUGCAAACAAAAGCCGUAAAGCUUUACGAUAUUUCGAUGCCGUAUUUGGGACAGUAGACGAGCCUCAUUCCGGAAACUCUCGAGGGAAGCUAACUCCUCAGUUUCUGAACGGUGAAGCUUCUUCAAAGCAACCACUUUUCCACUGGGCAGCCGUGCUCUGUAAACGCUGCCGUAGCCUCCGGUUCCAAUGCAGUAUUUGAUAUGGAAAUCCUCAGUAGCUUCAAUCAUGUCUUGAAAUGUAAUUCUACCGUCGUAAUUCCAAAUUGCAAACUCAUCAGCGCACUUGGUGAUUUCUUCUGUCUCAGCUGGUUCAACUCUCUUAUCCCUUCGUCUACGGACAAACAAGAUUCCAAAUAUCAAGGCAAGGAAUGCGACCAUAGGGAGAAUAAUUGCAACCAAGCGAGUGACAAUCUUUUUGUGAUGUGGCGGUGGCGAAUUUGCCGAAGUAUUUGGGAUUUCUACCUCGAAAUUGUUGCCUGACACAUAUAAGAGAGGCACUUUUUUGACAGAUUCAGGGAUGCUACCGGAAAGGCUAUUCAUGGAAAGGUUCACGGUAUCUAUGCGUCGAAUUUCUCCAAGCUGGGAAGGUAUUUUACCAUUAAUCAAGUUAUGGCUUAAAUCAAGAUAAUUUAGUUCUUGAAGUUUGCCAAUCUCUGACGGAAUGCUUCCGCUUAACAAGUUGUUUCCCAAUAUUAAUAUCCGCAGCUUUGAGCAAUUCAUGAGUUCUGGAGGAAUUGGACCAUCAAGUUUGUUGUUGUACAUAUUUAAAGUAGUUAGCUGAGUCAAAUGACCCAGGGACGACGGGAUUGGACCAACAAGUUUGUUUUCGGACAAUUCUAAAUCUGUCAACCUAUUUAAAUGACCAAGUGUUAAAGGAAUAGAUCCAGUUAGAUUGUUAUAUUCCAGGGACAGAGAUGUCAAGUUGACUAAACCAGCUAUGGUGGAAGGAAUUGGACCUUCAAGUUUGUUGUCGGACAGGUCAAGAACUUGAAGAAAGUUCAAAUUCCCGAUUUCUAAUGGGAUGGAACCAUUGAUUAGGUUUGAGUGCAUAUAAAAAGUAGUUAGCUGAGUCAAAUGACCUACAGACGAAGGGAUUGGGCCAACAAGUUUGUUCUGGGACAAGUCUAAACUUCUCAACCUCUUUAAAUGGCCAAGUGUUUGAAGGAAUUGAACCUCCAAUUUCAUUUCAGGACAGGUCAAGAACUUGAAGAAAGUUCAAAUUCCCGAUUUCUAAUGGGAUGGAAACAUCAAUGUGGUUUGAGGCAAUAGCCAAAGUAGUUAGAUGGGUUAGAUGACCUACAAUGGAGGGGAUAUUACCAACAAGGGAGUUAGAAGACAAGUGCAAAUUUUCCAAUUUGCUUAGACGACCAAGAGUUGGAGGGAUAUAUCCCCAGAGGAAAUUAUCAGAUAGAUCCAGGUGGACGAGAUUCCUCCAUCUCCCCAUCUCUGAAGGGAUAAUUCCUGUUGCGCAUGUGAUUUAUGAAAAACGAGAUCAGUAUUCACUAUCCUCAUAGAAAUAAAAUUUAUAAAGAAAUGCUUAGGUUGUAAAAAUUAAUAGAUUUUUUAGUGCUCUAAUAGUUUUUUUUUUCUUAUUUUUUGUUGGGGCUCGUCAAUGCUGCAAAUUUUAGACUGAAAGUUAAAUCUGCAGAUGCAACAAAUAUAUCAAUAAAUUAAUACAAAACUAUGGAGAUUAGAGAGAAUCACUCUCAGUGCUCUCAAUUGACUACCCUAUUGUUGUGCAAAUUUUAAUGAACUCGCAAGCGCACGAAUCUAUUGUAGUAUAGACUAAUGGUGACGAGUGUCGAUCCCACGAGGAGGUGGAUUUUAAUUAUAUAUAGAAUUAAUUUUGUAAAUGGGUGGUUGGAAUUGUGGUGGAAGUGAUUUAAAUUAUCCUAAAAUUGGAAUUGAAAUGGCGAUAAUAAAUUCUAAAAUUGGACUUGCAAUGGCGAGAAUAAAUUGAAGAGAAAUCUAUUAAAAUGACUUAUUUGGGUAUCUGGAUCCGUAUCAACAUGCAUCAUGGGCUAAAUAUUCCUUAUUAAUGCCAAUUAAAUCAUGAGGGGGGAAUCCACACCUCAUGAACCACGCUCUAAUCAAUAUGGUGCUAAGGGCUUAUCGUGCCAAAUAAUAAUAACCUUGUACUAGAGGGCCGGUGAAACCAAGGCGGUACUAGACAAGAUUAGUAUUAUUUGUCGACGAGAAGUCAAAACAUCCACAAAAACUAGAGGGGAAGAGAAAAUAAAUUUACCAAAUUAAGCCCAUGACACAUGUUGAGACUUCACCUUCAACCCAAGCUUGAAAGAAAAUUAGCCACUCAUAAUUGAACUAGGGGCAAAAUGAGAAUUUAUUAAAAUACGAAGAAAAUACAAGAUAAAGAAGGAAUUACAGAAAAUAAAGUCCAAAAAUGGAUUCAGCGAUAUCAAAUUAGGGGGGGGAGGCCCCCUUUUUAUAGAUACAUGGAGUAAAUUAUGGCCAUCGGAUUAAAAACAGUUUGGACGCUCAGGAUUACGCCACGUCAUCAGUCAACAGUCCACGGUUUGACCACGUGGAUGAACAGUAAUACGGUUUGACUCGGAUGAACAGUAACGCGGUUUGGUUGAAAAUAAUCCUGUGUGAUGCAUGUACCGUACGCGAGAUUUUUCGUCCACUGAUAUGCUGCCACGUCACCAUCAACAGUACAUAAGAAUUUUAGCCCAACAGGAUCGUGACACCUCAUCAGUCAAUGCCACAUCAUCAUCUGUCUAUGUGAACAGUGUCGUGAACAGUAACGUAUAUACAGUACCGUACACGUGAAUAGUACCGUACAUGUGAUCAGUGCCAUUUUUCUUUUUAUGCUUCUCCUAAGGUUUUCGACCGUCCUGAGUUCAAAAGUGAUGUCCGUUUUGCCAUCUGAUUUCUCGUUUAUUGUGAAAUGACUAUGAUGCCCCUAAAAUACAUAAAAUACUUAAUUAAAAUAAAACACAUGUAAUUAAAUCACAAGAAAGUUAAAUACAUAAAAGUAAGGGUUGUUAAUAAGACUUGAAAUGUAAAAUGACGGUUUUCUCCUUUAUAAAUAUGCAUUUUCUAACACUCAACACACCCCCCAACCAGUUUAUUGCUAGUCCCUAGCAAAUAAAGCGAAAACAAAAAAAAUAAUUUUUUUUAAUAGAAACACUCAUAUUUAUUCCAUCAGAUUAAUGAUAGCAAUUAAAUAAAAGUAUAAGCAUUAUCUCCAGUCUAAAGCAACAUCACACCCACAUCAACCAUCCACAUGAAUCAGCCCAGUAGACUUUGUCAUAGCUACUUUCAAGAAUGACAUGUCAAACCCCAAACUGGAAGUAGUGACACUCUCACAAAGAAAUUAAAACCAAUAAAAAUAGUCACUCCAAUGAAUGGUAAUUGAGAGAGAAAAUAAUAAAGAAGUGAUAUCACAUGCUCUCACCAAAAUGAAAUAAAUAUGCCCUCAGCUUAGAAAUAAUACGAUCUCAAGUCAAAUAAAAAUGCUAGUUAACCCAAUUUAUUUGUCUUAUUUAUUUAUUUAUUUAUUUUUAUUAUGCAGCACUACAUCUUUUUAGCUCAUAUAACUAGCUUCUACUUCAGACUAUAGUUCCCUAAACUCAAGAAGGACUUUUAUUAGGACGUACCGUAGGUUAGGGACAUGGUUAACAAAGAAGGGAAAUAAGGAAAAUAAAGUGUAUGUUUGAGAAAAAAAAAUUGCAGGGAUUUUUUUUUUUUUGGAAGUUGCAAGGUGGAUUUCACCUAUUGUUGUUAUUUUUUUAUUUUUUAUUUUUCUUUUGAAACAACAAUUUUUGUUUUUUUGUUUUUUGUUUUUUUUUUACUUUUAUUUGGCAUAACUUCACUGAACAAAAAUACUUAUUUACAUUUUUCUCAAACAUAAAUAGGUGAUGGAACUUAUAAGACAUUGGGUAAUACUCCAAAUCGGAGUGGGUCAAGAUAAGUUAAACAAAUAAAAGGUUUUUUUUUUUUUUAAAAAAAGGCUCAAAAUGGUUAACUAUGGAUAUUUCACAAAAGGGAUGGCUAGAAAGGCUCAAACGGAUCAAAGAUGGCCUUUCCAUCGUCUUUUAGGGCUCUAAAUAAUCAUCCAUAUCUACUAGUUAGAUGGGCCUCCCAAUGUAGCAACAUACAUUUUUUUUUCUUUUUCUUUUUUUUUUAUUUUACCAUUUUUUUUAAGGGUUAACUCAAAAGAAAUCUAGAGAUCGUGUAUAAAAUAAUAAACUGCUAAGCUGUAUAGAGAAUGGGCAAAAGGGUUACUCUCCAAGAAAAUGAUAGGCUCAACAACUCACUUGGCAUUUAUUUAUAGCAUGUUCAUUCCUUCAAGCAACUUAUAUUUGUCUCCGACAUCAACAUGUAAAGUAGCAAACAUAGCGUAACAUCACUUAAGACUAAAGAUAAUACAAAUACUAAAAUUUGAAAUUAAUCAUGUCAUCCAAUGUUAAAACAAAUCACACAAAUUAUUAUUAUUAUUUUUUAAACAACAUUCUACCCCCCAACCUAUUCUAAGCAUGAAAGGAAAAUAUGCAUGCAGAAAUGUGAAUAUGAUGCAGAAAAACUAAUUAGAAAAGUUACACUUAAAAUGAUGGAAAACCAAAAUGAUUUUUUUUUUAAAGAAGAUGCGUUUCUAGAGGAACUACACUCCAUAUUCAGCCAUCUUCGACUCACAAGUUGGAAAAUGUAUAUUUAUAGAGGAGAAAUUAAAAAGAAGAAAAAUAAACAUAAAAACAUAAUACAGAAAAAGAAAAUGUCUGAAAUUUUUUUAAUUUUUUUUUAAUUUCUUUAACGAUGAAGAUGCGUUUCUAGAGUAACUAUACUCCAUAUUCAGCCAUCUUCAACACAAAAAGUUAGCAACAGUUAGUUUCUACAACAAAAAAUUAGUAAAAACUUAACCAAAAUUCCACAUUUGUCGACUAUUCCCUCCCCCCAACCAGAACGAAACAUUAUCCUCAAUGUUUUAAAGGAAAGAAGUAGAGUUUAGAAGACAUCACCUGGGUGGUGCAACACAGAAGAAAAUAUUUAUAGGCGGAGAGUUAAAUCUAAUUUUUACUUCUUACUGCGGCUACUGUUACCAUCAUUAUUUGGAGGCUCCAACCCCAACACAAAGGUCUAGGGGUCUGGGUCCGGUUUAUAAGCUUGUAACAGAUCAAGUAGCUCAUUAGCAGUGUGAGCACAAAUAAAGAGUUUUUUCGCAUUAGGGGGAAUGAAAUAGUUUUUUAUUGCAUGGUUAAGAAAUGCGAUAAAGCCAUCAUAAAAGUUAUUGACAUUUAACAAACCGAUGGGUUUCUGGUGGAUGUACAGAUGGGCCCAAGAUGCUAGUGUGAUAAGUGCCUCUAGUGUUGCAAGAUCUCCUGGAAGGAAAAUAAAAGCAUCAGCAUGAUUAAGCAUUUCAGUUAUUCUUUCUUGCAUACCUGAGACGACUAACUCUUCUCCAGUUGAUGAGUCAAACGAACUACCCAAAGGUUUUAGGGCUCUUGGGAUGAUGCCUAACACUUGGCUGCCUCUGAUAAAAGCUGCUUCUGAGACCAUUUUUGUUAACCCUCGAUUACCUCCUCCAUACACCAAGUGUAAUUUUCUCGCUGCUAUGCUGCGACCAAGAUCUAUGGCUGCCUCAACAAACUCUUUAUGUUUGCCAUAUGAAAAUCCAGAAAGCACACAAAUGUUCUUGAAUUGUCUAUUUGGAGUAGCUGCCAUUGGGAUACUUCUCAAAAAAUAAUUUGUUAGUGCUUGACAAAAAAAAUCACAUUUAAGAGUCUUGGUGACAAUGGGUCACAGUUGUGUAUGAGGUAACAUGUCAGUGUCAAAUAACGCGUAAAGCACGUGGCUCGCGAGUCAAAAAGGAAACAGUAAAAAGGGAAAAAGAAAACAAUAAUAAGGAAAAAGCAAACAGUAAUAAAAUUAUUAAAGACAAUAAUGCACACAGUAAAACAAUAGUGAAAUAAAAUAACAGUAAAGUGAAAGGAUAUUUACAGGUAGUUGCGACUGUGGCUCACAUCUUCCUCUGGUUUUACGUCCAGAAACGGCUUGAACGCCCUCUAUGGGUCGAGGAUAGGCUUCAUAUCCAGUUUUCUUAUAAAUUGGCAAACAGGGUCGUUUAUAGUCAGAUUCCCGAGACUAUAUCGUGCAUGCUCUUUCUGGAAUAAUGGCCAUAACUGGAGAAUCGCUCCUUGCACAUAUCCACUGGGAUGCGUUUCAAGAGGCAAAAGGAUAUCAUCCAAUGACUCCUUAUUCAAGCCAUCCUUAAUGAAUUGAAUCUUAUCUUCCCUGUUAUCAGACAUCAUUCCUAAAGAACAUGGGUUUUUAUUGCAACUCAUUCUGGCACACUUAUGACAAGCAACAGAAAUUCUUCGAGCUCGUCAUUUUCUUGCAUAAUUUCCUUUACCACAACCAGGCAUGUAUGUAAUAAAUUUUGGAGGUAACUCACCUGUCGAUCGUACUUUAGCCUCGAUUAACCAACGGAUGUCAGCAGGUAUGUUAUUCCUCAAGAGUAAUCGGAUGCGUUCGGACCGAACUUUAUAGAUCGUAAGGAGGGCACUCUGACGAAGUAAAGGGAAUCGCUUGUGAAGCUUCGCUAGAAUCUCGUUUCUGUCCAUACUUUCGCCUCAGAAUAUUAGUUAUUAUGGGAAACUGAAGUAACCGACUUGAUUGUCACGGAGUACCGUUAUCCGCCACUUCACCGGGGUAACAAACUAAAGCACACAAAUAGAAAAACAAAUUAAAACACACAAAGAAAAUUAAAAUCGUCCUCUUAUUGAAUUUACCUCAAGCUCCAACUGGAUGUCAUAAACACUUCUCUCAAUGUCUCUGAGUUGGCUUUCUAAACCCUCAACAUAGGCUACUAACUCUGGUGGUUGUAGAGUCCAAAUACGAUGUGUUUUACAAAAUUGAAUCUGUCUUUUGAGAUGAGUUUUGACACGUUAAAGUGGUUUAAGAAUGUUCAGGAGGAACGGUCUAAGUAUGAGACUCAUGAUUAACAAUGAUAAGAGAAAACUUACUAGUUAAACAAACACACUUAUGCAAAAAUAAUUUCAAUUAGCAAAAGAAUAAUAUAAAGAAAGAAAGAAAAAUCAAAUCAACGAAAAGAAAAAUCAAUUCAAAUCUGGUGGGUCACUCAAAUUUAUUUCGGUGUCUUCUCCAUGUGGUUGGUAUUCUAGAUAUGGUUUUAAUCUUUGACCAUUAACUUUAAACGUGACACCGUUCUUUGGGUCCUUAAUUUCAAUUGCCCUAUGUGGAAAAAUAGUAUGAACAAUAAAUGGGCCAGACCAACGAGAGCGUAACUUACCUGGGAAUAGGUGCAAACGAGAAUUGAAUAAAAGCACUUUCUGACCUGGAGUGAAAGAUUUUCUCAUAAUUUGCUUGUCAUGGAAGGCUUUCAUUCGUUGCUUGUAAAUCUUGGCAUUUUCGUACGCGUCAUUGCGAAUUUCUUCAAGUUCUGCCAGCUGUAAUCUUCUUUCUGAGCUGGCUUGCUGCAUGUCAAAAUUGAAUUUCUUGAUGGCCCAAUAUGCACGAUGCUCGAGUUCCACAGGUAGGUGGCAAGCUUUUCCAUACACUAGCCUGUAGGGUGACAUCCCAAUCGGGGUCUUGAAAGCCGUUCUAUAUGCCCAUAAUGCACCAUCAAGUCUUAAUGACCAAUCUUUCCUGUCUGGCCUCACUGUCUUUUCUAAUAUGUGCUUUAUUUCUCGAUUGGAAAUCUCAACUUGGGCACUGGUUUGCGGAUGAUACGGGGUCGCCACUUUGUGUGUGAUUGAAUACUUUGUCAAAAGAGCCUUGAAUGGUUUGUUACAAAAGUGGGCACCACCAUCACUGAUUAUUGCUCGAGGGAAUCCAAAGCGCGAAACAAUGUUGCUUUUCAAAAAUCCUAUCACCACCUUGUGAUCAUUGGUCCUACAUGAAAUUGCUUCUACCCAUUUCGAUAUGUAGUCAACAGCAACCAAUAUGUAUUGAUGGCCAAAAGAAUGGGGAAAGGGUCCCAUGAAGUCGAUACCCCAUACAUCAAAAAUCUCAACCACUAAAAUUGGAUUUAGUGGCAUCAUGUUCCUUCGUGUAAUGCUCCCCAUUCGUUGACACCUAUCACAUGAAGAACAAAAAGUGUAAGCAUCUUGAAAUAUAGUUGGCCAAUAAAAACCACAUUGUAAAACUUUAGUUGCUGUUUUCUUAGCACUGAAAUGGCCUCCACAAGCUUGUUCAUGGCAGAAUGAAAGAAUAUUCUGAAUUUCAUUUUCUGGGACAUAUCGUCUAACAAUUUGGUCUGCACAAUACUUGAACAAAUACGGGUCAUCCCAAAAGAAAUUCUUUAUCUCUGCAAAUAAUUUAGCCUUAUCUUGCUUGGUCCAAUGCUCUGGAAGUUUACCUGUAACAAGAUAAUUAACUAUAUCACCAUACCAAGGCAAUACUUCCGCACUCAUUAAUUGUUCAUCUGGAAAUGACUCAUUCAAUAUUAAUGGCUCUGUAAUUGUGUCAAAAUGGAGACGAGAGAGGUGGUCCGCCACAACAUUUUCUGUCCCUUUCUUAUCUUUGAAUUCCAAGUCAAAUUCCUGCAAAAGUAACACCCAAUGAAUUAGUCUGGCUUUUGCAUAUUUCUUUAUGAGAAGAUAUUUAAGAGCAGCAUGAUCCGUGAAUAUAAUUAUUUUACAACCAAUGAGAUAGGAUCGAAAUUUUUCCAAUGCAAACACUACUGCUAGCAUUUCUUUUUCAGUAGUUGAAUAAUUCAACUGGGCAUCAUUUAAUGUCAUACUAGCAUAGUAAAUAACGUGGGGAAUUCGAUCAACUCUUUGUCCUAAUACUGCUCCUACUGCAUAAUCAGAUGCAUCACACAUGAGCUCAAAUGGUAAGUUCCAGUUCGGGGACUGAAUGAUGGGUGAUGAUGUCAAUAAAUGCUUUAAUUUUUCAAACGCAACAAGACAUGAAUCAUCAAAGACAAAAGGUACAUCCUUAGCAAGUAGAUUGCAUAAGGGUCUAGAAACUUUGCUAAAAUCUUUAAUGAAACGUCUAUAGAAACCAGCAUGCCCAAGGAAAGAUCUUACUUCUCUGACUAUUUUGGGUGGAGGAAGAUUAGAAAUGAGAUCCACUUUAGCUUUGUCAACCUCAAUACCAUUGCUCGAAAUAAUGUGACCAAGAACAAUACCUUGUUUUACCAUAAAAUGGCACUUCUCCCAAUUUAAGAUCAAGUUCUUCUCAAUACAUCUCUGCAGAACUAGUGUUAGAUGAUGUAAACAUUGAUCAAACGAAUCACCAAAGACAGAAAAGUCAUCCAUAAAGACUUCAAGGAAUCGUUCAACCAUAUCAGAAAAAAUGCUCAACAUGCAUCGUUGAAAUGUAGCAGGUGCAUUACAUAAUCCAAAUGGCAUUCUCCUAUAUGCAAAAGUGCCAAAAGGGCAAGUGAAAGUGGUUUUCUCCUGAUCUUUUGGUGCUAUGGGGAUCUGAUUAUAUCCUGAGUAGCCAUCUAAAAAGCAAUAAAAUUCAUGACCUGCUAAUCUAUCAAGCAUUUGAUCAAUAAAUGGUAAAGGAAAAUGGUCUUUACGUGUGACAGAAUUCAACUUUCUAUAAUCAAUGCAUACACGCCAUUCUGUAGUUACUCUAGUUGGUAUCAAUUCAUUAUCAGCAUUCAUAACUACUGUGACUCCUGACUUUUUAGGGACAACUUGUACAGGACUGACCCAUGAACUAUCAGAAAUUGGGUAAAUGAUACCUGCGUCUAAUAGCUUAAGGACUUCAGUUCUAACAACUUCUUUCAUAUUAGGAUUUAACCGACGUUGCAUUUCCCUAGUAGAUUUAGCAUUUUCAUCGAGGUGAAUGUAAUGCAUGCAGUCUACUGGGUUUAUACCUUUCAUGUCUGCUAUAGUCCAUCCUAAUGCUCCUUUGUGCUCUUUUAAAACAUCCAACAACUUACCUUUUUGUUCGUCAUUGAGGGAUGAUGAGAUGAUUACCGGCAGAGUGCUUUCUUCUCCCAAAAAUGCAUAUUCCAGAGUGUUGGGUAAUGGUUUGAGCUCGAGUUUCGGUGGUGAUUCUGAUGAUGGGAUGAGUUUCUUCUCUGAUGGUGCUAGUUGUUCAACUCUUGACUUCCAUUUAUUAGUGUCCAUGGAUGGUGCUAAGUCAAGUAGGGCAUUGACCUCAUCGACCGAUCUGUUAAUAUUAAAAUCAAAACCAAAGUGAGUUAAACAUGUUUGUAAAGGAUCAUCACUAAGGUUUGAAAGAAAAGUGUUAUCAACUAUUGUUUCAAUUAAAUCCACAUCAAUAAUUCCAUCAUCUGCAUUGUGAGGUUGUUUGGCAAUGUUGAAGAUGUUCAGUUCCAUAGUCAUAUUGCCGAAGGACAACUGCAUAUUUCCAGUUCUGCAUUGAAUGUGAGCAUCCGCAGUUGCCAAGAAAGGUCGGCCUAGGAUAAUGGGGAUGUGCUUCCUUGAAUCCUGUAUUGGUUGAGUGUCAAUUACAAUGAAAUCAACAGGAAAAUAGAACUUGUCUACCUGGAUAAGCACGUCCUCCACAAUACCACGAGGUAUUUUUGUGGACCAAUCUGCAAGUUGUAACACCAAUGGAGUUGGGUGUAAUUCUCUCAAUCCAAGUUUCACGAAUACUGAAUAAGGCAACAGAUUUACACUAGCUCCUAAAUCCAACAAAGCAUUCUCAAUUGUGUGGUUCCCUAUACUGCAUGAGAUAGUGGGGGAGCCUGGGUUUUUGCAUUUUAAAGGAAUUUUAUGUUGGAGUAUAGAACUAACGUUUUCUGUUAAAAAUGCCUUCUUUUGAACAUGUAUAUUUCUCUUUUUAGUACAAAGGUCUUUAAGAAACUUGGCAUAAGAUGGAACUUGUUUAAUAGCAUCAAGCAAAAGGAUGUUAACACUUACCUGUUUGAAGAUUUCAAGAAUCUCACCUGUGGAUUUUCCCUUUUUUCCUUUAGCUAAUCUCUGAGGAAAUGGAGCUUUGGGAACAUAUUCCCGUGGGUUGGUUUUUUCUUUCUCCUCCGGUGAUGAGUCCUCAAGACUCACAUGUACAAUUUGAUUUUCUUUUGUCACCGACAUCUCCACUUUGUUGUCGACUUCUUUUCCUUUUCUCAAGGUCAUAACUGCUUUGACUUCUCCAUGCUGUUGUAGUGAACUGGUACUUGCUUCAUGCACUCCUUUAGGAUUAGGCACUGGUUGACUUAGAAAUUUACCUUUCCCAACAGUCAUUGCCAAGGUCUGAACUGAAGAAGCCAGUUGUCCCACCAUCUUCUCGAGGCUUGAAACUGAUUGGGCUUAUGAGUUGAAGCCCGCUCUCAAUUCAUUUCGUAGUCCAUCAAUGGUGCGGUUCUGUUGCUCAAUCGUGGAGUGAAUAACAUUCUUGAAAUUCUGGAAUGCAUCCUCCCAUGGUCUGGGUUGAGAGUAGUUCUGGUUUUGAUUGUAUGGACUAAAUGGGGGCUGAGAGGCUUAAGGAUUUUGUGGAAUUUGUUGCAUUGGUGUAGCUGGAGCUGCUGGUCCAUUCUGUUGGAAUCCUUGAGACCAUGAAAAAUUAGGGUGGUCUCUCCAUCCAGGGUUAUAUGUGUUGGAGUAUGGGUUGUAAUUUGAUGGCUUUCUCAUUACACCUAUGGCAUUGGCUUGAUCUGAGUAUAAGUCAUGGUCAUGUGGCUCUGUUGAUUUAGCAGUCGAUAACGAUGCUAUUUGUCGAGCAAGACCUUCAACCAUCUCCUUGACUUCUUUGAUUCCCGAAGUUGACUCGCCAAUUUGAACCUCAUUCACUCCUUUAAUUCUUCUAGUAUUCCGGAGUGAUCGACUCCGUUGUUGGGAAUUAUCCGCUUGUCGUUGAAAGAAUUCCCAAAUCUCUGAUGCACUUUUUGACAUUAGCUCUCCUCCACUUGUUGCCAUUAGCCAUUCCUGCACAUUCGGCAAUAAUCCCUCCAAAAAGUAUUGGCAUUGGUGCCAUUUCUCGUACCUAUGAUGUGGACACUUCAAGAGUAGCCAAUUGAAUCGUUCCCACGUUUCGAAAAACUACUCGUCUUCUCUCUGUGUAAACUCUGAAAUUUCCCUGCGAAUAGCAUUGGUUUUAUGCACUGGGAAAUAUUUAUUCAAAAAUUUUGUAACCAUUUGUUCCCAUGAUGUGAUGCUAUUAGCAGGCAAAGUAUUUAACCAUGAACGAGCUCUAUCCUUUAAAGAAAAUGAGAAUAAUCUGAGUUUAACAUCAUCGUUUGAAAAAUUUUCAUAUUUAAAAGUUUGACAAAUUGCAUGAAAAUCAUUCAGAUGAUUAUAUGGGUCCUCAUUUUCUAGGCCAUAAAAUGUUGGGAGACAAUUUAGCACACUGGGUUUUAAUUCAAAACUUCUAGCAGCUACAUUUGGGUAUCUUAUGCAUGAUGUGCUCAAAUUAGCUAAGGGACUAAAAUAGUCCUUAAAUGGCCUCUCUUGUGGUGCUUGUAAAUCCAUUCCAAUUUUAUUUUUAAUGUGCUUUUGUGUGCGAAGUAUUUUUCAAGUUCAAGGUCUAUAGGUUCAAGAUUGGGUAAUAAUGACCUUCGACCAUGCAUGCAAAACAAAUAAAAUAAAAAAUAAAGAUGGGAACAAAAUAAAUAAAAAUAAAGAAAAAGAAGAAAUUACGAUACUAACCUUAUUGCGCUAUUACAACCUUUCUAUAAAAAUACACAAAAAUAAAUACGUGAAAUAAAUUAACUAAAAAUUAAAUUAAUUAAAUAAAAAAAUUACAAAGAAAAAUAAAUUGAAAAUUAAAUCACAGAAUUUUAAAGAAGAGAAAAAGAAAAGAAAUACUAACCUUUAAAUGUAGAUUCACUUUUUUUUUCUUUUUUUUUAAUAAAAAUAAAAAAAUACAAGAAAACAAAUAAAAGAAAUUAUUCACAAAAAUUAAUUCUAUGAAUUAAAAGUACUUACCUCCCCGGCAACGGCGCCAAAAACUUAUUGUGCAAAUUUUAAUGAACUCGCAAGCACACGAAUCUAUUGUAGUAUAGACUAAUGGUGACGAGUGUCGAUCCCAUGAGGAGGUGGAUUUUAAUUAUAUAUAGAAUUAAUUUUGUAAAUGGGUGGUUGGAAUUGUGGUGGAAGUGAUUUAAAUUAUCCUAAAAUUGGAAUUGAAAUGGCGAUAAUAAAUUCUAAAAUUAGACUUGCAAUGGCGAGAAUAAAUUGAAGAGAAAUCUAUUGAAAUGACGUACUUGAGUAUCUGGAUCCGUAUCAACAUGCAUCAUGGGCUAAAUAUUCCUUAUUAAUGCCAAUUAAAUCAUGAGGGGGGAAUCCACACCUCAUGAACCACGCUCUAAUCAAUAUGGUGAUAAGGGCUUAUCGUGCCAAAUAAUAAUAACCUUGUACUAGAGGGCCGGUGAAACCAAGGCGGUACUAGACAAGAUUAGUAUUAUUUGUCGACGAGAAGUCAAAACAUCCACAAAAACUAGAGGGGAAGAGAAAAUAAAUUUACCAAAUUAAGCCCAUGACACAUGUUGAGACUUCACCUUCAACCCAAGCUUGAAAGAAAAUUAGCCACUCAUAAUUGAACUAGGGGCAAAAUGAGAAUUUAUUAAAAUACGAAGAAAAUACAAGAUAAAGAAGGAAUUACAGAAAAUAAAGUCCAAAAAUGGAUUCAGCGAUAUCAAAUUAGGAGGGGGAGGCCCCCUUUUUAUAGAUACAUGGAGUAAAUUAUGGCCAUCGGAUUAAAAACAGUUUGGACGCUCAGGAUUACGCCACGUCAUCAGUCAACAGUCCACGGUUUGACCACGUGGAUGAACAGUAAUACGGUUUGACUCGGAUGAACAGUAACGCGGUUUGACUCGGAUGAACAGUAACGCGGUUUUGUUGAAAAUAAUCCUGUGUGAUGCAUGUACCGUACGCGAGAUUUUUCGUCCACUGAUAUGCUGCCACGUCACCAUCAACAGUACAUAAGAAUUUUAGCCCAACAGGAUCGUGACACCUCAUCAGUCAAUGCCACAUCAUCGGUCAAUGCCACAUCAUCAUCCGUCUAUGUGAACAGUGUCGUGAACAGUAACGUAUAUACAGUACCGUACACGUGAAUAGUACCGUACAUGUGAUCAGUGCCAUUUUUCUUUUUAUGCUUCUCCUAAGGUUUUCGACCGUCCUGAGUUCAAAAGUGAUGUCCGUUUUGCCAUCUGAUUUCUCGUUUAUUGUGAAAUGACUAUGAUGCCCCUAAAAUACAUAAAAUACUUAAUUAAAAUAAAACACAUGUAAUUAAAUCACAAGAAAGUUAAAUACAUAAAAGUAAGGGUUGUUAAUAAGACUUGAAAUGUAAAAUGACAGUUUUCUCCUUUAUAAAUAUACAUUUUCUAACACUCAACACCUAUCCUGUAAAUACAAAAGUAAAUUUAGUAAAUUAAUGAGGAACUGUGUAUGUGUGAAAUUAAAAAUAGUGCUUUUGAUUUGUAAUCAUAUCUUUUAUAGGAUAUAUUCAUUGUCUACAUAUUUUAAUUUAUGUGUAGAAAAUUAGAUAUAUUCAAUGUCUAAUCUGAUUCUACACAAAGACUAAUGCCCCAAGAUUGUGUAGGGGUGUUCAUAAUCCAAUCCGAUCCGCUCAAUCCGUCUGAUCCGUGAAAAUCCGAUCCGUGGAUCCGUGAAUUGGAUAUGGAUUGAAAAUUUAAAAAUCCGCAGUCGAUGGAUUGGAUAUGGAUUUACUUCUAUAAAUCCGUAAAAAUCCGUGAAUCCGCAAAAUAUAUAUAUAUAUAUAUAUAUAUAUACAUUUAUUUAGUUAAAAAAUUAUUAUAAAUUUAAUUAAAGAAUAUUAUAAAUGUGACAUUACAUAGUUACAUAAGCACUAUAAUAUGUCUUAGCUAUUACCCAAUAAUAAUAUUAAAUAAUUAAAUAAUCAAAUAUACAAAUAUAACUUGUAAAAAUUGUAAAACAAAAUAAAAGCAAAGUCACACGCACUAGCAAAAACAAAGUAACAUAACGCCAAGUUACCAACAAUUUGCAAAGUCACCCAAAAGCAAAGUAACAUAACACCAAGUCACCAACAAUUUGCAAAUAAAAAACCUUAAGCUUCCUUGUUGUCACAUGCAAUAGCAACACUCAAUACUGGUUCGAUACACUCUCGACACUGAUUUGAAGGACGUCGGCCGCACGAUUCCAGCAAGAGCAAGCCAUCUUCUUCCCCGAGCCCAUCGAGCCACUUCACAAUCACUGGUUCCAGCCAAACAAUUGCACUAUCACAACCUUCAAGAUCAUCACCCGUACUUCUCCUAGUUCCAAUAGUUGACGGCUCCAUAAUCACCACUUUUCGACAAGUAUAACAGCCCUGGUGAAGGAUCAUACUGUGUUUGGUUUCAGAAACUUCACCAUUUCAAUUAAUUGUGACUUUAUUUGAAUAAUUAAUUUCGGUGUUAUAUUAAUGUAUUAUUGUAACUUUAUUUGAACAAUUAAUCUCGAUGUACUAUAUUUUGAAACUUUGAAUGUAUUAUUUUAGUUUUAUUUAAAUAAUUAAUUUGUUUAAAAUUUAUUCAAUUUUAAAUUUAAUUGGUAAUAAAAUUAUUUUUAUAUUAGAUUUUUUUUUUAAUUUCAUUAGUUCAUGGAUUGGGGAGAACUAAAAAUUUUUAAUUCGGAAGCUAAUGCGUAAAAUGGUGGAUUGGAUAUGGAUUAAGUUAAAUCCGCAUCCGAUCCGCAUACGUAUGGAUUGGAUAUGGAUUGAGUCAAAUCCGCAUCCGAUCUGCAGACGUAUGAAUUGGAUUUGGAUUGAGUUUAAUCAAUCUGUGGAUUGGAUUGGAUUGAAAAAUUAUAAUCCGCAAAAUUGUGGAUCGGAUAUGGAUUGAUGUCCAAUCCGUAAAAUCUGAUCCGCGAACAUCCCUAAGAUUGUGAUUGAAAUGCUAUAAGCAACUUAUUUUAUAAGUUUAGAUAAAAAUGAAGUUUGAUGGCUUUGUUAAAAGUUGCUUCUUUUAUAAUUUUCUCUAUUUUGACUGUAACUUUUAAAAACAGAACAAACAUUAUUUUUAUAAGCAACUUAUUAAACAAGUUGCUAUAUCUUUUUAAAUAUUCAUAUUAUAACCUUAAUAUUUUAAGAAAAGAAUAAUUAUAUCUUACUUUUCUAUAAGCUCUAAUAUAUAAAUAAAAGACAAUUUAAACUCAUGUUUAUUUUAGUCAUUAAAUAAUACAGCACAUUCAUAGUCAAAUUUACUAAACAUGAGCAAGAUACUUUUUUAAUCAUCAACUUAUUUCGUUCUCACAAUAGAAAUAACUUAUUUUAUCAUCCACUGCCAUCCUAAACUUGAUGUUAAGUCACGUUUGGGAUUGCAUUAGAUUGUCAAAUAAUCUAGAGAAAUAGCUAUUAAGGACGAAGAAUAGGAAGAGGUUCGCCAUAAGCAAUAUACUCGCAAGCUUGGCUACUAAUAAACAGAGCAUACAAGCUUAAACACCUAAUAUAUAUAUAUAUAUAUAUAUAUAGUAGUUUUUUGGCACAGGAUCUUAAAGUGCGGGAAACAUUAGGAAAAACUUUAAAACCGCGGGGUUUUAAAGGCUUAAUACUUAAAGCACUUAAACUGCACGGUUUAUGCGUUUUCCCAGACGUUCCCACACUUUAAAAUUCUAAAUUAGAAUAUUUUUAUGUGUGUGUGUGUGUGUGUGUGGAGGGCAAAUCUUUAACUACCUCCGGCUUAAAGGACCUAUACAGUAACUCUUAAAUCAAAGAGAGAAAAUAGUUAAUUCAAUCUGAUUGAAUAUGAAUUGAUAUUCACCAUAUGAUAAUUACAUAAAGAUUGAGCCUUAAGUGUUUUACAUUAAGUAAUACUGCACUGCACACUUGUUCUACACAUUUAGACAACCCAGAUUAAGAAUAAUGAAAAUGAACUCUUAAACUAGCUAGGUGCUCUAUUAUUUAUCUUUGCUCCAUAAAUAUUAGAAAGAUAGAGGAGAGGAAGAAAAAGAAAAGACUAAUUUUGCAGUCCCAAUUUAAUCUUAUGCUCUGAUUUUGAAGCAAAUCUGCAGAGUAUUUAAGGAUCCAAUCAUGAACCAUGUCCACUUCAAUCUUUCGCUGCAUUACUAACCCCUCUGGAUCAUCUUCUGUUGCUGGCUGUAUGUCUAAGCAAUGGGAACCUGCUCUAAUUUACACAUUAUUAAUUAUGUUAUCCAAUAAUUUAGUUAAUAAUUGAACACUAAUUUUUUAUUUUAUAGAAAAAUUUACAUACUGUUUCUUAUUGUCACUGCUAUUAUAUUGUCUGAUAUCUUCCAAAACCCUAUAAUCUCCCCCCCACCAAAAAAAAAGAAGAAAAAGAAUAAGGCAUAUAAUUAAACGGGUAACUUCGAUAGAAAAGAGUGUACAAAAUUUUUAAGCUUAAUUAAUUACCCAGCGCUGCUAUAGGGAUCACGAAAGCCAUUAGAGAAAAUAAGGCUGCUACCAAAUCUCUUUACAACCACUCUUAUACCCUGCAAAUUAAAAAGAAAUAAAAAUCGAACAAAAAUUGAGAUAAAAUUUAUAAUUAAAAAAGAAAAUGAAAAAAAUUAAAUUAUUAAAAGAAUUAAUUUGGGGAUUAAUUGACACUUACAUGACUACCGUAAUAAGUUGUAAUCCAAUGUGGUAUUGGAGCCACUCCAUAAGACUUAUUGCAUGAAUUCAUAUAUUCUAUCGUCUGCUUGAAAAUUGUAUUAUUUUUUUCAAUUCCAAUUGAUGAGACCAUUUCACUGCAUGUCUGCAUGAGAAAUCCCCCCCUCCCAAAACAAAAAAAAAAAUCAUAAUAAAUAAAUAACUAAAUAAAGGAGAAAACUAUUUUUAAUCAUUCAUAAAUAUGUAGUCUCAUAAAUAAAAUUAAAAGAUGUACAUAAAAUAGGUAUUGUUAGCUAGGUGAGAGAUUCAUUCAUCGCAACAUGUUGUUUGUUUGACGAUCUCAAUAGAAGUAUCUAAUGAAAUCAUGUCACCCGUAAUCACAUACCUGCCAGCCUCAGCUCGAGUCUAGUGUUUCAUCGGAUAAGAAUUCAUCAACAUCAUGGCAAGAAUUCUCCCAUCUUAAAGCAACAAUUCCUGAGAAUAUCCGGCCUAGGGUAUCCGUGCCUUCUGAAGCUCCAUGGAUACCUUCACAAGCUUUGCUCACUGGAUAUUCCUGAGGAUCAUCAUACUGAGCUGCACCCGUAUACAUACACUCUAAAUAAUCCUUCAAUUCUGAAACAUCCUUCAGAGGCUUGUAAUCAAAUAAACAACAACAACAUAGAAUUAAGUGCCACAAGGUUAGUAACAUUAUAAAAGAUCUUUCAACAAGCCGUCUAAAACAUGUUGUUAUAUUUAGUUAGAUUACAAUAAACUUUAUAAGUAUGAAGCUAUUGAUAUUAUCAAAUGCAAACGUACAAAUUUGGCCUUAUUUGAUAAUCAGAGUUGUGCGUGGUUUUGUAGUUCAAAUUUAGAUUCUGUAAGAUACGAACCUUUGGAGGCCUGAAUCUAAGCACCAGUAUACUAUAUAUAUAUGGUAAUGCAAAGGCCGUGUAUAAGCCCAAAUCCAGAUUUUUACUUUGUAUAUUACACGUUAAUCGAAAUGUAUAUAUACUCUGAGGAUGACAGAUAAUUAAUUAGACAUAGUAUAUUCGAUAAUGAUGCUACAAUAACAUUGCAUUAAUUGUAAUUAAGGGAAAAUCGGAUGGAUAUAUAUAAGCAGUUAUGUAAAGUAAUAUGAUUACUUUCUUGCAGGUUUUGAACUUUUUAGAGAGAAAAGCAAGUCCAUUUUUUCUAGCAGCGGUUUUAUCCAUUUCAGCCCAGGACUGUUUGAUGGUCAUGUAGCAGCUCUCCCUGGCUUCUUGCAUCAUUAAUUUUCAAAAUUUAAUGGAUUAAUUUUCAAAAUUUAAUGGUUAAAUUUUAACAAGAAAACACAAUCAUACAUAUAUAGAAUUUUAAUUAAUUAAUUUUAUUUCUUACCUUAAAGUCAUUGGUGACAAGAUCAUAAUAUGUGUUUGAGUGUGUGAUAUUAUCAAAAUAGAUAAUUGGGGCGGACGACGCAACUACUCCCAAAGCACUGUAAGAUGGUUAUUUUUUAAAACGUAAUUAUCUUAAAUAUAUUUAUUAUUUCUUAGUUUUACGAUUGCUGAAAGUAUUCAUUAAUUGGAAUGCAAAAUAAAUUUGUAUCAAAAUAAUAUUGGCGUAAUCAAUAUUUUGGUCAAACGAGAUCAAAAUGAAUAAAAUGAUGCAAUAAAUGACACGACAUUAAUCAAAAGAUGUAAGUAACUUAAUAAUAUUAAAAUUUACUUCCUCCAUAAGAUGCUGUCAAAUAAAGUGGCCAUUUAGAUGGUCUAAAGCAGCCAUCUAGAUGAUCAACAACAAUUUUGUUCAAAGAAGACGAAGAAUUUUGCAGCAAGUUUGAAAGAAAAAGAAGCACACGGCUUUAACAUUUGAAAGAAGAAAAAGAAGGUAAAAAAUAAUAUAGAAUUGAUGAAUAGUGCCAAAGCUUUCUCUAUAAAUAGAAACGAAGAGAAUGGGCAAAUGCAUUCCAUUUAGAAAGCAAUUUAGGGAGUUGAGAGAGAGUUCAAGAGCUUGCAUUUAUAAGUUCUUGUUACAGUGAUUGAGAGAGUUUGGGUGUAUUGGGGUUUUUGGGAAGUGAGCUAAAAUACUACAAUACUUGUAACUCUUUUUCACUAGUAAAAUAUUUCCUUCUGUCUUCGCCCGUGGAUGUAGGCUAAAAGCCGAACCACGUAAUUUUUGGUGUCCUCUAUUGUACUUGUUCUUUAUUUUCCUUCUAAUUUCAUUUUAGCUGCGGUCUUACUUCACCCUCCAAUCCUAACAGUGGUAUCAGAGCUAUUGGUUGUAUUUUUUAGAGUCAGGAACUGUUCACGUAAGGGGUACUAUUCACAUAUACGGUACUGUACACAUAUACAAUACUAUUCACGUAUACGGUACUAUUCACGUGAAACGGUGGAAGUGAUCCAAGAAUUUUGUGGUGCAAAGCAGGAAAUAGUGGUGUGAGUAAAGCAACUGUGUGAUUUUGUACAUGUCUAGGAAAGUUCUGUCACAAAGGCGAUAAGAGCUUAAGGAGUCUGGGUUUUAAGUGGGACCAUUGUGACCCCUCCAGUCUUUCCUGGGAACUUUCCUGGUGUGCAUUCUCACACAUACUCACAACUAUUCAAGGUGGUACACUAACUUGUGUGCAAUAUUUAUCAACAAAAUGGUGGCAAAGUAUGAAAUUGAGAAGUUUAACGGAAAUAAUUUUUCGUUGUGGAAAAUAAAGAUGAAAGCUGUAUUGAGGAAAAAUAAUUGUUUGGCAGCAAUUGGAGAAAGGCCCAUGGAGAUAACUGAUGACAAGUGGAACGAGGUAGACGGCAACGCCAUUUCUGAUCUACACUUGGCACUUGCGGAUGGAGUAUUAUCCAGUGUGGCAGAGAAAAAUACGGCGAAGGAAAUAUGGGAUACUCUCACAAAAUUAUACGAGGCCAAGUCACUACACAACAAAAUCUUCUUGAAAAGAAAACUCUAUACUCUUCGAAUGGCGGAAUCUACAAUGGUGACCGACCACAUCAACACAUUGAAGACUCUAUUUUGGGUCAUAAUAUAGAGGAAAAUGAGCGUGUAGAGCUUCUAUUUCAAAGUCUACCAGAUUCGUAUGAUCAACUCAUCAUCAACCUGAUGAACAACAAUCCAGUGGAGAGUCUAGUUUUCGACGAUGUUGCAGCCUCCGUAUUAAAUGAGGAGAGCAGGCGGAAAAAUAAGGAAAACAGACAAGCAAGUUCGCAGCAAGCGGAGGCGCUAUCGGUGACGAGAGGGAGAUCAACAGAACGUGGCCCCAGUAGGAGUCAAAAUUAUGGUAUAUCAAAAUCCAGAAGUAAGAAGAAUGUUAAAUGCUACAACUGUGGCAGGAAAGGGCACGUCAAGAAAGAGUGUUGGAGUAACCAGAAGAGAAGAGAUGGUAAAAAACAUGAGUCAUCAAAUGCUCAGGGGUGUGUAGCAAGUACCUCGGAUGAUGGCGAAAUACUCUACAGCGAGGCAAUAACUGUUUCAGAAGGCAGAAAACGACUAUCUGAUGUCUGGCUUAUAGACUCAGGAGCUACCUGGCACAUGACCUCUCGGAGAGAAUGGUUCCACACAUAUGAACCUAUCUCAGGAGGAUCUGUAUAUAUGGGUAAUGAUCAUGCCUUGGAGAUCGUUGGUAUUGGUACUAUCAAAAUUAAAAUGUUUGAUGGUACAAUUCGCACAAUUGGAGAGGUACGACAUGUCAAUGGCCUGAAGAAAAAUCUAUUGUCUUUGGGACAAAUGGAUAGUCAUGGGUACAAGACUCAUGUGGAGAAUGGAAUUAUGAAGAUCGUUAAAGGCGCGCUUGUAUUGAUGAAGGCAGAAAAGAUCGGUGCUAAUCUAUUCAUGCUUAAAGGAGAAACACUAUAGGAGGCUGAUGCGUGUGUCGCGUCAAAUGGAGAAGAGUCAACGAUGAUGUGGCAUCUCAAACUUGGUCACAUGUCAGAACAAGGUUUGAAGAUUCUCUCUGAGCGAAAAUUACUUCUGGGGCUCAAAUCGGUAAGUUUACCAUUUUGCGAGCAUUGUGUUACAAGUAAGCAGCAUAUAUUAAAAUUCAGUAGAUCUAUUGCUAGAAGUAAAUGCAUUCUAGACUUGAUUCAUUCUGAUGUUUGGGAAUCACCGGAUAUAUCCAUGGGAGGUGCAAAGUACAUGGUGACUUUCAUUGAUGAUUAUUCCAGAAGAUGUUGGGUGUAUCCAAUUAAGAAAAAGUCAGAUGUAUUUCUAGUGUUUAAAGAAUACAAAGCGCGGGUGGUGACACAACUUAAAAGUAAAUUUUAACUCCCAAGUAUAAGAGUGUCUUGUUGUAUUAUAACUCGGUGAGUCCGAGGUCGAUCCACAGAGAAAAGAUUUAAUUAGUUUAUUUUAUUUUAUCUAAAAAUUGAAAUUAAAACUUGAAUAUAAACAACUUAAUUUAAAUGAAACUAUGGAAUUGAACUAGUUAGGGUUAUGGAUCCACUCUUAGAAAUAAAUAAAACUUAAUAAAUUCUUUUUGCCAAUUUAUUUUAGAUUUAUUACCCAAAAGAUUAAUUAUACAAAUUAUUAUUAUUUUCCCUUUAAUUUUAUGAUGGAUUAAGUAUUUAUUGUGCCAAAAUUUAAUUUGUCUACAAUAAGGCAAAAUACCAUUUCACCAUGCCUUAUAUUAAGAUCUUAAGAAUUUAUUGUGCCAAAUUCAUUUGUUUGUCUACAAUAAAUCAAAAUUUCAAAAUAUAAAACAUGUAUAAAAUUAAAUAGAAAAUAAUUUAAUUUAUAAAAUUAAACAUAGAAUUUGAUUAAAUCAUAUUUAUUUCUUAAGAGUUUCACCUUCCCCUAACUAAUAUUAUUUAGUUAAGCAUAAUUAAAAUAAAAAGUAGUAAAAUUGAAUUACUUGUAAUUAAAAGAAAUAAAAACAACUAAAAUUGGAAAUAAAACUAAUUUUAUUAAUGAAAAUAAUUAUACAAAAUAUUAAAAACACACCUGGAAAUCAAGAUUACAAGGAGAUGGAGAGAAUUUGAGAAGAAGAGAGUUGUAGAGAGAUGAUUAAAACAUAAAAAUGAGGCCUUAUUUAUAGAAAAAUAAAUUCAUAAUCCAGUGCUUUGUGGUCCAUCAUAGGCUUCAUGCAUGUGCUCCUCACAACCCUUAGAUCAAGAUCCAAUGGCUGGUCAAACUUCAAAAGUCAACAUCACACAUGGCAUCAUUUGACUCGUCCGAUUUGCCCAAAGAACGGUUGAGAUUUGGCGGGUUAAUGGGUGGAUCGGGUCGACCCGAAUACAAAGAUUCGGAUCCUCCAACUUGCUUCACCAACCAUUGCCACGUGGCACAAUCAUGGCCAUUGAAUGAUGAACGGUUGAGAUUUAGUCAAGAUUGCCAGUUAUCCCAUGCACUCAUAUCUAUUGUAAGCUCAUUUCAUCAUCCAAUCAGUGCUCGGUCAACAGGAAAAGUCAACUUUUUUUACACAAGCCCAAUUUUAAGCCGAUCUUGACUGAUCUUAAGGUUUUCGGACCUCCGGAAUCCAAAUUUGACCUCCGUUUAUUUGUUUGGAGCCUCGAAGUACGUGAAAUUAAUAAUUUUCCUAAUAAACACAUAAAAAUACACAAAAUUAAAUAUAUUUAAAACAUAAUUAAUAAUUCAUAAUAUAUUACAUAAACACAAAUAUAAAUUAUAACAUAAGCAUAAAAUAACAUAUUAUCGCUUGAUAACUAAACAAUUUUUAAUACUAAUCACACCCCCCAACCAGCUUAUUGCUAGCCCUCUAGCAAUUAAAGCGUUAUAUUAAGAUUUAUAAAAUUCACAUGCAAGUUAAUAGUUGUUCAUCUAUCCUCUAAAUUACCAAAUAAAUGAACUCUCCCAAAUUCCUUUACCACAUUGAUGUUCACUCAUUAUCCAGAAUAUCAUCAAACCUUCUUUUGUGCUCAAGUAAUUAACACAAUACUUAUGGGGCUUCAUUAAAAGAAAAACAACAUUUUCGUUCUAAAAUUCAUUAGAAAUUAUAUCUUUAGGCAAUAGAUUAUUCACACAUUUUUUUUUUAUAUUACAUUUCUAACCCGUUUAGCAAGCUUUAGGUCAGUGACUCCCAGACCAGUUGGCCUUAGGGCACUAGGUGUUGAAGCACCCCUACGGACUUAAUUACUCGGGUUUCUAAUAAACAAACAAUAUAUCUAUUACCCAUGUAGCGAGCUUUAGGCCAGUGACUCCCAGACCAGUUGACCUUAGGGCACUAGGUGUUGAAGCACCCCUACGGACUUAAUUACUCGGGUUUCUAGAUAUAACAAAAUUAAAAACAUUUUUUCUUCUUCUUUUUUUUUGAUUUUUUUUUUUUGGUUUUUUUGUUUUUUUGUUUUUGGAAAUAUACACUUUCUACUACCUUAGAUACUAUUCCUAAUAAAUCAAAAGAACUAAAUGCUGUAAAACUUUAACUUACAACCCACUAGUAUGUGUCAUAGUGUGUGUGUGAAGAAUGAUUCAAUAAUACCUGUUAAAUGAGUAAACAAUUAAAUAACUUAAUAACCAAGUGGAGAGUUCACAAAUUUGAGUAAUUCAAAGAAAAGGGAACAAAAACAACUUACUAUGAAUCUCAAAAUCAAAAUAUAAUACAACAAGACUAUUAGGAUGCGUCUCAAAAGUCGUGACUCUUUACACGGCCAUCCUAGACAAAAAACAAAUUUUUUUUUUUUUGGUUUUUUUUUUAACAAAGAAAAGAAAAGAGAAAAGAGAAAAACAACACACAUAUUUAAAAUAUACGUCAAUUAUCCCCACCCCACAACCUAAUCUAAACAUUAUCUUAACAUUUUAUAAUUUUACAGAUAUGCAAAAAAAUAAAAAUAAAAGAGAAUAAUAAAAGAAGAAGAAGAAGAGAUCUCACCUGAACUUGAUGCAGAAGCUUAAAAGCAAAUAACAAAGAUGAAGAAAGAGUCAAUUUUUUUUUUUAACAACACCCUUAAGAUUAAGAAGAUGCGUUUCUAGAGAGACUACAUUCUCUAUAUCCUGCCAUCUUCGACUCAAAUUUGUCCUAAGUUAGUCUUUACAGAAAAAAAAAUUUUUUUUUUUUUUGUUUUUUGUUUUUUUUUUUUUUUGUAAACACAUAACCAGGACUAAGACAUUCCACAAUUAUCAACUAUUCCCUCCCCCCAACCUGAAAAAGACAUUGUCCUCAAUGUUUUAAAAGGAAAGAGAAAGAGUGUAGAAGACAUCACAUGAACACUACAACAGAAAAUAUUUACAAACGGAGAGUUAAAUCUAAAUCGCACUUCUUAUUAUUGCUACUGUUACCGUUACCGUCAUUAGUCGACCAAUUCAGUGCAACAGUCUGUGGAUCUGGCUCUGGUGUAUAAGCUUGCAAAAGAUCAAGUAACUCAUUAGCAGUAGAAGCAGAGAUAAAUAGUUUUUUUACAGAAUGUGGAACAAAAUGAUUCUUUAUUGCAUGAUUAAUAAAAGUUAGCAAGCCGUCAUAAAAAUCAUUAACAUUUAACAAACCGAUGGGUUUUUGAUGAAUGUUCAAGUGGGCCCAAGAUGCAAAUGUAAUUAGUGCCUCAAAAGUUGCAAGAUCUCCUGGCAAGAAAAUAAAAGCAUCAGCAUGAUUCAUCAUUUCAGAUAUUCUCUCUUGCAUACUUGAUACCACUAAUUCUUCUCCAAUUGGUGGGCCAGACAUGCACACUAGCGGUUUCAUGGGUUUUGGGAUAAUGCCGAGUACUUGGCUUCCUCUGGUAAAAACAGCUUCUGAGACAAGUCUUGAUAACCCUCGUUCACCUCCUCCAUAUACAAGAUGCAGUUUCCUCUCUGCUAUGACACGACCAAGAUCUACAGCUGCCUGAACGAACUCUUUGUACUUUCCAUAGUGAAACCCAGAAAGCACACAAAUGUUUUUGAAUUGUUUACUCGAAGAUGAUGCCAUUGGACUAAUUUUUCAAAAACAAGUUGUGAGUGUUUGAAAAAUGAGCUCAUAUUUAAAGAUCUUGGUAACAUAAAUAAUGAGAAACAGCUGUAAAUGGGUUGGCAAUAUUUGUCAAAUGACGAGUAAAACUCGUGGCUCAAUAAUUCAAAAACAAACAGUAAAAAGAAAGUAAUGAUUAGAAAAAGCAAACAGUAAAAGAAAACCAAAUAUUUAUUAAAUACAAAAUCACAUCGCUAAAUGCAAUAAUGCAAAUGAUAAAAUAACAGUAAAGUAAAAUAACAGUGAAGUGAAAGGAUAUUUACUGGUAGUUGUGAUUGUGGCUCACAUCUUCCUCUGGUUUUACGUCCAGUAACGGCUUGAACGCCCUCUAUGGGUCGAGGAUCGGCUUCCCAUCCAGUUUUCUUAUAAACUGGCAAACAGGGUCUUUUUGAGUCAGAUUCCCAAGACUUAACUGUGCACUUUGUUUUUGGAAUAGUAUCCACAAAUUGUAAAUCUCACGUUGCACAAUUCCGCUUCGAUGCGUCUCAAGAGAUCGUAAGAUAUCAUCCAACGAUUCUUUACUCAUGCCAUCUUUAACGAAUUUAAUUUUAUCUUCACGAGUAUCAGAAACCAUUCCUAAAGAUUUACAAUCUGGUCGUUUGCAACCAAGUCUCACACAGUUAUGACAUUUUGAGCCAAGUCGUUUAGCUCUCCUUUUCUUAGCAAACGUACUUUUACCAAAACCAGGCAUGUAAGAAACAAAUUGACCAGAAAACUCACCUGCUAAUCGGACCUUUGCUUCAAUUAACCAACGAAUGUCAGAAGGAAUGCCAUUGAUCAUUAACAAACGCAGUCGUUCACAACGAGCUUUGUAAAUUUUCCUGAGGGCAUUCUGAGGGAGAGAGGGAAAAUGCUUAUGGAGUUUAUGUUGUAUUUCUUCCAUGUAUGAUUUUGGGGUUUCAGUUAUUGUGGGAAACUGAAGAUACCGACUUAAGAAGUCACGGAGUACCGUUAUCCGCCAUUUAUACGGGAAAAUAGAUCAAAACACACCAAAAUCAAAUCUGCAAAAUCAAAUCAAGCGUGAAAGCGAGUAAAAAGAAGCACACAAUAUAAAAGGAAAAUGAACUUACAUUCGUCCUCUCAUUGAGUUAACCUCAAGCUCCAUUUGAAAUUCAUAUAUGCCACUCUCUACUGUUCUGAGUUGUCCCUCUAGAUCCUCAACAUAGGACACGAAUUCUGGUGGUUGCAGAUCCCAAAGUGGAUGUGAUUUACAGCUUUGUAUCAGGCCUCUUAAGUGAAAUUUUAUACGCCGAAAUCUUUUAAGAUGUGCGAACAGGUAUUUUCUCAUUGAGGUGCUCAUGAUGUAAAAUGAAAAUUGAUGAGAGAAUGUACAACUGUCAAACAAACACGCUUACACAAGAAAAACAAUGUUAAAAAAAAAACUAUGUACAGUGCAUCAAUCUAAGGAAAAAAAAAAGUCAAACAAUGAAACGGUAAAAUAAUAGUAAAACAAAAAAAAAUCAUUAAAAACUUAAUCAAGAAUUGGUGGGUCAUCCAAAUUAAUUUCGGUGUCCUCGUCACGUGGGUGAUGUUCCAGAUAUGGUUUUAAUCUUUGACCAUUAACUUUAAAUGUGACACCAUUAUUUGGAUUCUCAAUUUCUAUGGCCCCAUAUGAAUAUACAUUUUUUACAACAAAUGGGCCACUCCAUUUUGACUUUAACUUUCCUGGAAAUAAAUGAAGACGAGAAUUAUAAAGCAACACUUUUUGACCAAUCUCAAAUGUUUUUCGAAAAAUUCUUUUAUCAUGAAAUGCUUUUGUUCUUGCCUUAAUAAUUCUUGAAUUUUCAUAUGCAUCAUUCCUUAAUUCCUCAAGUUCAUUCAAUUGCAAUUUUCGCACAUUACCAACAUCAACCAAAUUUGAAUUAAAAGCUUUAAUAGCCCAAAGUGAUUUAUGUUCAAGUUCAACAGGUAAAUGACAAGGUUUACCAUAAAUUAACCGAUAGGGUGACAUUCCUAAUGAUGUUUUAAAUGCAGUGCGGUAAGCCCAAAGUGCAUCAUUAAGUCUAAGAGACCAAUCUUUUCGGUUUGGGUUAACCGUUUUUUCCAAAAUUUGUUUUAUCUCCCUAUUUGCUAAUUCAACUUGACCAUUUGUUUGAGGAUGAUAAGGGGUAGCAAUUUUAUGUGUAAUUCCAUAUUUCUUCAUUAAAGACUCAAAUGACUUAUUACAAAAAUGCUUACCUCCAUCACUGAUAAUGGCUCGAGGGAUUCCAAAUCGACUUAAAAUGUUUUCUCUUAAAAAUUUAAUCACAGUUUUACUGUCAUUAUUUCGACAAGAAAUUACUUCAAUCCAUUUUGAGACAUAAUCAACUGCAACUAAUAUAUACACAAAUCCAAAAGAUGAUGGAAAUGGACCCAUGAAAUCAAUUCCCCAACAGUCAAAUAUUUCAAUUUCAAGUAUGGGAUUUAAGGGUAUCAUGUUUCUUUUUGUAAUUGAUCCCAAUUUUUGACAUUUUUCACAACUUUUGCAAAAUUCAUAUGUGUCUUUAAACAUGGUAGGCCAAUAAAAUCCACACUGCAAAAUUUUAGCAGUAGUUUUUCUUGAAGAAAAGUGACCACCACAUGCUUCAGAAUGACAAAAAUUAAUGACACUACUUACCUCAUUAUCAGGAAUACAUCGCCGAAAAAUUUGAUCUGGGCAAUAUUUGAACAAAUAAGGAUCAUCCCAAUAAAAUUUCUUUACUUCAACAAAAAAUUUCUUCUUCUCUUGAGCAUUCCAUUGCAAAGGCAUUUUACCUGUAACAAGAAAAUUAACAAUAUUAGCAUACCAUGGCAUUGAAGUAACAGAAAAUAAAAAUUCAUCAGGGAAAGAAUCAUUUAUGGGUGUUAUAUCAUUGCAGAAUUCGGAUGUGAGUCUUGAUAGAUGAUCAGCAACAACAUUUUCAGCACCCUUUUUAUCUUUGAUGGUAAGGUCAAAUUCUUGUAGUAACAAAAUCCAACGAAUUAAUCUCGGUUUGGCAUCCUGUUUACUCAUCAAAUAUCUCACAGCAGCAUGGUCAGUAAACACAAUAGAUUUAGAGCCAAGCAAAUAUGAACGGAAUUUGUUUAAUGCAAAUACCACAGCAAGUAAUUCUUUUUCAGUUGUAGAAUAAUUCAUUUGAGCACUAUCCAAAGUCUUGCUCGCAUAAUAAAUCACAAAAGGCUUACCAUCCCUUCUUUGUCCUAAAAUAGCACCAACAGCAAAAUCACUUGCAUCACACAUUAAUUCAAAUGGCAAAGACCAAUCAGGAGAUUGCAUAAUAGGUGCAGAUGUUAAAAGACAAAUUAUUUUUUCAAAAGAUUUUUGGCAAUCAUCAUUCCAUUCAAACGGUGCAUCUUUUAAUAAGAGGUUACAAAGUGGUUUAGAUAUGGCACUAAAGUUUUUUAUAAACCUCCUAUAAAAUCCUGCAUGUCCUAAAAAGGAUCGCACAUCUCUAACUGUUUUUGGUUGUGGCAAUUUAGAUAUGACUUCGAUUUUUGCUUUGUCAACUUCAAUUCCUUUAAUAGAAACAACAUGACCCAAAACAAUUCCAGAAGUAACCAUGUAGUGACAUUUUUCCCAAUUCAACACGAGUUCUUUUUCAACACAUCUUUUUAAAACUUUCUCCAAAUUAUCAAGGCAAUCAUCAAAAGAAUUCCCAAACACAGUCAAAUCAUCCAUAAAGACCUCUAAACAAUGUUCAACCAUAUCACAAAAAAUGCUUAACAUACAUCUUUGAAAUGUUGCAGGAGCAUUACAAAGCCCGAAUGGCAUUCUUUUAAAUGCAAAUGUUCCAAAAGGACAUGUGAAUGUGGUCUUUUCUUGGUCCUCAAGUGCUAUAGGAAUUUGAUAAUAACCUGAAUAUCCAUCUAAAAAACAGUAGUAGGGAUGUCCUGCUACUCUUUCUAAGAUUUGGUCAAGGAAUGGUAAUGGAAAAUGAUCUUUUCUAGUGGCUUCAUUUAAUUUUCUAUAAUCAAUGCACAUGCGCCAACUAGAUGUAAUUCGUGUUGGAAUUAAUUCUCCUUUUUCAUUUUUAACAACAGUGAUUCCAGAUUUUUUUGGCACUACUUGUGUAGGACUUACCCACUUACUAUCAGAAAUAGGGUAGAUAAUUCCCACAUCAAGUAAUUUAAGGACUUCUGUUUUGACUACCUCUUUCAUGUGUGGGUUUAAUCUUCUUUGAGGUUGUUGACAUAUUUUAGCAUUUUCUUCCAAAUUAAUUCUAUGUGUGCAGAUUAAGGGAUUAAUGCCUUUAAUGUCAUUUAAAGUCCAUCCUAUUGCAUUUUUAUGCUUUUUAAGAACAGUUAGUAACUUACCUUCUUGGUCGCUUGUUAAAGUAGAAGAAAUCACAACAGGAUAAGUUUGUUCUUCUCCAAGAAAAGCAUAUUUCAAUCCUUCAGGCAAAGGUUUCAAUUCCAUUUUAGGUGCUUCUUGUUGUUCUGUCUUUUCAAUACUUCCAAGCUCCUCAAAUUUUGGCUCGUCAUCAUAAUUUUGCGAAGUCUGCAUAGAAUCAAGCAACGAAUUUAUAUUAGAAAUAUCAAGUUUAAGUUGCUUAUUUGACUCAAUUGAAUUAACUAAACAAACAUUAGAAAGUUCAGAAAAAUCCCCUUUUUGAAUAUUUUCCUCGAUACAAGAUUCAAACAAUUCCUUUUGUUCAUCAAUAUCAUCUUCAUUCUCAUUUUCUUCAUUAGGUUGCCUGCACAUGUUGAAAACAUUCAAUUCCAAAGUCAUAUUCCCAAAGGAUAAAUUCAUUAAACCAUUCCUACAAUUAAUCAAAGCAUUAGCAGUUGCUAAAAAUGGUCGACCUAAAAUUACAGGAAUUGGUUUGUAAUUAUUCACAACAGGUUCAGUUUCCAAGACAAUAAAAUCCACAGGAUAAAUAAAUUUAUCAACUUGUACUAAAACAUCUUCCACUAUUCCUUUUGGUACUUUAACGGAUCUAUCGGCAAGCAAAAGUGUAGUUGAAGUUGAUUUUAACUCACCAAGAUUAAGUUGAAGAUAAACUGAAUAUGGAAGCAAAUUAACACUAGCACCAAGAUCUAGUAAAGCAUGCUCAAUUCUGUGGUUACCAAUAAUACAAGAAAUGGUAGGACAACCAGGAUCUUUAUAUUUCAACUUAUUAUUAGUAGACAGAAUUGUACUUACCUGUUCGGCCAUGAAAGCACUCUUUCUUACCUUCAAUUUCCUCUUAACAGUGCACAAGUCCUUUAAAAAUUUGGCAUAUGAAGGAACCUGCUUGAUUGCAUCUAAUAGAGGAAUGUUAACUUUCACUUGCUUAAAGAUUUCAUAAAUUUCAGAAGAGUGGUUUGAUUUCUUUGGUUUAUUCAAUGCAUGCGGAAAUGGUGGUUCAAGUGGAACACUAGUUAUUUCUUCACUAGGUGUAAGUUCAUUUAGUCAUUCCUUACCCUUUGAAUUUUCAUAAGGUUCAGGCAUAGGUCUAUCAACAACCUUACCACUACGAAGAGUUAUAACUGACUUGACUUGGUCUGUGGGUGAAUUUUGUUGAAUUUUAGGAUUUGGUUGUGGUUGGGCUGGAAAUUUUCCUUUUUCUUGAAUGGUGAGUGCAGAAGCAAUUUUAGCAAGAGUAUCUUUCAAAUAAAAAAAAGUUUGUGCAUUUUGAUUGUUAAUAACAUCUUGCUUUCUGAUGAAUGAAUGCAUUGUGUCCUCCAGAUUUUUCCAAGGUGGUGGAACAUAUGGUGCAUAAGGAUGAGGAUUUUGAAAAUUUUGUGGAGGUGGUGCUUGUGAAGAUUGUGCAUUAUUAUUAUUCCUCCAACUGAAAUUCGGAUGAUUUUUCCAACCAGGAUUAUAAGUCUGUGAAUAUGGGUUUGGUUUAUUGAAAGUGUUAAUGACAUUAGCUUGAUCAUUUAGACAUUCUUUAAGUGCAGGCAAAGUGGGACACUCUUGAGUGAAAUGAUCAUUCGAAUUACAUAUGUUACAUGCAAUUUCUUGAACAGAUUUUACUUGAUCACUCUUUUUAUGCUCCAAAGCUUCAACUUUCCUAACUAGGGAUGCAAAUUUUGCUUGUAAAUCAUGAUCUUCCCUAAGGUUAUGGAUUCCUCCACUAGAUGGAGAUGAUUGUUGCUUAUUUGUCAAUUCAAAAGUUCCAACAGUAUCCCAAUGUUGUGCAUUUUCAGCUAAUUGGUCAAGGUAAUCUAGUGCAUCUUCAGGAUUUUUAUCCCUAAAUUCACCAUUACACAUCAUUUCAACAACCUGUCUACUUUGGGGUAUUAAGCCUUCGUAGAAAUAAGUGACCAAUCGCCAAGUUUCAAAACCAUGAUGUGGGCAUAUGUUAAGCAACUCUUUAAACCUAUCCCAACAUUGGUAUAAUGUUUCUCCAUUUUUUUGAGUGAAAGAAGUGAUUUGCCUUUUAAAAGAAUUUGUUCUAUGAGGUGGAAAGAAUUUUUUCAAAAACUGUUCUUGCAUGUUAUUCCAAGUUCUUACUGAUCCAGAUCUAAGGUUUUGUAGCCAAGUUUUAGCUUUAUCUUUUAAUGAAAAAGGAAAAAGCUUUAAUCUAAUUAUGUUCAUGCUACAAUUUUGGUCCGUGUAUGUAUUACAAACUUCCUCAAAAUCUCUUAGAUGCAAGUACGGAUUCUCAGAUUCUAAACCAUGAAAUGUUGGUAAAAGUUGGAUAAUACCUGGUUUAAAAUUGAAUCGAGAUGCUUCUGGAUGCUCCGGUUCUGGUUGGAUUCAUGUAGUCUCUCAGAGUCCUUGGUUGAUUCUGAUCGUGCCCAUGUUGAGAUUGGUUGUCUCCCUGAUCAAUUUGAGGAUUAAGUUCGCCCAAAACAUUUUCGCCUUCAUUCUCAUCCAUGAUUGGUGGUGGAGAUUGAGAUCUACGAAUUAACCUGCCACUUGAAGAUCGAGACCAACGUCUCAUGCAAGGGUUAUGUUAUAAAGAUAAUAUUUACACAAAUUGAUAAUAAAAUAAAAUAAAAAAUUAAAUAUGCAAAUAAUAUAAGUGUACAAAAGAAAAUUAAAUAACAAUUUUGGUGGUUGAACCCACCAGUUAACAAUAUAAAAUAAAUGCAAAAGAAAGAAAAAGAAAAAAUGGUAGUUAAACCCACCAAUAAAGCAAAAAAAUAAAAUAAAAUAAAAUAAACGCAAAAUAAUAAAAUAAAUAAAUAAAAUGGUGGUUGAACCCACCAAUAAAAAAAAUAAAGCAAAAAAAAAUACAAAAUUAAAUAAAUACUGAAAAUAAAAAUUAGGAGUUAGUAGUUAGUUUGGUGGUUGAACCCACCAAUAAAGCAAAAAUAAAUAAAUACGAAAUUAAAUAAAUGCAGAAAAUUAAAUAACUGAAAUUAAAAAAGUUAGCAGUUAGCAGUUAGUAAGUUAAGAGUCAGUAAUUAGAGUUAGUAGUUAAAGUUAGUUUAGUCCAAAAUAUGUUAGUUUAGUCCAAAAUAUGUCCAAAUAUGUUCAAAAUAUGUCCAAAUAUGUCCAAAAUAUGUCCAAAGUAUGUCCAAGUCUUAAUUAUUUUGAGGAAUUUCGUCUAGGGAUUCUAUUGCAAAUUAUUUUUAAUUUUAUGGUCAAACUGUAAUUUUUAGAAGUUUAGAAUUAGUAAUUUGGGAUGAAAGUGAAACAGUUGAAAGAUAUCGGGGUCCGAACGUAAUUACCAGAAGAUUGGGCUGGAAACGGAAAUUGUUGGGGUGAAACUAGAAUUAUGAAAGAUAUGGGGACAAAAGAGAAUUUAAGAAAAGAAAAAGGGGGUAAACGAAAUUUUACAUAUAAGAGAAAAAUAAAAAACGGAAAAACAAACCAAAUAAAAAAAACUUUUCCCCGGCAACGGCGCCAAAAACUUGACACAUCUUAAAAGUAAUUUUUAACUCUCAAGUAUAAGAGUGUCUUGUUGUAUUAUAACUCGGUGAGUCCGAGGUCGAUCCACAGAGAAAAGAUUUAAUUAGUUUAUUUUAUUUUAUCUAAAAAUUGAAAUUAAAACUUGAAUAUAAACAACUUAAUUUAAAUGAAACUAUGGAAUUGAACUAGUUAAGGUUAUGGAUCCACUCUUAGAAAUAAAUAAAACUUAAUAAAUUCUUUUUGCCAAUUUGUUUUAGAUUUAUUACCCAAAAGAUUAAUUAUACAAAUUAUUAUUAUUUUCCCUUUAAUUUUAUGAUGGAUUAAGUAUUUAUUGUGCCAAAAUUUAAUUUGUCUACAAUAAGGCAAAAUACCAUUUCACCAUGCCUUAUAUUAAGAUCUUAAGAAUUUAUUGUGCCAAAUUCAUUUGUUUGUCUACAAUAAAUCAAAAUUUCAAAAUAUAAAACAUGUAUAAAAUUAAAUAGAAAAUAAUUUAAUUUAUAAAAUUAAACAUAGAAUUUGAUUAAAUCAUAUUUAUUUCUUAAGAGUUUCACCUUCCCCUAACUAAUAUUAUUUAGUUAAGCAUAAUUAAAAUAAAAAGUAGUAAAAUUGAAUUACUUGUAAUUAAAAGAAAUAAAAACAACUAAAAUUGGAAAUAAAACUAAUUUUAUUAAUGAAAAUAAUUAUACAAAAUAUUAAAAACACACCUGGAAAUCAAGAUUACAAGGAGAUGGAGAGAAUUUGAGAAUAAGAGAGUUGUAGAGAGAUGAUUAAAACAUAAAAAUGAGGCCUUAUUUAUAGAAAAAUAAAUUCAUAAUCCAGUGCUUUGUGGUCCAUCAUAGGCUUCAUGCAUGUGCUCCUCACAACCCUUAGAUCAAGAUCCAAUGGCUGGUCAAACUUCAAAAGUCAACAUCACACAUGGCAUCAUUUGACUCGUCCGAUUUGCCCAAAGAACGGUUGAGAUUUGGCGGGUUAAUGGGUGGAUCGGGUCGACCCGAAUACAAAGAUUCGGAUCCUCCAACUUGCUUCACCAACCAUUGCCACGUGGCACAAUCAUGGCCAUUGAAUGAUGAACGGUUGAGAUUUAGUCAAGAUUGCCAGUUAUCCCAUGCACUCAUAUCUAUUGUAAGCUCAUUUCAUCAUCCAAUCAGUGCUCGGUCAACAGGAAAAGUCAAUUUUUUUUACACAAGCCCAAUUUUAAGCCGAUCUUGACUGAUCUUAAGGUUUUCGAACCUCCGGAAUCCAAAUUUGACCUCCGUUUAUUUGUUUGGAGCCUCGAAGUACGUGAAAUUAAUAAUUUUCCUAAUAAACACAUAAAAAUACACAAAAUUAAAUAUAUUUAAAACAUAAUUAAUAAUUCAUAAUAUAUUACAUAAACACAAAUAUAAAUUAUAACAUAAGCAUAAAAUAACAUAUUAUCGCUUGAUAACUAAACAAUUUUUAAUACUAAUCAGGUGGAACUUGAAUCUGGUAAAAAGAUCAAGUGUUUGAGGACAGAUAAUGGUGGAGAGUAUACAAACGGCGAGUUUCUUGCUUUCUGUAAGCAAGAAGGUAUUCAGAGGCAGUUCACAGUGGCAUACACUCCUCAACAAAAUGGAGUGGCAGAGCGGAUGAAUAGAACUCUUACAGAACGGAUAAGAGCUAUGUUAAUGACUGCUGGUCUACCCAAUUCAUUUUGCGCAGAAGCAGCCAAAACUGGCUGUUAUAUAGUAAAUCGAUCGCCAUCUAUAGCUAUUGGGCUGAAGACAGUGAUGGAGAUGUGGACUGGAAAGCCAGCUAAUUAUUCCUACCUACAUGCAUUUGGAUGUCCUGUGUAUGUGAUGUACAAUGCCCAAGAAAGAACAAAGCUGGAUCCAAAAUCUAGAAGAUGUAUCUUCUUGGGGUAUGCUGAUGGAGUAAAAGGGUAUCGUCUGUGGGACCCCACUGCCCACAAGAUCGUCAUCAGAAGAGAUGUUAUCUUUAUAGAAGAUCAACUGCAAAUGAGAGAUGAGGAUGAUGGCACUGCAAAAGAAAAGUCAAAGAUUGUGCCGGUAUAUGUCGAAAAUAAUCUAAAAAAUUUAUAUUCUUCUGAAGCAGUACCAGAGCACGAGGAACAAGAACCAGUCGAGUCCGAGGCUCCAGAAGUUCGUUGGUCAAUGUGGCACUCGGAGUAUGUCACAGAAAUCAAUGUUGUAUACUGUCUUCUAACAGAGGAUGGAGAGCCUUCAACUUUCCAUGAAGCUUUAAACAGCUCAGAUGUUGCUUUGUGGAUGACAGCAAUGUAGGAAGAAAUUGAAGCUCUACACAAGAACAAGACAUGGGAACUUGUACCACUACCACGUUGUAGAAAAGCCAUUGGAAACAAAUGGGUCUACAAGAUCAAACGUGAUGGCAAUGACCAAAUGGAGCGGUAUCGUGCAAAAUUGGUGGUGAAAGGAUAUGCUCAGAAAGAAGGUAUUGAUUUCAACGAGAUAUUUUCGCCGGUGGUUUGACUCACAACAGUCAGAGUAGUCUUGGCGAUGUGUGCUACAUUUGACUUACAUCUUGAGCAGUUAGAUGUGAAAACUGCAUUUCUUCAUGGAAAACUUGAAGAAGAAAUAUAUAUGCUCCAACCAAAAGGUUUUGCAGAAACAGGAAAAGAGAACUUGGUCUGCAGGUUGAAUAAAUCUCUAUACGGUCUCAAACAGGCGUCGAGGUGUUGGUAUAAGAGAUUUGAUUCCUUCAUUAUGAGCCUUGGAUACAACAGACUCAAUUCAGACCAUUGUGCAUAUUACAAGAGGUUUGAAGAUAGUGAUUUCAUCAUUUUGCUGUUGUAUGUGGAUGAUAUGUUGGUAGCAGGUCCCAACAAAGAUCGAGUCCAAGAAUUGAAGGCACAGUUGGCUAGGGAGUUUGAAAUGAAGGACUUGGGACCAGCAAACAAGAUUCUAGGGAUGUAAAUUCACCGAGACAGAAAUAACAGGAAGAUUUGGCUUUCUUAGAAGAAUUACUUGAAGAAAAUCUUACGACGCUUCAACAUGCAAGAUUGUAAGUCAAUUUCUACCCUACUUCCUAUUAAUUUCAAAUUAUCCUCAAGUAUGUGUCCAAGCAAUGAAGCAGAGAGGAAGGAAAUGUCUCGAGUACCGUAUGCAUCAGCAGUGGGAAGUUUGAUGUUCGCUAUGAUAUGUACUAGACCGGACAUUGCACAAGUAGUGGGAGCAGUCAGUCGAUACAUGGCGAAUCCUGGUGGAGAGCAUUGGAUAGCUGUGAAGAGGAUUCUAAGAUACAUUAGAGGAACCUCAGAUGUUGCAUUAUGUUAUGGAGGAUCAGAGUUUACUGUCAGGGGCUAUAUGGAUUCAGAUUUUGCAAGAGACCUUGAUAAAAGGAAAUCCACUACUGGUUAUGUGUUUACACUUGCGGGAGCAGCUGUAAGUUGGGUUUCGAAACUGCAGACCGUUGUGGCUUUAUCUACAACAGAAGCAGAAUACAUGGCAGCUACACAAGCUUGCAAGGAAGCUAUUUGGAUACAAAGAUUAUUGGAGGAGCUAGGGCACAAACAACAGAAAAUUCCUGUGUUUUGUGACAGUCAGAGUGCCUUGUACAUUGCAAGGAAUCCAGCCUUUCAUUCCAGGACAAAGCACAUAGGAGUUCAGUAUCACUUCGUUCGUGAAGUAGUGGAAGAUAGAAGUGUGGAUUUGCAGAAAAUCCAUACCAAAGAGAACCUAGCAGAUGUUUUGACCAAGCCGAUAAAUACUGAUAAGUUUGUCUGGAGUAGAACCUCUUGUGGCUUAGCAGAAACGUAGGCAACAUGAUUAUGGCGAAGCAGAAAGGAUGGUGUGGAGAUUGAUUGAUUCUCAAUCUAAUCUCCAAGUGGGAGAAAUGUCAAAUAAAGUGGCCAUCUAGAUGAUCUAAAGCUGCCAUCUAGAUGGUCAGCAACAAUUUUGUUCAAAGAAGACGAAGAAUUUUGCAGCAAGUUUGAAAGAAAAAGAAGCACACGGCUUUGACAUUUGAAAGAAGAAAAAGAAGGUAAAAAAUAAUAUAGAAUUGAUUAAUAGUGCCAAAGCUUUCUCUAUAAAUAGAAACGAAGAGAAUAAGCAAAUGCAUUCCAUUCAGAAAGCAAUUUAGGGAGUUGAGAGAGAGUUCAAGAGCUUGCAUUUAUAAGCUCUUGUUACAGUGAUUGAGAGAGUUUGGGUGUAUUGGGGUUUUUGGGAAGUGAGCUAAAAUACUACAAUACUUAUAACUCCUUUUCACUAGUAAAAUAUUUCCUUCUGUCUUCGCCCGUGGAUGUAGGCUAAAAGCCGAACCACGUAAUUUCUGGUGUCCUCUAUUGUGCUUGUUCUUUAUUUUCCUUCUAAUUUCAUUUUAGCUGCGGUCUUGCUUCAUCCACCAAAUUUCCUAACAGAUGCUCCAACAACGAUAAUAGGAGACAUUUCGGCUGAUAAAUUUUCCUUAAUGUGUAAGAGAAUCUUUGCAUAAUCUGCCAAAGCUUGACCAGAGUUGAAAUAUCCACGAAGAGUUGCAUUCUUUAGGGCAUCUUUGCGUGAUAUAAAAGGUACUGAUUUUCUAUAGAACCGAUGCUGCAUAAAAAAUCGAAUUAAAGAAAAAAAAUCCAUCACAACUUUUCAGUUCAUAUUGUAGAAUAUUCUGAUUAAGAUUUGUCUUUAUUAUUAUUAUUUUGUAUGGGAACUCUAUUUCAAUUAUUAUCAAGCUAGCCUGAUAACAGAUUCUUUACUUACCUCUAUGUAAACUUGUAAGGCUUUAAAUCAACGAGCAUUAUCAGUAAGCCAUCCAGUGCCACCAAGGUCAUCAUCAAGACUACUCUCUUUACCAAGAUAUGCCAAUAUCGGCGCCGCCGUGGCUCCACCACCACCCCAAUGUUUGAAGUUCAACACAUAUCUAUGAGAAAAAGUUAAAUAACUUUGUGGAUUAUAGUUAAAGUGAUCAAGUAUUUGAUCAUCAUAAUAAGUUUCGAGAUCACCCUUUGGUUCUGAAGUUAAUAUUUUUUUACUAGGGUUUAGAAAAAUAGUCUUUCCACGCACAACACCAAGCUUUGGGAUGUUUUUUAAUGGUGAAGUGGAAGCAAAAGCAAAAUUUGUGAGGAGAAGAAGAAAAAAGGCAUGGAAGCCACCGACCUUCCAUGGCAAAGUUGUAAAUCCUUAAUUAGCAGGAUGAUUAUGUAAAUACAGAAGAAAUAGAAUUAAGAUUCGGUUAUAAAUUCAGCUUCAGAAUCGACGUGUUUUUUAAUCUAUUCUGGAUUUUUUAUUAUCCUAUCAUAUAAUCAUUGGUGGUUUUAGUUUUAUAUUAGUAAUGAUCUUUAGUUUUCAUAAAAUUAUGGUUUUUCUAAUAUAUAUUGUUAUCAGUUUCGUAACUAAAUACGUUGCGGUGAAAAUUAUUAAGUCUUUCCUUAGUAAUUAACUAACUUGACAUACGUAGUUCUAAUGGUUGGACACAUAUUUCUAAUUUAAUUAACUUGUAAUUAAUUAUUUGCUAGUAAUUAACUUGAUUUAGUAUGUGGUAAAUACAUAAUUUUGAUAAAAUCAGUAAAAAAAUAGUAAAUUUUCUAUCAUGUAAGUGUAAAAUUAAAGAUAUAAUUUUUUUUAAUUACAAUAGCUAAUAUUUACUUGAUACUUUAAUACUGUAACUUUUAAACUAAGCUACCCAAACAUGGUUGUAAUUUUCUAUAAUCAUGCUACCAAAGAUGUCAGGAUUCCAAUCAUUGUUUACGAGGCUACUAUAUAUGUUAAUCAUGCUAAUGCUAUAAGCCUUGGAUUGGAAGUAAUGUAAAUCCAACCGUUGGGUAACGUAGCUAGCCUAAUUACACUUUAUUAAGAGAACAAUACAAUUAACAAUAGUCUCACAUGAAAGGGUGGCAAUUCAUUAUCCGAAUUUGUGAAUUAGACACUAACACAUCAUAUCGAGAAGAUUUUUUAUGACUAUUAUGACAACUUGUUCACGUCCAACAAACCAUCCCAAAGCCAAAUGGAGAAUGCACUGAAGAUCUGCCUCGCAAAGUCACUGAAGAGAUGAAUGCCCAGCUAAAUCAGCCCUAUACAGAAGCAGACAUCACAGAAGCUUUGAGCCAAAUGCACCCUACAAAAGCCCCUGGUCCAGAUGGCCUUCCAGCUGCUUUCUUCCAAAAGCAUUGGAAAUCAGUAAGUCAAGGUGUUACUACCACAUGCUUGCAGGUCCUAAAUAACAAAGGUAACCCUACUCCACUAAAUCAUACUUACAUAGCUCUGAUUCCAAAGGCUGAAAAACCUAAGAAAAUGGCGGAUUUUAGACCGAUCAGCCUAUGUAAUGUAAUUUAUCGGAUAAUUACAAAAACCAUUGCCAAUAGGUUGAAGCUGGUUUUGAACGAUGUAAUCUCACCAGCUCAAAGUGCCUUUGUUCCAAAUAGGCUCAUAACCGAUAACAUAAUUAUUGGUUACGAAUACUUACAUAAAAUAAGGCUUAGUAUGGGGAAAAAACAUGGGCUAGUGGCUUUGAAAUUAGACAUAAGCAAAGCAUAUGACAGGGUGGAAUGGGACUUUUUGAAAUGUACCUUAGAAAAAUUGGGAUUCUCGCUUGGCUUUGUUGAAUUGAUAAUGCAAUGCAUAACUACCUCUUCAUUUUCUGUGCUGAUAAAUGGGGUGGCUAAAGGGCUGAUCCAACCUCAAAGAGGAUUAAAGCAAGGAUGCCCAUUGUCCCCAUAUCUUUUUAUUCUCUGUGCAGAGACUUUUACAAAUCUUUUACAGCAAGCAGAAUCUCAGCAACUGAUUCAUGGGAUAAAAUUCAGCAAUGAACUUUCCAUCACUCAUCUUUUGUUCGCUGAUGAUAGUUUGAUUUUUACAAGAGCCACAAGGGAGGAUUGUACAAAUUUAAAGAAGAUUUUUUAGUGUUAUGUUGCAGCCUCUGGGCAGAUUUUCAAUUUCGAGAAGUCGUCUAUGUUUUUCAGUGAGAGUACCAAGCCGUAGCAGAUUUCCUCAAUUACAACCAUCUUCCAAAUUCAGGUGGUAUCCAGGCAUGCAAAAUACUUAGGGCUGCCCUCCAUGGUGGGUAGAAAUAAGACGAGUUUUUUUAAGGAUAUCAAACUCAGAGUUCUUGGAAAGAUUUCGAGCUGGCAAGCAAAUUUGUUCUCUUGUGGGGAGAAGGAGGUGUUGAUAAAUGAUGUAGCUCAAGUGGUGCCUGCAUAUGCCAUGAGUGUGUUUAAGCUCCCCCUAGGACUUUGUGAUGACAUGCAAAAGGCAAUUGCUAGUUUUUGGUGGGGAAGCAGCCGAGAUCACAAGUCAAUCCAUUGGUCGAAAUGGAAUAAUUUGUAUCAAGCAAAGAGUAGAGGUGGGCUGGGAUUUCGAAACUUGUCCAGCUUNNNNNNNNNNNNNNNNNNNNNNNNNNNNNNNNNNNNNNNNNNNNNNNNNNNNNNNNNNNNNNNNNNNNNNNNNNNNNNNNNNNNUUUUAAAAAUUCAAGUCUGAUGCAGGCUCAGUUAGGCUCAUAUCCUUCCUUUAUAUGGAGGAGUAUUUUAUGGGGUCGAAAUGUAUUAGAAAAAGGGUUGCGCUGGAGAAUUGGAAAUGGUGAGCAGCUGCUAGUGUAUCAAAGUCAAUGGAUUCCUCGAUCUAUAACUUUUCAGCCAAUAUCCCCCCCAUCAUUGAGCCCAGAUACAAUUGUUGCAAAGCUGAUAAGUGAGGAGCAAAGCCGGAAAGAAGCUGUAAUUAGGCAACAUUUUCUAAAAGAAGAUGCUGAUCAAAUUUUGAAAAUCCCUUUGCCAAGACAACCAAAACCUGACCAAGUGUUGUGGCACUAUGAUAAGAAGGGUAAUUAUUCAGUUAAAAGCGGUUACCAAGUGGCUAUGAAAAUGAAUUUUCCUGAGAAGCCAAGCUGCUCGAGUGAGAAUGAUAAGUAUUGGCAUGCUAUUUGGUAUUUGCAACUUCCGGAAAAAGUUAAAAUCUUCAUGUGGAGGGCGGCAAAUAACUUGUUGGCAACGGCAGGAAAUCUUUGGAAGAGGACAGUGGUGCAAUUCCCUUGGUGCCAGAGAUGUAAGUUAUCAAAGGAGACUAUUUUUUCACACUCUCUAUGAAUGCAAAGCUUCAAGGAAAAUUUGGAGGCUAACCCCUUUUGGGGAGGAUAUUGAGUUUAGCAAUGGAAGAGAUGUUCUAAGCUUGCUGUAGGAUUUGAAUGGAAAAAGGAGAAAAUCUGAGAUGGAACUGAUUGUUGCUGUGUGCUGGAGCAUCUGGCACUCAAGGAAGCUUUUCCUCUUCAAAAACAAAAAAGAAGAUCCCCAGCUAUCAGUUGCAGCAGCAGAAGCAAUGGUGCAAUCUUAUAGCAGAAUCCAAAUGCCCCAAAUGCAAAGUAACUCCCAGCUGAGUACUGCUAAUCAGAAACAAUGGAAACACCCUCCAGAGGGCUGGUUCAAAGUUAAUGUUGAUGCAGCAGUAGGAGUGGAACAACAAAGAGCUGGCCUGGGAAUUGUUAUAAGGAAUUCAGGAGGAAAGUUUAUAGCUGCAGCAAUGAAGCCCUCAAAGUUUAUUGGCAAGAUUGAUUUUGCAGAAGCUGAAGCUAUCAGGCUCGGGCUGGAGAUAGCAGAAAAUGUUGGAUGCUUUCCACUAAUUGUGGAAUCUGACGCCCAGGAAGUGGUGGACUUAGUCAAUUUCAAGAAAAGCUCAAGAGCUGAAAUAUUCUGGGUUGCUUCUGAAAUGCAAGACCAAGUAAAGAGGCUGAACCAGGUGAAAGUAGAAUAUACCCCAAGAGGGUGCAAUACAUUAGCUCAUUCUCUUGCAAGACUAGCAUUAGAGCUAAAUGAUUUUGUUUUUUGGGUAGAAAAUAUACCCUCAAAUUUUUUGUACCUAUUCACACAGUUGGAUAAAUGAAAGUAAUACUUUCUCUCAAAAAAAAAAAAAAUUAUCAUGUCAAAUCUCUGUAUCCUCUUCACUAAUCAAUUCGUUUUUGCACUUUGACUUCCCCACAGGGAAUUCUUAAUUAAUUAAUUUAUUUUUUUAAAUAAGUGCAAAAUUUAUCCCGCCGAGUAUAAUCAAGGGGUGCACGUCAAGACAAAACAAGCAACAGCUGCGACAUGGUUUCAGAGUCAUAUCAUCUAUAAGCCAAACGUGUGUCUGCUCAAUUAGACACCAUAACCUCUAAAGACAAAACAAAUGCAUGCAACUUACCAUAAAAAGAUGAAUGACGAAGUCAUUAUGCAAACUAGAAGAAAUGUAAACUGAUAGGCAAUAAUUGAAAUAAGAUGCGAAAUUAUUUAUAACACAAUUAACAAUUCAACAAUCAGAUGUGUUGAUUUAUUUUCAAUCUGACUUAGACACUAUGUUAUAUUUUAUUAUGUUUUAAUAUAUAUAUAUAUAUAUAUAAAUAAUCAAAAAAUUAUAUAAAAUUCACCAUGAAAAUAAGGAAAACGAAAAAAAAAAUCGAACGGGCCCGCUGAUGGAUCACCAAUGAACGAAAAAGAGCAACUGAAACAAACGAAAUGCAAUGGCAUUUUGGGGAAUCUAUCAAAAGCUGAUACCCUUUUUGCCGAUUCCCAGCCAACCUCUAUAAAUUGCCCGCAAUUGGAAAAAUUCGACCAAAAAAAAAAACAAAUUCACUUCAAAAAGUUCACACACACUCACACACACGCGCGCGCGCGCGCGCGGAAGCCUACUUCUUCUUCUUCUUCUUCUUCUUUCAAUUCUCUGGUAAAACGCAAUAUUUUUUUGUCGUUUUUUCUUCCUGUUAAUACUUAAUGCUUGGGCGUUUUGUGUAUAAUGGAAAUGGAGUCUCGUGUCUGAUUUAUUAUCGCAGGGAACGAUGAAUUAUGCUGAUCUAAAUCGACGUAUCACCGUUAAGGUAACUAUAUAAUUUUUUAAUUUCAAAUUCAUUUCUUUCUUUUCUUUUGUUUUUUAAAAGAGUAAUAUUAGCUUCAACUGUGAUGCUGUUCAGUAGCAGUGCUGACCUUUUUAUUCAUAAAUGUCUUCAGAUAUUUCAUAAUAUGGAAUAUUCUUCUUUAUUCUGUUCUAUUUAUUUACUGGUUUUAAUGUACAUAUUGUCGAGGAGCUAAAUACGCGAGUAUAAAAAUUAACUUCAACUGAUAAUUGGUAGUCUGAUUAUGCCAUUAGUUUUAUCGAGUCCACGUUGAUUCAGUUUGUUGUUUGAUUUUUAUGUGGAACUGUUACUUGAUUAUACAUGAACAUUCACUUGUGCAAAUUUAAUAAUGCCACAUUAUUUAAUAUUUAAUUUUGAAGGCCACUUUUUUAGUUGAGGGCAGGGAACCACUACGAUUCCAUAACACGCUCAUCUAAUCACCUUGACAAUAAGACUUCUCCUAGUCGGCAAUUAUUUAGAAAUAACGUCUUGACAUAUGCUGCGGAAAUUAAAGAAUGAAGUAGACUUACGAAGUCAAGGUGUUUUUCUAGUCUACAUAUUUUAAUUUGUGUAGAAAAUUAGAAAUAUUCAAUGUAUAAUCUGAUUCUACACAAAGACUAAUGCCCCAAGAUUGUGAUUGAAAUGCUAUAAGCAGCUUAUUUUAUAAGUUUAGAUAAAAAUGAAGUUUGAUGGCUUCGUUAAAAGUUGUUUUUUUUAAUAAUUUUCUCUAUUUUGACUGUAACUUUUAAAAACAAAAUAGAGAUUAUUUUUAUAAGUAACUUAUUAAAUAAGUUGCUAUAUCUUUUUAAAUGUUCAUAUUAUAACCUUAAUAUUUUAAGAAAAGAAUAAUUAUAUCUUACUUUUCUAUAAGAUCUAAUAUAUAAAUAAAAGACAAUUUAAACGCAUGUUUAUUUUAGUCAUUAAAUAAUACAACACAUUCAUAAUCAAAUUUACUAAACGUGAGCAAGAUACUUUUUUAAUCAUCAACUUAUUUCGUCCUCACGAUAGAAAUAACUUAUUUUAUCAACCACCGCCAUCCUAAACUUGGUGCUAAGUCUCGUUUGGGAUUGCAUUAGAUUGUCAAAUAAUUAAGAGAAAUAGCUAUUAAGGAGAAGAAUAGGAAGAGGUUCGCCAGAAGCAAUAUACUCGCAAGCUUGGCUACUAAUAAACGAAGCAUACAAGCUUAAACACCUAAAAUAUAUAUAUAGAGAGUAGUUUUUUGGUACGGGAUCUUAAAGUGCGGGAAACAUUAGGAAAAUUUUUAAAACCUCGGGAUUUUAAAGGCUUAAUAAUUAAAACACUUAAACUGAACGGUUUAUGCGUUUUCCCGGACGUUCUCGUACUUUAAAAUUCUGAAUUAGAAUAUUUUUAUAUGUGUGUGUUGUUGUCCAAAUUUUAAUGUACUCGCAAGCGCACGAAUCUAUUGUUGUAUAGAUCAAUGGUGACGAGUGUCGAUCCCACGAGGAGGUGGAUUUUAAUUGUGUAGAAUUAAUUUUGUAAAUGGGUGAUUGGAUUUGUGGUGGAAAUGAUUUGGAAUAUCCUAAAACUUAAAUUAAAAUGGCGAGAAUAAAUUCUAAAAUUGGAAUUGAAAUUACGAGAAUAAAUUGAAGAGAAUUCUAUUAAAAUGACGUACUUGGGUAUCUGGAUCCGUAUCAACAUGCAUCAUGGGCUAAAUAAUCCUUAUUAAUGCCAAUUAAAUCAUGAGGGGGGAAUCCACACCUCAUGAACCACACUCUAAUCAAUAUGGUGCUAAGGGCUUAUCGUGCCAAAUAAUAAUAACCUUGUACUAGAGGGCCGGUGAAACCAAGGCGGUACUAGACAAGAUUAGUAUUAUUUGUCGACGAGAAGUCAAAACAUCCACAAAAACUAGAGGGGAAGAGAAAAUAAAUUUACCAAAUAAAACCCAUGACACAUGUUGAGACUUCACUUUCAACCCAAGCUUGAAAGAAAAUUAGCUACUCAUAAUUGAACUAGGGGCAAAAUGAGAAUUUAUUAAAAUACGAAGAAACUACAAGAUGGAGAAGGAAUUACAAAAAAUAGAGUCCAAAAAUGGAUUCAGAGAUAUCAAAUUAUGGGGGAGAGGCCCCCUUUUUAUAGAUACAUCAAGUAAAUCAUGGCCAUCGGAUUAAAAACAGUUUGGACGCUCAGGAUUGCGCCACGUCAUCAGUCAACAGUACGCGGUUUGACCACGCGGAUGAACAGUAACACGGUUUGACCUAGAUGAAUAGUAACGCGGUUUGACUCGGAUGAACAGUAACGCGUUUGAUUGAAAAUAAUCCUGUGUGAUGCAUGUACCGUACGCGAGAUUUUUCGUCCACUGAUAGGCUGCCACGUCACCAUCAACAGUACAUAAGAAUUUUAGCCCAACAGGAUCGUGACACCUCAUCAGUCAAUGCCACAUCAUCGGUCAAUGCCACGUCAUCAUCCGUCUAUGUGAACAAUGUAGUGAACAGUAACGUAGACAGUACCGUACACGUGAAUAGUACCGUACAUGUGAAUAGUGUCAUUUUUCCUUUUAUGCUCCUCCUAAGGUUUUCGACCGUCCUGAGUUCAAAAGUGAUGUCCGUUUUGCCGUCUGAUCUCUCCUUUAUUGUAAAAUGACUAUAAUGCCCCUAAAAUACAUAAAAUACUUAAUUAAAAUAAAACACAUGUAAUUAAAUCACAAGAAGGUUAAAUACAUAAAAGUAAGGGUUGUUAGUAAGACUUGAAAUGUAAAAUGACGGUCUUCUCUUUUAUAAAUUUACAUUUUCUAACACUCAACACACCCCCCAACCAGCUUAUUGCUAGUCCCUAGCAAAUAAAGCGAAAACAAAAUUCAAAUUCAAAAUAAAUUUUUUUUUAAUAAAAACACUCGUAUUUAUUCCAUUAGAUUAAUAAUAGCAAUCAAAUAAAAGUAUAAGCAUUAUCUCCAGUCUAAAGCAACAUCACACCCACAUCAACCAUCCACAUGAAUCAGCUCAGUAGACUUUGUUAUAGCUACUUUCAAGAAUGACAUGUCAAACCCCAAAAUCUCACUGGAAGUAGUGACACUCUCACAAAGAAAUUAAAACCAAUAAAAAUAGUCACUCCAAUGAAUGGUAAUUGAGAGAGAAAAUAAUAAAGAAGUGAUAUCACAUGCUCUCACCAAGAUGAAAUAAAUAUGCCCUCAGCUUAGAAAUAAUACAGUCUCAAGUCAAAUAAAAAUGCUAGUCAACCCAAUUUAUUUAUCUUUUUUUUAUAUUUAUUUAUUUAUUUUUAUUAUGCACCACUACAUCUCUUUAGCCCACAUAACUAGCUUCUACUUCAAAUUAUAGUUCCCUAAAAUCAGGAAGGACUUUUAUUAGGAUGUAACGUAGGCUAGGGACAUGGUUAACAAAGAAGGGAAAUAAGGAAAACAAAGUAUAUGUUUGAGAAAAAUGCAGAGGACUUUUUUUUUUUUUUUGGGAGUUGCAAGGUGGAUUUCACCUAUUAUUGUUAUUUUUAUUCUUUUGAAACAACAAUUUUUUUCUUUUGUUUUAGCAACAACAAUUUUUUAUUUGAACUAGGCAUAACUUCAUUGUACAAAAUGUUUAUUUACAUUUUUCUCAAACAUAAAUAGGUGAUGGAACUUAUAAGACAUCGGGUAAUACUCCAAAUCGGAGUGGGUCAAGAUGAUAAGUUGACAAAGAAAAGGUUUUUUUUUUUUUUAAAGGCUCAAAAGGGUUAACUAUGGAUAUUUAAUAAAAGGGAUGGCUAGAAAGGCUCAAACGGAUCAAAGAUGGCCUUUCCAUCGUCUUUUAGGGCUCUAAAUAAUCAUCCAUAUCUACUAGUUAGACAGGCCUCCAAAUGUAGCAACACACUUUUUUUUUUUAAUUUUACAAUUUUUUUUAAGGAUUAACUUAAAAGAAAUCUAAAGAUCGUGUAUAAAAUAAUAAACUGCUAAACUGUAUAGAGAAUGGGCAAAAGGGUUACUCUCCAAGAAAAUAAUAGGUUCAACAACUCACUUGGCACUUAUUUAUGACAUGUUCAUUCCUUCAAGCAACUCAUAUUUGUCUCCGACAUCAACAUGUAGAGUAGCAAACAUAAUGUAACAUCACUUAAGACCAAAGAUAAUACAAAUACUAAAAUUUGAAAUUAAUCAUGUCAUCCAAUGUUAAAACAAAUCACACAAUUUUUUUUUAACAACAUUCUACCCCCCAACCUAUUCUAAACAUGAAAGGAAAAUAUGCAUGCAGAAAUGUGAAAAUGAUGCAUAAAAACUAAUUAGAAAAGUUACACGUAAAAUAAUAGAAAACAAAGAUGGUUUUUUUUUUUUUAAAGAUGCGUUUCUAGAGGCACUACACUCCAUAUUCAGCCAUCUUCGACUCAAAAGUUGGAAAAUGUAUAUUUAUAGAGGAGAAAUUAAAAAGAAGAAGAAAAAUGAACAUCAAAACUUAAUAAAGAAAAAAAAAUUAUUUUUAAUUUUUUUGUUUUUUUAAUUAAUUAAUUUUUUUUAAAACAAUGAAGAUGCGUUUCUAGAGUCACUAUCCUCCAUAUUCAGCCAUCUUCAACAUAAAAAGUUAGCAAUAGUUAGUUUCUACAACAAACAAUUAGUAAAAACUUAACCAAAAUUCCACAAUUGUCGACUAUUCACUCCCCCCAACCAGAAUGAAACAUUGUCCUCAAUGUUUGAAAGGAAAGAAGUAGAGUUUAGAAGACAUCACCUGGGUGGUGCAACAUAGAAAAUAAUAUUUACAAGCGGAGAGUUAAAUCUAAUUUGUACUUCUUACUGCGGCUACCGUUACCAUCAUUAUUUGGAUGCUCCAACACAAAGGUCCAGGGGUCUGGCUCCGGUCUAUAAGCUUGUAACAUAUCAAGUAGCUCAUUAGCAGUGUGAGCACAAAUAAAGAGUUUUUUCGCAUUAGAGGGAAUGAAAUAGUUUUUUAUUGCAUGGUUAAGAAAUGCGAUAAAGCCAUUAUAAAAGUUAUUGACAUUUAACAAACCGAUGGGUUUUUGGUGGAUAUGCAGAUGGGCCCAAGAUGCUAGUGUGAUAAGUGCCUCUAGUGUUGCAAGAUCUCCUGGAAGGAAAAUAAAAGCAUCAGCAUGAUUAAGCAUUUCAGUUAUUCUUUCUUGCAUACCUGAGACGACUAACUCUUCUCCAGUUGAUGAGUUAGACGAACUGCCCAAUGGUUUUAGGACUCUUGGAAUGAUGCCUAACACUUGACUUCCUCUGACAAAAGCUGCUUCAGAGACCAUUUUUGAUAACCCUCGGUUACCUCCUCCAUACACCAAGUGUAAUUUUCUCUCUGCUAUACUUCGACCAAGAUCGAUGGCUGCCUCAACGAACUCUUUAUGUUUGCCAUAGGUAAAUCCAGAAAGCACACAAAUGUUCUUGAAUUGUCUAUUUGGAGUAGCUGCCAUUAUGAUACUUCUCAAAAAAUAAUUUGUGAGUGCUUGUAAAAAAAAAAUCACAUUUAAGAGCCUUGGUGACAGUGGGUCAUAGUUGUGUAUGAGGUAACAUGUCAGUGUCAAAUAACGUGUAAAGCACGUGGCUCGCGAGUCAAAAAGGAAACAGUAAAAGGGAAAAAGCAAACAGUAAUAAGGAAAAAGCAAACAGUAAUAAAAUUAUUAAAGACAAUAAUGCACACAAUAAAACAAUAGUGAAAUAAAAUAACAGUAAAGUGAAAGGAUAUUUACAGAUAGUUGCGACUGUGGCUCACAUCUUCCUCUGGUUUUAAGUCUAGAAACGGCUUGAACGCCCUCUAUGGGUCGAGGAUAGGCUUCUUAUCCAGUUUUGUUAUAAACUGGCAAACAGGGUCGUUUAUAGUUAGAUUCUCAAGACUAUAUCGUGCAUGCUCUUUCUGGAAUAAUGAUCAUAACUGGAGAAUCGCUCCUUGCACAUAUCCACUGGGAUGCGUUUCAAGAGACAAAAUGAUAUCAUCCAAUGACUCCUUAUUCAAGCCAUCCCUAAUGAAUUGAAUCUUAUCUUCCCUGUUAUCAGACAUCAUUCCUAAAGAACAUGGGUUUUUAUUGCAACUCAUUCUGGCACACUUAUGACAAACAACAGAAAUUCUUCGAGCUCGUUGUUUUCUUGCAUAAUUUUCUUUACCACAACCAGGCAUGUAUGCAAUAAAUUUUGGAGGUAACUCACCUGCCGAUCGUACUUUCGCCUCAAUUAACCAACGAAUAUCAGCAGGUAUGUUAUUCCUCAUGAGCAAUCGCAUGCGUUCGGACCGAGCUUUAUAGAUCGUAAGGAGGGCAUUCUGAGGAAGUGAAGGGAAUCGCUUGUAAAGCUUCGCUAGAAUCUCCUUUCUGUCCAUACUUUCGCCUCAGAAUAUCAGUUAUUAUGGGAAACUGAAGUAACCGACUUGAUUAUCACGGAGUACCGUUAUCCGCCACUUCACCAAGGUAACAAACUAAAGCACACAAACAGAAAAACAAAUUAAAACACAUAAAGAAAAUUAAAAUCGUCCUCUUAUUGAAUUCACCUCAAGCUCCAACUGGAUGUCGUAAACACUUCUCUCAAUAUCUCUGAGUUGGCUUUCUAGACCCUCAACAUAGGAUACUAACUCUGGUGGUUGACACGUUGAAGUGGUUUAAGAAUGUUCAGGAGGAAUGGUCUAAGUAAGGUACUCAUGAUUAAAAAUGAUAAGAGAAAACUUAAUAGUUAAACAAACACACUUAUGCAAAAAUAAUUUCAAUUAGCAAAAGAAUAAUAUAAAGAAAGAAAGAAAGAAAAAAUCAAAUCACUGAAAAGAAAAAAAUCAAUUCAAAUUUGGUGGGUCACUCAAAUUUAUUUCGAUGUCUUCUCCAUGUGGUUGGUAUUCUAGAUAUGGCUUUAAUCUUUGAGCAUUAACUUUAAACAUGACGCCAUUCUUUGGGUCCUUAAUUUCAAUUGCCCCAUGUGGAAAAACAGUAUGAACAAUAAAGGGACCAGACCAAUGAGAGCGUAACUUACCUGGGAAUAGGUGCAAGCGAGAAUUGAAUAAAAGUACUUUCUGACUUGGAGUGAAUGAUUUUCUCAUAAUUUGCUUGUCAUGAAAGACUUUCAUCCAUUGCUUGUAAAUCUUGGCAUUUUCGUAUGCAUCAUUGCGAAUUUCUUCAAGUUCUGCCAGUUGUAAUCUUCUUUCUGAGCUGGCUUGCUGCAUGUCAAAGUUGAAUUUCUUGAUGGCCCAAUAUGCACGAUGCUCGAGUUCCACAAGUAGGUGGCAAGCUUUUCCAUACACUAGCCUGUAGGGUGACAUCCCAAUCGGGGUCUUGAAAGCCGUUCUAUAUGCCCAUAAGGCAUUAUCAAGUCCUAAUGACCAAUCUUUUCUGUCCGGCCUCACCGUCUUUUCUAAUAUGUGCUUUAUUUCUCGAUUGGAGAUCUCAACUUGGCCACUGGUUUGUGGAUGAUACGGGGUCGCCACUUUGUGUGUGAUUGAAUACUUUGUCAAAAGAGCUUUGAAUGCUUUGUUACAAAAGUGGGCACCACCAUCACUGAUUAUUGCUCAAGGGAAUCCAAAGCGUGAGACAAUAUUGCUUUUCAAAAAUCCUAUCACCACCUUGUGAUCAUUGGUUCUGCAUGGAAUUGCUUCUACCCAUUUCGAUACAUAGUCAACAGCAACUAAUAUGUAUUGAUGGCCAAAAGAAGGGGGAAAGGGUCCCAUGAAGUCGAUACCCCAUAUAUCAAAAAUCUCAACCACUAAAAUUGAAUUUAGUGGCAUCAUGUUCCUUCGUGUAAUGCUCCCCAUUCGUUGACACCUAUCAUAUGAAGAACAGAAAGUGUAAGCGUCUUGAAAUAUAGUUGGCUAAUAGAAACCACAUUGCAAAACUUUAGUAGCUGUUUUCUUAGCACUGAAAUGGCCUCCACAAGCUUGUUCAUGGCAGAAUGAAAGGAUAUUCUGAAUUUCACUUUUGGGACACAUCGUCUAACAAUUUGGUCUGCACAAUACUUGAACAAAUAAAGGUCAUCCCAAAAGAAAUUCUUUAUUUCUGCAAAAAAUUUAACCUUGUCUUGCUUGGUCCAAUGCUCUAGAAGUUUACCUGUAACAAGAUAAUUAACUAUAUCAGCAUACCAAGGUAAUACUUCCACAUUCAUUAAUUGUUCAUUUGGAAAUGACUCAUUCAAUGGUAAUGAUUCUGUAAUUGUGUCAAAAUGGAGACGAGAGAGGUGGUCCGCCACAACAUUUUCUGUCCCUUUCUUAUCUUUGAAUUCCAAGUCAAAUUCCUGCAAAAGUAACACCCAACGAAUUAGUCUAGCUUUUGCAUCUUUCUUUGUAAGAAGAUAUUUAAGAGCAGCAUGAUCUGUGAACACGAUUAUUUUACAACCAAUGAGAUAAGAUCGAAAUUUCUCCAAUGCAAACACUACUGCUAGCAUUUCUUUUUCAGUAGUUGAAUAGUUCAACUAUGCAUCAUUCAAUGUCAUACUAGCAUAGUAAAUAACGUGGGAAAUUCGAUCAACUCUUUGUCCUAAUACUGCUCCUACUGCAUAAUCAGAUGCAUCACACAUGAGCUCAAAUGGUAAGCUCUAGUUCGGGGCCUGAAUGAUGGGUGAUGAUGUCAACAACUGCUUUAAUUUUUUAAAAGCCACAAGACAUGAAUCAUUAAAGAUAAAAGGUACAUCAUUAGCAAGUAAAUUGCAUAAGGGUCUAGAAACUUUGCUAAAAUCUUUAAUGAAACGUUUAUAGAAACCAGCAUGCCCAAGGAAAGAUCUUACUUCUCUGACUGUUUUGGGUGGAGGAAGAUUAGAAAUGAGAUCCACCUUGGCUUUGUCAACCUCAAUACCUUUGCUCGAAAUGAUGUGACCGAGAACAAUACCUUGUUUUACCAUAAAAUGACAUUUCUCCCAAUUUAAAACCAAGUUCUUCUCAAUACAUCUCUGCAGAACUAAUGUUAGAUGAUGUAAACAUUGAUCAAAUGAAUCACCAAAGACAGAAAAGUCAUCCAUAAAGACUUCAAGGAAUCGUUCAACCAUAUCAGAAAAAAUGCUCAACAUGCAUCGUUGAAAUGUAGCAGGUGCAUUACAUAAUCCAAAUGGCAUCCUCCUAUAUGCAAAAGUGCCAAAAGGGCAAGUGAAAGUAGUUUUCUCUUGAUCUUUUGGUGCUAUGGGAAUCUGAUUAUAUCUUGAGUAGCCAUCUAGAAAGCAAUAAAAUUCAUGGCCUGCUAAUCUAUCAAGCAUUUGAUCGAUAAAGGGUAAAGGAAAAUAAUCUUUACGUGUGACAGAAUUCAACUUUCUAUAAUCAAUGCAAACACGCCAUUCUGUAGUUACUCUAGUGGGUAUCAAUUCAUUAUCAGCAUUGGUAACUACUGUGACUCCUGACUUUUUGGGGACAACUUGUACAGGACUGACCCAUGAACUAUCAGAAAUUGGGUAAAUGAUACCUGCAUCUAAUAGCUUAAGGACUUCUGUUCUAACAACUUCUUUCAUAUUAGGAUUUAACCGACGUUGCAUUUCCCUAGUAGAUUUAGCAUUUUUAUCAAGGUGAAUGUAAUGCAUGCAAUCUACUGGAUUUAUACCUUUUAUGUCUGCUAUGGUCCAUCCUAAUGCUCCUUUGUGCUCUUUUAAAACAUCCAACAACUUACCUUUUUAUUCGUCAUUUAGGGAUGAUGAGAUGAUUACCGGUACAGUACUUUCUUCUCCCAAAAAUGCAUAUUCCAAAGUGUUGGGUAAUGGUUUGAGCUCAAGUUUCGGUGGUGAUUCUGAUGAUGGGAUGAGUUUCUUCUCUGAUGGUGCUAGUUGCUUAACUCUUGACUUCUAUUUAUCAGUGUCCAUAGAUGGUGUUGAGUCAAGUAGGGCGUUGACCUCAUCGACCGAUCUGUCAAUAUCAAAAUCCAAACCAAAGUGAGUUAAACAUGUUUGUAAAGGAUCAUCACUAAGGUUUGAAACAAAAGUAUCAUCAACUAAUGCUUCAAUUAAAUCCACAUCAACAAUUCCAUCAUCUGCACUGUGAGGUUGUUUGGCAAUGUUGAAGAUGUUCAGCUCCAUAGUCAUGUUGCCGAAGGACAACUGCAUAUUUCCGGUCCUGCAUUGAAUGUGAGCAUCCACAGUUGCCAAGAAAGGUCGGCCUAGAAUAAUGGGGAUGUGCUUCCUCGAGUCCUGUAUUGGUUGAGUGUCAAUUACAAUGAAAUCAACAGGAAAAUAAAAAUUGUCUACCUGGAUAAGCACGUCCUCCACAAUACCAUGAGGUAUUUUUGUGGACCGAUCUGCAAGUUGUAACACCACUGGAGUUGGGUGUAAUUCUCCAAGUCCAAGUUUCACAAACACUGAAUAAGGUAACAGAUUUACACUAGCUCCUAAAUCCAACAAAGCAUUCUCAAUUGUGUGGUUCCCUAUGCUACAUGAGAUAGUAGGGGAGCCCGGGUCUUUGCAUUUUAAAGGAAUUUUGUGUUGGAGUAUAGAACUAAUGUUUUCUGUUAAAAAUGCCUUAUUUUGAACAUGCAUAUUUCUUUUUUUAGUACAAAGGUCUUUAAGAAACUUGGCAUAAGAUGGAACUUGCUUAAUAGCAUCAAGCAAAGGGAUAUUAACACUUACCUGUUUGAAGAUUUCAAGAAUCUCACCUGUGGAUUUUCCCUUUUUUCCUUUAGCUAACCUUUGAGGAAAUGGAGCUUUCGGAACGUAUUCUCAUGAGUUGUUUUCUUCUUUCUCCUCCGGUGAUGAGUACUCAACAUUCACAGGUACAAUUUGAUUUUCUUUUGUCACCAGCAUCUCCACUUUGUUGUCGACUUCUUUUCCUUUUCGCAAUGUCAUGACUGCUUUGACUUCUCCAUGCUGUUGUGGUGAACUGGUACUUGCUUCAUGUACUUCUUUAGGAUUAGGCACGGGUUGACUUGGAAACUUGCCUUUCUCAACAGUCAUUGCCAAGGUCUGAACUGAAGAAGCAAGUUGUCCCACCAUCUUCUCGAGGCUUGAAACUGAUUGGGCUUGUGAGUUGAAGCCCGCUCUCAAUUCAUUUCGUAGUCCAUCAAUGGUGCGGUUCUGUUGCUCAAUCGUGGAGUGAGUAACAUUCCUGAAAUUCUGGAAUGCAUCCUCCCAUGGUCUAGGUUGAGAGUGGUUCUGGUUCUGAUUGUAUGGUCUGAAUGGUGGCUGAGAGGCUUGAGGAAUUUCAGAAAUUUGUUGCAUUGGUGGAGCUGGAGCUGCUGGUCCAUUCUGUUGGAAUCUUUGAGACCAUGAAAAAUUGGGGUGGUCUCUUCAUCCAGGGUUAUAUGUGUUGGAGUAUGGAUUGUAAUUUGAUGGCUUUCUCAUUACACCUAUGGCAUUGGCUUGAUCAGAGUAUGACUCAGGGUCAUGUGGUUCUGUUGAUUUAGCAGUCGAUAACGAUGCUAUUUGUCGAGCAAGACCUUCAACCAUCUCCUUGACUUCUUUGAAUCCCGAAGUUGACUCGCGAAUGUGAACCUCAUUUACUCCCUUAAUUCUUCUAGUAUUCCUGAAUGAUCGACUCCGUUGUUGGGAAUUAUCCGCUUGUCGCUGGAAGAAUUCCCAAAUCUCUGAUGCACUUUUUGACAUUAGCUCUCCUCCACUUGUUGCCAUUAGCCAUUCUUGCACAUUUGGUAGUGAUCCCUCCAAAAAGUAUUGGCAUUGGUGCCAUUUCUCGUACCCAUGAUGUGGACACUUCAAGAGUAGCCCAUUGAAUCGCUCCCAUGUUUCGAAAAACUGCUCGUACUCUCUCUGAGUAAACUCCGAGAUUUCCCUGCGAAUAGCAUUGGUUUUAUGCACUGGGAAAUAUUUAUUCAAAAAUUUAGUUACCAUUUGUUCCCAUGAUGAAAUGCUAUUGGCAGGCAAUGUAUUAAGCCAUGAACGAGCUCUAUCCUUUAAAGAAAAUGGGAAUAAUCUGAGUUUAACAUCAUUGUCUGAAAAAUUUUCAUAUUUAAAGUUUGACAAAUGGCAUGAAAAUCAUUCAGAUGAUUAUAUGGGUCCUCAUUUUCUAGGUCAUAAAAUGUGGGGAGACAAUUUAGCACACUAGAUUUUAAUUCAAAGCUCCUAGCAGCUACAUUUGGGUAUCUUAUACAUGAUGCGCUCAAAUUUGCUAAAGGACUGAAAUAAUCCUUAAAUGGCCUCUCCUGUGGUUGCAAAUCCAUUUUAUUUUUUACUUGUUUGUGUGUGCGAAGUGUUUUCUCAAGUUCAAGGUCUAUAGGUUCAAGAUUGGGUAAUAAUGACAUUCGACCAUGCAUGCAAAACAAAUAAAAUAAAAAAUAAAGAUGGGAACAAAAUAAAUAAAAAUAAAAAAGAGGGAGAAAUUACGAUACUAACCUUAUUGGGCUAUUACAAACUUUCUAUAAAAAUACACAAAAACAAAUACGUGAAAUAAAUUAACUAAACAUUAAAUUAAUAAAAUAAACAAAAAAAAUUACAAAGAAAAAUAAAUUAAAAAUUAAAUUACAGAAUUUUAAAGAAGAGAAAAAGGAAAGAAAUGCUAACCUUUAAAUGUAAAUUCACUUUUUUUUCUUUUUUUUAAUAAUAAAAAAAAUACAAGAAAACAAAUAAAAGAAAUUAUUCACAAAAAUUAAUUCUAAAAAUUACUUACCUCCCUGGCAACGGCGCCAAAAACUUGUUGUGCAAAUUUUAAUAUACUCGCAAGCGCACGAAUCUAUUGCAGUAUAGAUCAAUGGUGACGAGUGUCGAUCCCACGAGGAGGUGGAUUUUAAUUGUGUAGAAUUAAUUUUGUAAAUGGGUGAUUGGAUUUGUGGUGGAAAUGAUUUGGAAUAUCCUAAAACUUAAAUUAAAAUGGCGAGAAUAAAUUCUAAAAUUGGAAUUGAAAUUACGAGAAUAAAUUGAAGAGAAUUCUAUUAAAAUGACGUACUUGGGUAUCUGGAUCCGUAUCAACAUGCAUCAUGGGCUAAAUAAUCCUUAUUAAUGCCAAUUAAAUCAUGAGGGGGGAAUCCACACCUCAUGAACCACACUCUAAUCAAUAUGGUGCUAAGGGCUUAUCGUGCCAAAUAAUAAUAACCUUGUACUAGAGGGCCGGUGAAACCAAGGCGGUACUAGACAAGAUUAGUAUUAUUUGUCGACGAGAAGUCAAAACAUCCACAAAAACUAGAGGGGAAGAGAAAAUAAAUUUACCAAAUAAAACCCAUGACACAUGUUGAGACUUCACUUUCAACCCAAGCUUGAAAGAAAAUUAGCUACUCAUAAUUGAACUAGGGGCAAAAUGAGAAUUUAUUAAAAUACGAAGAAACUACAAGAUGGAGAAGGAAUUACAAAAAAUAGAGUCCAAAAAUGGAUUCAGAGAUAUCAAAUUAUGGGGGAGAGGCCCCCUUUUUAUAGAUACAUCAAGUAAAUCAUGGCCAUCGGAUUAAAAACAGUUUGGACGCUCAAGAUUGCGACACGUCAUCAGUCAACAGUAACACGGUUUGACUCGGAUGAACAGUAACACGGUUUGACUCGGAUGAACAGUAACGCGGUUUGACUCGGAUGAACAAUAACGCGUUUGGUUGAAAAUAAUUCUGUGUGAUGCAUGUACCGUAUGCGAGAUUUUUCGUUCACUAAUAUGCUGCCACGUCACCAUCAACAGUACAUAAGAAUUUUAGCCCAACAGGAUCGUGACACCUCAUCAGUCAAUGCCACAUCAUCGGUCAAUGCCACGUCAUCGAUCCGUCUAUGUGAACAAUGUAGUGAACAGUAACGUAGACAGUACCGUACACGUGAAUAGUACCGUACAUGUGAAUAGUGCCAUUUUUCCAUUUAUGUUCCUCCUAAGGUUUUCGACCGUUCUGAGUUCAAAAGUGAUGUCCGUUUUGCCGUCUGAUCUCUCCUUUAUUGUGAAAUGACUUUAAUGCCCCUAAAAUACAUAAAAUACUUAAUUAAAAUAAAACACAUGUAAUUAAAUCACAAGAAGGUUAAAUACAUAAAAGUAAGGGUUGUUAGUAAGACUUGAAAUGUAAAAUGACGGUCUUCUCCUUUAUAAGUAUGCAUUUUCUGACACUCAACAUGUGUGUGUAUGGAGGGCAAAUCUUUGACUACCUCCAGCUUCAAGGACCUAUACAAUAACUCUUAAAUCAAACGGAGAAAAUAGUUAAUUCAAUCUGAUUGAAUAUGAUUGAUAUUUACCAUAUGAUUAUUACAUAAAGAUUGAGCCUUAAGUGUUUUACAUUAAGUAAUACUGCACAUUUGUUCUACACAUUUAGACAACUCAGAGUAAGAAUUAUGAAAAUGACAACCAAAUCCAAACUAGCUAGGUGCACUAUUAUUAUUUAUCUUUGCUCCAUAAAUAUUAGAAAGAUAGAGGAGCGGAAGAAAAAGAAAAAACUAAUUUUGUAGUCACAAAUCAAUCUUAUGCUCUGAUUUUGAAGCAAAUCUGCAAAAUAUUUGAGGAUCCAACCAUGAAGCAUGUCCACUUCAAUCUUUCGCUGCACUGCUAACCAUUAUGGGUCGUCUUCUAUUGCUGGCUGUACGUCUAAGCAAUGGGAACCUACUCCAAUUUACACACUGUUAAUUAAUUAUGUUAUCAAAUAAUUUAGUUAAUAAUUGAACACUUAUUUUUUAUUUUAUAGAAAAAUUUACAUACUGCUUCUUGUUGUCACUGUUAUUAUAUUGUCUGAUAUCUUCCAAAACCCUAUAAUCUCCCCCCCACCAAAAAAAAAAGAAGAAAAAGAAUAAGGCAUAUAAUUAAACGGGUAACUUCGAUAGAAAAUAGUGUACAAAAUUUUUAAGCUUAAUUACCCCUCGCUGCUAUGGGAUCACGAAGGCCAUUAGGUAAAAUAAUGUUGCUACCAAAUCUCUUUAAAACCACUCUUAUAUCUUGCAAAUUAAAAAGAAAUAGAAAUCAAACAACAAUUGAGGUAAACUUUAUAAUUAAAAAAGAAAAUGAGAAAAAUUAAAUUAUUAAAAGAAUUAAUUUGGGGAUUAAUCAAUACUUACAUGACCUCCGUAAUAUGUUGUAAUCUAAUGUGGUCUCGGAACCACUCCAUAAGACUUAUUGCAUGAAUUCAUAUAUUCUGUCAGAUUAAAUGAGUAUGUUUGAAACAUUGUGUCGUUUUUGCCAAUUCCAAUUGGUGAGACCAUUUCAUUGUAUGUCUGGAUUGAACUCCCCCUCCCUAAAAAAAAUAAUAAAUAAAUAAGAUAAAGAAGAAAACUAUUUUUAAUCAUUCAUAAAUAUGUAUUCUCAUAAAUAAAAUUUAGAGAUGUACAUAAAAUAAGUAUUGUUAGACGAAAGACUCAUUCAUUGCGACAUGUUGUUUAUUUGACGGUCUCAAUAGUACUAUCCAAUUGGUUUAUUGGCUUAUAUUUGUGUGGUGUAGAUCUAUUUGAAUAACAUUGCAGAAAUAUGAGAUAAUAUGGAAAAUAUUAGAAAUAGUUAAUAGCAUUAUUAAGAUACUAAAUAUCAGCCAAAAUAAUAAAAUAAAUAAAAAGCUCAAAGAGUUCUUGUUGUAAAUCAUGACUCGAAUAGGAAAAUAAACAAGACUAAUCAUAUCUUUGUGUAAAUUUAAUUUGUAUAAAAAAAACGUGUAGGUGUAAUAUUAUAAAUAAACUCAUAGAGAAAAGAAUGUGUAAACUCCUGUGAUUUGACAAAAUAAUCAAAAUAAUCUGUUUAUUUUUUAAAAUAGUUACAAAGCUCCUUUUGUAACAUACAAACUAUGGAAAUUCAUGGGCUACUUAACAUCCAUUUUAAUUUUUUUUUAUUUACACAAAAACAUCAUAGACGAAAGAAGAUAAAAAAUUUCAUUGCACCCAAUUUUUUUGCAUGCGAUCAAUAAGGAAAAGAGGCAGAAAGUGUUGGAAAUAUAGCACAAGUGGCUAUUUGAGGCGUGAUUUUGAGUGAGACCUAUGUGGUGUAAGUGAAAAGUUAAAAUUGUUUCAAAUAUUUCUCUGUAAAUACUUCAAAAUGGUUUUAUCUAUAUGAUCAAAAUGAUCCUUGGAUAAAUGAGAAAUGGUAACUGAAAGUAAAUUCAUGGAAUUGGAAAAUUAAAGGAAGAUACAUUUGUCCCACAUGAAAAAGGUAGUGAAGGCAUGAAAGGCUUGUAUAUAAUUAUUUAUAGUAUGAGUAAAAUAUAAACCAAAAUGCUCUCUCUUCCGUGCUCCUUCCUGAGUAUACGAAAGUUGGCCCAAAUCGAUCGUGGUAGGCCUGCCUUAGUCUUGCACAUUUGAAGUUCAUCGUGAAACGAUCCCAUAGUUGUCGUUCAAACCUCUGGGCACUUAAAAAAAGGUUUUCUUUUUAUUUUUUUUAUAUUUUUUAAAUUUAAUAAAUGCCAUAUUAUUUAAUAUUUAAUUUUAAGGCAUCUUUUUAAGUUGAGGGCAGGGAACCACUCCGAUACGUAACUUCGUGACCUGCUAAUCUAAUCACCUUGACUUUGAAGACUUCUUCCCCUAGUCAGCAAUGAUUUGGAACUUACGUCUUGACAUAUGCUGUGGAAAAAAAAGAGUGAAGCAGACUUAUUAAGUCGAGAUGUUUCUUCAGUCUAGAUAUUUUCGUUUAUACGUGUACACAUAUUCAAUGUCUAACCUUAUUUUGAAAAAAGACUAAUGUCCUAUUUGGGAUUACGGUUGAAAUACUAUAAAUAGUUUAUUUUAUAAGUUUUGAUAAAAAUAAUGUUUGGUAAAUUUGUUAAAAGUUAAUUUAUAUUUUCUCUAUUUUGACAAUAGCUUUUAAAACAAGUAUGAGAUUAUUUUUAGAAGCAACUUAUUAAAUAAAAUGCAUUUUUUUAAAUUUUCUAUUAUAACUAAGAAAAGAAUAAUUGUAUCUUACUUUUUUUAUAAAUCCUAAUAUAUAAAUAAAAGACAAUUUAAACUUAUAAUUAUUUUAGUGAUUAUAUAAUAAAAUAGUUCUUGCAUAAUUGAAUUUACCAAACACUGAGCGAGCUACUUUUAUAAUGAUUAGCUUAUUUUAUCCGCAUAACAGAAGUAGUUUAUUCAAUAGCCACCGGAAUCUCAAACUGAUUCUAAGUCAUGUUUGGAAUUGCAUGACAUUGUCAAAUAAUUAACAAAAGAAGCUAUUAUGUAGAAGCAUAGGAACAGGUUGAGAAUGAGAGAUACAUGUACAUGGAGAGCAAAUUCUUUUACUCUCACCGGCUUCAACGACCUAUACAAUAACUCCUAAAUCAAAGGGAGAAAAUGGUUAAUUCAAUGUGAUUGUACAUGAAUUGAUAUUCACCAUAUGAUUAUUACAUAAAGAUUGAGCCCUUUAUAUGUGCUUUACAUUAAGUAAUACUGCACACUUGUUCUACACAUUUAGACAACCCAGAUUAAGAAUAAUGAAAAUGAACUCUUAAACUAGCUAGGUGCUCUAUUAUUUAUCUUUGCUCCAUAAAUAUUAGAAAGAUAGAGGAGAGGAAGAAAAAGAAAAACAACAACAUACACUCUAAAUAAUCCUUCAAUUCUGAAACAUCCUUCAGAGGCUUGUAAUCAAAUAAACAACAACAACAUAGAAUUAAGUGCCACAAGGUUAGUAACAUUAUAAAAGAUCUUUCAACAUGCCGUCUAAAAAAUGUUGUUAUAUUUAGUUAGAUUACAAUAAACUUUAUAAGUAUGAAGCUAUUGAUAUUAUCAAAUGCAAACGUACAAAUUUGGCCUUAUUUGAUAAUUAGAGUUGUGCGUGGUUUUGUAGUUCAAAUUUAGAUUCUGUAAAAUACGAACCUCUGGAGGGCUGAAUCUAAGCACCAGUAUACUAUAUAUAUGGUAAUGCAAAGGCCGUGUAUAAGCCCAAAUCCAGAUUUUUACUUUGUAUAUUACACGUUAAUCGAAAUGUAUAUAUACUCUGAGGAUGACAGAUAAUUAAUUAGACAUAGUACAUUCGAUAAUGAUGCUACAAUAACAUUGCAUUAAUUGUAAUUAAGGGAAAAUCGGAUGGAUAUAUAUAAGCAAUUAUGUAAAGUAAUAUGAUUAAUUUCUUGCAGGUUUUGAACUUUUUAGAGAGAAAAGCAAGUCCAUUUUUUCUAGCAGCGGUUUUAUCCAUUUCAACCCAGGACUGUUUGAUGGUCAUGUAGCAGCCCUCGCUGGCUUCCUGCAUCAUUAAUUUUCAAAAUUCAAUGGUUAAAUUUUAACAAGAAAACAUAAUCAUACAUAUAUAGAAUUUUAAUUAAUUAAUUUUUUUUCUUACCCUACAGUCAUUGGUGACAAGAUCAUAAUAUGCGUUUGAUGGUGUGAUAUUAUCAAAGUAGAGAAUUGGGGCGGGCGAGGCAACUGCUCCCAAAGACUGUGAGGAUACUUCAAGCGAAACCAUGCUGCAAGCACUGGUGAUAACAAACCCACAAUUGAGUAACUCUCAAAACCAUAUCACAUCCCAGAUUUGAUAAAAUAGGACUAAUUGAGAUGGUUAUUUUUAAAAAAGUAAUUAUCUUAAAUAUAUUUAGUAUUUCUUAAUUUUACGAUCGCUGAAAGUAUUCAUUAAUUGGAAUGCAAAAUAAAUUUGUAUCAAAAUAAUAUUGGCGUAAUCAAUAUUUUGGUCAAACGAGAUCAAAAUGAAUAAAAUGGCGCAACAAAUGACACGACAUUAAUCAAAAGAUGUAAGUAAGUUAAUAAUAUUAAAAUUUACUUCCUCGAUAAGAUGCUCCAACGACGAUAAUGGGUGACAUUUCGGCCGAUAAAUUUUCCUUGAUGUGUAAGAGAAUCUUUGCAUAAUCUACCAAAGCUUGACCAGAGUUUAAAUAUCCACGAAGAGUUGCAUUGUUUAGGGCAUCUUUGCUUGAUACAAAAGGUACUGAUUUUCCAUAGAACCGAUACUGCAUGAAAAAUUGAAUUAAAAAAAAUCCAUCACAACUUUUCAGUUCAUAUUAUAGAAUAUUCUGAUUAAGAUUUGUCUUUAUUAUUAUUAUUUCGUAUGCGAACUCUAUUUUAAUUAUUAUCAAGCUAGCCUGAUAACAAAUUCUUUACUUACCUCUAUGUAAACUUAUAAGGCUUUAAAUCGAUGAGCAUUAUCAGCAAGCCAUCCAAUGCCACCAAGGUCAUCAUAUCAAGACUACUCUCUUCACCAAGAUAUGCCAAUAUCGGCGCCGCCAUGGCUCUGCCACCACCCCAAUGCUUGAAGUUCAACGCAUAUCUAUGAGGAAAAGUUAAAUAACUUUGUGGAUUAUAGUUAAAGUGAUCAAGUGUUUGAUCAUAAUAGUAAGUUUCGAGAUCAUAAUAGUAACUUUGUGGAUUUUUUUGCUAGGGUUUUGAAAAAUAGUCCUUCCACGAACAGCACCAAGCUUUGGGAUGUUCUUUAAUGGUGAAGUGGAAGCAAAAGCAAAAUUUGUGACGAGAAGAAGAAAAAGGCAUGGAGCGACCGACCUUUCAUGGCAAAGUUGUAAAUCCUUAAUUAGCAGGAUGAUUAUGUAAAUACAGAAGAAAUAGAGUUAAGAUUAGAUUAUAAAUUCAGCUUCAAAAUCGACGUGUUUGUUAAUAUAUCCUGGAUUUGUUGUUAUCGUAUAAUAUAAUUAAUGUUGCUUUUAGUUUUAUAUUAGUAUGGAUCUUCAGUUUUCAUAAAAUUAUAGUGUGUCUAAUGUUGUGCAAAUUUUAUUGAACUCACAAGUGUACGAAUCUAUUGUAGAAUAGAUUAAUGGUGACGAGUAUCGAUCCCACGAGGAGGUUGAUUCUAAUUGUGUGUAGAAUUAAUUUUUCUAAAUGGAUGUUUGGAUUUGUGGUGAAAGUGACUUAGAUUAUCUUAAAAUUGGAAUUGAAAUGGCGAGAAUAAAUUGAAGAGAAAUCUAUUGAAAUGAAACACUUGGGUAUCUGGAUCCGUAUCAACAUGCACCAUGGGCUAAAUAUUCCUUAUUAAUGUCAAUUAAAUCAUGAGGGGGGAAUCCACACCUCAUGAACCACACUAUAAUCAAUAUGGUGCUAAGGGCUUAUCGUGCCAAAUAAUAAUAACCUUGUACUAGUGAGUCGGUGAAACCAAGACGGUAUCUAGACAAGAUUAUUAUUAUUUGUCGACGAGAAAUCAAAACAUCUACAAAAACUAGAGGGGAAGAGAAAAUAAAUUUACCAAAUAGAGCCCAUGACACAUGUUGAGACUUCACCUUCAACCCAAGCUUGAAAGAAAAUUAGCUACUCACAAUUGAACUAGGGGUAAAAUGAGAAUUUAUUAAAAUACAUAGAAAAUACAAGAUGGAGAAUAAAUUACAGAAAAUGGAGCCCAAAAUUGGAUUCAGAGAUAUCAAAUUAGGGGGGGAGAGCUCCCUUUUUAUAGAUACAUUGAGUAAAUCAUGGCCAUCGAAUCAAAAACAUUUCGAACACUCAGGAUUGCGCCACGUCAUUAGUCAACAGUACGCGGUUUGAACAGUAACACGGUUUGGUUGAAAAUAAUCCUGUGUAAUGCAUAUACUGUACGCGAGAUUUUUGGUCCACUGAUAUGUUGCCACGUCAUCGAUCAACAAUACAUAAGAAUUUUAGUCCAAUAGGAUCGUGACACCUCAUCAGUCAAUGCCACAUCAUCGGUCAAUGCCACGUCAUCGGUCAAUGCCACGUCAUCGUUCCGUCUAUGUGAAUAGUGUCAUGAACAGUAACGUAGACAAUACCGUACAUGUGAGUAGGACCGUACAUGUGAACAAUGACAUUUUUCCUUUUAUGCUCCUCCUAAAGUUUUCGACUGUCCUAAGUUCAAAAGUGAUGUCCGUUUUGCCGUAUGAUUUCUCGUUCAUUGUGAAAUGACUAUGAUGCCCCUAAAAUACAUAAAAUACUUAAUUAAAAUAAAACACACGUAAUUAAAUCACAAGAAGUUUAAAUACAUAAAAGUAAGGGUGUUAGUAAGACUUGAAAUGUAAAAUGAUGAUUUUCUCCUACAUAAAUAUACAUUUUCUAACACUCAACAUCUAAUAUAUAGUUAACAGUUUCGUAAUUAAUAAAAUUUUUUAUUAUUUCUUUCCUAGUAAUUAAUUAUCUUGUGCUGGAAAGAAUAUCACUAACCACAACUUCUGCAGAAGCUUCCUCACCUUCGGAUGACAUCAGCGGUGGGUCCAGGAUGUUUGAUCGGAUCGGCGAAAUUAAAAAUUUAUUGUAUAUGUUUGCGUGAAUAUUUACAAAGGAGUGAAAAAACUAAUAUAUUAAAUAACGCGACAUCAACAACGUCGUUCUGAAUGAAAUUUUUAUAUAUAAUUUGUAAAAUAAACUAAUAAUUAGAAUGACAAUUUAGCCUUUUUAACUUGUAGAGACACAACCUUAAAUUCCUUAAUAUGCUGGUUAAUUCAGAUCAUUGAGAUGGAGACAAUUAGACAAACCUUAUUUUAUCAGAGUGAACUGCGAAAGUACAAGCUUUACAAAAGAGAUUAAUGUCGUAGUGUGAAUAGAAUUAAAAAAUACUAAGGCAGACAAUUCGUCGAACACAUAAUAUUUGCUACAUUGCUACUACCUAAUAAUUUCACAACCAAUUAACAGUCUCCUUUAUUGGAAAAAUCACAUUAAUCAACCAAAUACAUUUCUUGGUUUCUAAGCUCCAAAAUUGAAAUUUCAUGAAAAGGUUUCUGCAUUGGUGUCUUAUUGCGAGCGAUAAAUUCGUUGGACACGAGUUGCAUUGUAGGUCGAGACUUUGGUUGAGAACGCAAGCAUGAAAAUACUACUGUUGAAACAAGAAUGAUAUCCUGCCUAAUCAUUUGGUCCCCCGGAGGCGGGAGGCGUGGGUCCAACAAAUCAAUCAGCUUUAUAUUUUUAUCCAAUGAUGACGAUGACGAUGAGAGGAGCGCUUCUGGAUGCCUUCCCACUAGUACUUCUAGUGCCACCACUCCAAAGCUAUAAACAUCACAUUUCUCUGUCACAAUCAUGGUGUAGGCAAGUUCUAUAGGAAAACAAAGGCCUUCAUUAGUAACGUUUCCAUAAAUAAUAACAAGAACAAUUUGUUCAUGUUUUUUAGCUUCCGCAGCAAGUUAUGACAAAGAAACUUAUGUUUUAACUUAUGUUCAUUGUGUGUGUGUUUUAAAAGGAAAAGGGGUAGGCAAAGUUUAAAUUUAUUUUUAGCCCCUUAGCUUUUUCAAAAUUCGAACCAAGUAGCGACAUAAAUAAAGCUGCUUAAAAGCUACUUGGCAGAGUAUAUAUAAAAAUUAAUUAAGAGGAUAAUUAAAGAAGCAUAAGAGGAAUAGCUAGAGGAUGACCUGGAGCAAUAUAUCCAAAAGUGCCAGCUAAAAGAGUUCGGUUGGAUGAGUCAAAAUUUAACAAUCUAGCAAUGCCAAAGUCCGCAACAAAUGCUUCUAAUUCUGAGUUAAGUAGAAUGUUGUUGCUUGAUAUGUCCCGGUGAACAAUUGGUGGUGUGCAGUGAUGAUGUAAGUAUGACAAAGCGUGAGCCAUACCCUUCACAAUGUUCACCCUUUUAGUCCAAUCCAACCCAAUAGCUUCCUCAUCUGUGCGUAGAACACAGAACAAGCUUCCCAUUUCCAUGUACUCAUAGAUUAAGAACAUGCAUGUCUUGUGCAAACAAAAGCCGUAAAGCUUUACGAUAUUUCGAUGCCGUAUUUGGGACAGUAGACGAGCCUCAUUCCGAAAACUCUCGAGGGAAGCUAACUCCUCAGUUUCUGAACGGUGAAGCUUCUUCAAAGCAACCACUUUUCCACUGGGCAGCCGUGCUCUGUAAACGCUGCCGUAGCCUCCGGUUCCAAUGCAGUAUUUGAUAUCGAAAUCCUCAGUGGCUUCAAUCAUGUCUUGAAAUGUAAUUCUACCAUCGUAAUUCCAAAUUGCAAACUCAUCAGCGCACUUGGUAAUUUCUCCUGUCCCAGUUGGUUCAACUUCCUUAUCCCUUCGUCUACGGAUAAUCAAGAUUCCAAAUAUCAAGGCAAGGAAUGCGACCAUAGCAAGAAUAAUUGCAACCAAGAGAGUGGCAAUCAUUUUGUGAUGUGGCGGUGGCGCAUUUGCCAAAGUAGUUGGGAUUUCUCCUCCGAAUUUAUUACCUGACACAUCUAAGUGUGGCACUUUUCUGACAAAUACAGGGAUUCCACCGGAAAGGUUAUUCAUGGAAAGGUCCACGGUGUGUAUGCCCGGAAUUGCUCCAAGUUGGUAAGGUAUUUUACCAUUGAUGGAGUUACAGCUUAGAUCAAGAUAAUAUAGUUCUUGAAGUUUGCCAAUCUGUGACGGAAUGCUUCCGCUUAACAAGUUGUUUCCCAAUAUUAAUGUCGUCAGCUUUGAGCAAUUCAUGAGUUCUGGAGGAAUUGGGCCAUCAAGUUUGUUGUCAGACAAGUCUAAAAAUGUCAACCUGUUUAAAUGACCAAGUGUUAAAGGAAUAGAUCCAGUUAGAUUGUUAUAUUCCAGGGACAGAGAUUUCAAGUUGACUAAACUAGCUAUGGUCGAAGGAAUUGGACCUUCAAGUUUGUUGUUGGGCAGGUCAAGAACUUGAAGAAAGUUCAAAUGACCCACAGACGAAGGGAUUGGACCAACAAGUUUGUUUUCAGACAAGUCUAAAUAUGUCAACCUGUCUAAAUGACCAAGUGUUGAAGGAAUAGGUCCAGUUAGAUUGUUAUCCUGCAGGGACAGAUAUGUCAAGUUGACUAAACUAGCUAUGGUCGAAGGAAUCGGACCUUCAAGUUUGUUGUUGGACAGGUCAAGAACUUGAAGAAAGUUCAAAUGACCCACAGACGAAGGGAUUGGGCCAACAAGUUUGUUUUCGGACAAGUCUAAAUCUGUCAACCUGUUUAAAUGACCAAGUGUUAAAGGAAUAGGUCCAAUUAGAUUGUUAUAAUGCAGGGACAGAGAUGUCAAGCUGACUAAACUAGCUAUGGUCGAAGGAAUUGGACCUUCAAGUUUGUUGUCGGACAGGCCAAGAACUUGAAGAAAGUUCAAAUUCCCGAUUUCUAAUGGGAUGGAACCAUUGAUUCGGUUUGAGUGCAUAUUCAAAGUAGUUAGCUGAGUCAAAGGACCUACAGACGAAGGGAUUGGACCAACAAGUUUGUUUUGGGACAAGUCUAAAAUUCUCAACCUCUUUAAAUGGCCAAUUGUUGAAGGAAUUGAACCUCCAAUUUCAUUUCUGGACAGGUCAAGAACUUGAAGAACCUUCAAAUUCUCGAUUUCUAAUGGGAUGGAACCAUUAAUUUGGUUUGAGGCAAUAGCCAAAGUAGUUAGCUGGGUUAGAUGACCUAGAGUGGAGGGGACAUUACCAACAAGGGAGUUAGAAGACAAGUUCAAAAUUUUCAAUUUGCUUAGACGACCAAGAGUUGGAGGGAUAUGUCCCGUAAGGUGAUUAUUAGAUAGAUCCAGGUGGACGAGAUUCCUCAAUCUCCCCAUCUCUGAAGGGAUAAUUCCUGUUGUGCAUGUGAUUUAUGAAAAACGAGAUCAGUAUUCACUAUCCUCAUAGCAACAAAAAAAAAUGCAAAAUUUAUAUGGAGAGAGAGUCAUACUCAAGUGCGGACGGCACACACUUCUUCAGCGUUGUAAAAGCAAACGCCCGCACUAAGCAUGAGCACGAUUUUAUAAAAAAUAUAAUAUGUUACAGUGAAGUUUGGCAGCUUACCGGUAAGAUUGUUGGAGGUCAGUUCAAGAGUUCGGAUUGUUGAAAGAACAGUAAUUUCAGAUGGAAUGCUCCCAGAGAGAAGAUAAUUUGAACGAAUUUUGAAACUUCUGAGGUUGGGAAAGCAAGAGAAUUUGAAACGACCAAGCUCUCCUGUGAUGUUAUCAUUUUCAUACCAGAGUAAGCUGACCCCGAUUACGCUUACCGCUGAAUUGCAACUGAUGCCAGUCCACUUACAAUGAUCGGACGUGUAGUUGCCCGUCGUCGCCCAAUUGUUGACCCACCAGCCGGUAGCAAGUAAAGCUUCCCUUUCUAACAGUAUGGGUGACGACAACAAUCCUGCAGCUGAUGUCGUUACAGAUAUUGUCGUAUCACUUAUAGCACCAACAUUUAUUAAAAUUAUAAUGACCACCAGUCUCGAAACAGAGGACGCUGAUGCCAUGUUUAUGGUGGUUUUCUGUUGAUUGAGCUACAUUUGAUUCUCAGCAAAGCGUUUAUAUAAGAAUCAAUUGUUUUGCAAGCUCCCAGUGUUAACUUCCAAUACGCGUUUUCAAAUAGUGUGAGUCAAUGUCUUCUCUGGAUGGAUUCAAUCAUGGAGAUAUAACCUUAUCGGCUUGUAUUUGUGAGGUGUAGAUCUAUUUGAACAACUUUGCAGAAACAUGAGAUAAUAUGGACAAUAGUAGAAAUAAUUAAUAGCAUUAUUAGUAGUAUAAGAUAUUAAGUAUUACCCAAAAUAAGAAAAGGAAAAAAGUUCAAAGAAAAGAAUUGUUAUAAAUAAUGGCUCAAAUAGGAAAAUAAACAAGACUAAUCAUAUCUUUUGUAACAUACAUACCAUAGCUCAUGGGCUAACUAACAUUUUUUUUUUUUAACCCUAAACAUCAUAAAUGAAAGAAGAUGAAAUUUUAAUUACCGCUCAAUUUUUCUGCACGCAACCAAAUUUAAAAAAAAAGAAAAAAGAAAGUGUUAGAAAAAUAAUGCGCAAGUAGCUACUUGAGGCAUGAUUUUGAAUGAGACCUUUUUGGUAUAAGUGAAAAUUCAGAAAUUGUUUCGCAUAUUCCUCUAUGAGUACUUCGGAAUGUUAUCUAUACAAUCAAAAUGAUCCUCAAGUGAAUGAGAAAUUGUUACUCAAAGUGCACUCAUGAAUUUGAAAAAUUAAAGGAAAAUACAUUUGUCCCACAUUGGAAAGAUUUAUACAUAAUUACUAGAUGAACGGUAAGCUACUAUUAGCAAAGGGGCGUUCCUUGUGCACAGUCACGGGAGUGCAAAAUUUAACCACCCCAAUUAGCUUAACCAGUGUUCAUAUUGGGGGUGUUUACCCGACCCUUAGUUGGGGUUAGCUAAUGUGGCAACUUAGUUUGCCUUUUUUUUUUUUUUGCUCUUUGUAAUAAUAAUAAUAACAAAUUAAUAUAAUUUUUUAAUUUAAUAUUAUAUUACAUAAUAUUAAAUUAUGUUUUAAUUUUUAUUAUUUUAAAUAUAUAACUAAACAAUGUAUUAUUUAAUUGUAUUAUUUUAAUUAAUAUAUAAAAUUAUAUUAAUUAAUCUUUAAUAAGUUAAUAUAAUUAGUAAUAAAUACUUAAAUAAUAUAAUAUUACAUUAUUAAUUAUAGUACAAUAAUUAAUUUAGCUAUUUUUAAAUAAUUUAAUAUAACUAACAAUAAAUAUUUAAAUUUGAAUAAAUUUGAAUAAUAUUAAUUGAAAAUUAAUAAUAUAAAUAAUUACUGGAUUAUUUAGCUCAAUUUAUUUUCUUAGUGAAUAUGUCAUAACAAUUGUAUCACUUUAUUAUUCUAUAAUUAUCUUGUAAUAUGUAUAAAUUUUUAUUCUAUCAUCCUCAAAUGAUUUUUGAAUUAAUCUUGAAGAUUUUAACUAUUUAUUUAUGUUGUUAAAUUAUUUAGUGAUUAUUUGAUUAAAUUAUUUACUUCGAUCUUUAUUUCACAAGUUAUAUAUUUAGAAAAUACUGAAAAAUACACAUCCAAAAAUUUAAGACUAUAAGCCUCGGAAAAAUUAUGACAUUUCAAUAUAUAUUUUUAAUAAAAAUGUUAAAUUUCUAAAUUUCUAAAAUUUAAUAAUUUUAUAUUUAUUAUUUUUAAGUACUAAUAAAUAUUAUUUUCUAAAUAUAUAAUUUAAAUUAAUCACAAAAAAAUUAAUACAGUACAGUGUAACGCUAAACAUUAUACAACAUUAUUAUAAUACAAUGCUAAUGCAAUACAACAUAAUACAAUACACCUACAAUAAAAUAAUGCAAUACAACAUAAAAUAGAAUACAGUGUGUCAAAUGCACCAUUGUAUUAUUGUUUCGUUCUCAUGGUAUAAUUGCCGUCCAUACCUGUGCAAAACAUUAAGAGUUAAAAAUAUAUAUUUUUAUGAUUAAUUUUAGAUUUUUUUAAACUUUAAUAAUGCCAUAUUAUUUAAUAUUACAAUUGCCGUUCGAACAUGUGCAAAACAUGAAGACUAAUAUAUAUAUAUAUAUAUAUAUACACACCAUAUUAUUUAAUAUUUAAUUUUUAAGGCAACUUUUACUUUUAAAAAAAAAAUUUAAGGCAACUUUUUUAGUUGAGGGCAGGGAACCCCUACGAUACGUAAUUCCAUAACACGCUUAUCUAAUCACCUUGACUAUAAGACUUCUCCUAGUCAGCAAUUAUUUGGAAAAAAACGUCUUGACAUGUGCUGUGGAAAUUAAAGAAUGAGGUGGACUUACGAAGUCAAGGGGUUUUUCUAGUCUACAGAUUUUAAUUUAUAUGUGUAGAAAAUUAGAAAUAUUCAGUGUCUAAUCUGAUUCUACAUAAAGACUAAUGCCCCAAGAUUGUGAUUGAAAUACCACAAGCAGUUUAUUUCAUAAGUUUAGGUAAAAAUGAGGUUUGAUGGCUUUGUUAAAAGUUGCUUCUUUCGUAAUUUUCUCAUUUUGACUGCAACUUCAAAAAAUAGGCAGGAGAUUAUUUUGAUAAGCAACUUAUUAAAUAAGUUGCUAGAUCUUUUUAAAUGUUCCUAUAAUAAUCUUAAUAUUUUAAGAAAAGAAUAAUUAUAUCUUUCUUUUCUAUAAGCUCUAAUAUAUAAAUAAAACACAGUUUAAACUUAUGUCUAUUUUAGUGAUUAAAUAAUACAAUACAUUCAUAAUCAAAUUUACCAAACACAAGCAAGAUACUUUUUUAAUCAUCAACUUAUUUCAUCCUCACAACAAAAAUAACUUAUUUUAUCAGCCACCGCCAUCCUAAACUUGAUGCUAAGUCACAUUUGGGAUUGCAUUUGAUUGUCAAAUAAUUAAGAGAAAUAGCCAUUAUGGAGAAGAAUAGGGAGAGGUUCGCCUAAAGCAAUAUACCCGUAAGCUUGGCUACUAAUAAACGGAGCAUAUAAGCAUAAACACCUAACUUUUGAGGCAUAUAAGGGAUCUAAAAGUGCGGGAAACGUUCGGAAAAACUUUAAAACCACAGGGUUUUAAAGGCUUAAACUGCAUGGUUUAUGUGUUUUCCUAGAUAUUCCUACACUUUAAAAUUCAAGAUUAAAACAUUUCCAUAUGUGUGUGUGUGUGUGUGUGUGUGGAGGGCAAAUCUUUGACUCUCUCCAGCUUCAAGUACCUAUACGGUAACUCUUAAAUCAAAAGGGAGAAAAUGGUUAACCCAAUCUGAUUGUAUAUGAAUUGAUAUUCACCAUAUGAUUAUUGCAUAAAGAUUGAGCCUUAAGUGCUUUACAUUAAGUAAUACUGAACACCUGUUCUACACAUUUAGACAACUCAGAGUAAAAAUUAUGAAAAUGACAACCAAAUCCAAACUAGCUAGGUGCACUAUUAUUAUUUAUCUUUACUCCAUAAAUAUUAGAAAGAUAGAGGAGAGGAAGAAAAAGAAAAGACUAAUUUUGUAGUCACAAUUUAAUCUUAUGCUCUGAUUUUGAAGCAAAUCUGCAAAAUAUUUGAGGAUCCAAUCAUGAACCAUGUCCACUUCAAUCUUUCGCUGCACUACUAACCAUACUGGGUCAUCUUCUGUUGCUGGCUGUGUGUCUAAGCAAUGGGAACCUACUCCAAUUUACACACUAUUAAUUAUGUUAUCCAAUAAUUUAGUUAAUAAUUGAACACUAAUUUUUUAUUUUAUAGAAAAAUUUAAAUACUGUUUCUUGUUGUCACUGCUAUUAUACUGUCUGAUAUAUCUUCCAGAAUCCUAUAAUCCCCCCCCCCCCAAAAAAAUAGAAGAAACAGAAAAGAUAUAUAAUUAAACAGGUAACUUCGAUAGAAAAGAGUGUACACAAUUCUUAAGCUUAAUUACCCCUCGCUACUAUAGGGAUCACGAAGGCCAUUAGAGAAAAUAAUGUUGCUACCAAAUCUCUUUAAAACCACUCUUAUAUCCUGCAAAUUAAAAAGAAAUAGAAAUCAAACAAAAAUUGAGGUGAACUUUAUAAUUAAAACAGAAAAUGAGAAAUCUUAAAAUAUUAGAAGAAUUAAUUUGGGGAUUAAUCGACACUUACAUUACCACUUUAAUAAGUUGUAAUCCAAUGUGGUCUUGGAACCACUCCAUAAGACUUAUUGCAUGAAUCCAUAUAUUCUGUCAGAUUAAAUGGGUCUGCUUGAGACAUUGUGUCGUUUUUGCCAAUUCCAAUUGGUGAGACCAUUGCACUGCAUGUCUGCAUGAGAAACCCCCCAAUAAUAAAAAAUAAUAAUAAUAAAAUAACAUAAAGAAGAAAACUAUUUUUAAUCAUUCAUAAAUAUAAAGUCUCAUUGCCACAUGUUGUUUAUUUAACGGUCUCAAUAGAACUAUCCAAUGAAAUCAUGUCACUUGUAAUUGCAUACCUGUCAGCCCCAGCUGGAGUCCAAUGUUGCAUCGGAGAAGAAUUCAUCAACAUCAUGGCAAGAAUCCUCCCCUCUUAAAUCAACAAUUCCUGAGAUGAUCCAGUCUAGGGCAUCUGUGUCUUCUAAAGCUCCAUCAAUUGCAUUACAGGCUUUGUUCACUGGGCUUUCCUGAGGAUCAUCAUACUGAGCUGCACCCGUAUACAUAUACUCUAAAUAAUCUUUCAAUUCUUAAACAUCCUUCAGAGGCCUGUAAUCAAAUAAACAAUAACAUAGAAUUAAGUGCCACAAGGUCAUUAAUUUUAUAAAAGAUCUUUCAACAUAUUGUCUUCAAAAUGUUGUUAUAUUUAGUUAGAUUACAAUAAACUUUAUAAGUAUGAAGCUAUUGAUAUUCUCAAAUACAAACGUUCAAAUUUGGCCUCAUUUGAUUAUCAGAGUUGUGCGUGGUUUUGUAGUUUAAAUUUAGAUUCUGCAAAAUAUGGACGUCUGAACCUAAGCACCAGUAUACUAUAUAUGGUAACGCAAAGGCCGUGUAUAAGCCCAAAUCCAGAUUUUUACUUUGUAUAUUACACGUUAAUCGAAAUGUAUAUAUACGCUGAGGAUGACAGAUAAUUAAUUAGACAUAGUACAUUCGAUAACGAUGCUACAAUAACAUUGCAUUAAUUGUAAUUAAGGGAAAAUCGGAUGGAUAUACAAUACAAUACAAUAUACAAUAUGGAUAUACAAUAACAUACAAUAUGAUUCUGAUACAACCCCAAUAUUACAGUUAGACAAGCCCAACUCAGCUAGCUCUAUCAAUACUGAGGAAAAGGCCCAGGCAAACUCAAGUGAGGCUAUCCAAAAUCGACCCCAAGAUAACCUCAAGCCAAGUCGCGUAAGGAAGCCUCCCAAAUGGCUCAAGGAUUACACAUACUGAGCAUAUAUGAGCUGAGGACUCGGUUUCUAACGGCCUUAGCUAUUUAGAGAACAACUUUUUUGUUAUAGAGGGAGGUUGUUAUUUAGUUUUGACAGCUGUGAGCAUAUUCUUGCUGCUAUAAGUAUUUCCAUGGUUGUAUUUGAUGAUAUAUAAAAUUCUGGACCUAGUUUCUUCUUCUUCUCUGAAUUUUUCUCUCUAUUCUAUCUUGCCAUUCACUCAUUUCUUUAAAAUUCUGGGAGCUUGCACUUGCUUGAAAAGUGUGGAAACCUUGCUGUUCGGUGUGUUCACCAGCGGCAUAACAGAUUCAUUACUUGCAGGUUUUGAACUUUAUAGAGAGAAAAGCAAGUCCAUUUUUUCCAGCAGCGACUUUAUCGAUUUCAGCCUAGGACUGUCUGAUGGUCUUGUAGCAGGUCUCGCUGGCUUCCUGCAUCAUUAAUUUUCAAAAUUCAAUGGCUAAAUUUUAACAAGAGAACAUAAUCAUGCUUAUAUAAAAUUUUAAUUAACUAAUUUAUUUCUUACCCGAAAGUCCUUGGUGACAAGAUCAUAAUAUGCGUUUGACGGUGUGAUAUUAUCAAAGUAGAGAAUUGGGGCGGAUGAGGCAACUGCUCCCAAAGCAAUGUGACGAUACUUCAAGCGAAACCAUGCAGCAAGCAUUGUUGAUAACAAACCAACAAACGAGUAACUCUCGAAACCAUAUCACAUCCCAGAUCUGAUAAAAUAGGAUGAAUAGAGAAGAUUAUUUUUAAAUACAUAAUUAUCUUGAACAUAUUUAUUAUUUCUUGAUUUUACGAUCGCCAAGAGUAUUCGUUAGUUGCAAUAUUAAAUAAAUUUGUAUCAUAGUAAUAUUGCUGUAGUCAAUAUCUUGAUCGAUCAAUCGUGAUCUAAAUGAGUAAAAUGAUGUGACAGAUGACACGACAUUAAUCAAAAGAUGUAAGUAAGUUAAUAAUAUUAUAAUUUACUUCCUCCAUAAGAUGCUCCAACAACCAUAAUGGGAGACAUUUCGUCCGAUAAAUUUUUCUGGAUGUGUAAGAGAAUCUUGCAUAAUCAGCCAAAGCUUGAGCAGAGUUGAAAUAUCCACGAAGAGUUGCAUUCUUUAGGGCAUCUUUGCUUGAUACAAAAGGUACUGAUUUUCCAUAGAACCGAUACUGCAUAAAAAAUUGAAUUAAAAAAAAAUCCAUCACAACUUUUCAGUUCAUAUUGUAGAAUAUUCUGAUUAAGAUUUGUCUUUAUUAUUAUUAUUUCGUAUGUGAACUCUAUUUCAAUUAUUAUCAAGCUAGCCUGAUAACAUAUUCUUUACUUACCUCUAUGUAAACUUGUAAGGCUUUAAAUCGAUGAGCAUUAUUAGUAAGCCAUCCAAUGCCACCAAGGUCAUCAUAUCAAGACUACUCUCUUCACCAAGAUAUGCCAGUAUCGGGCGCCGCCAUGGCUCUGCCACCACCCCAAUGCUUGAAGUUCAACGCAUAUCUAUGAGGAAAAGUUAAAUAACUUUGUGGAUUAUAGUUAAAGUGAUCAAGUGUUUGAUAAUAAUAGUAAGUUUCGAGAUCAACAUAGUCACUUUGUGGAUUUUUUUGCUAGGGUUUUGAAAAAUAGUCCUUCCACGAACAGCACCAAGCUUUGGGAUGUUCUUUAAUGGUGAAGUGGUAGCAAAAGCAAAAUUUGUGACGAGAAGAAGAAAAAGGCAUGGAGCCGCCGACCUUUCAUGGCAAAGUUGUAAAUCCUUAAUUAGCAGGAUGAUUAUGUAAAUACAGAAGAAAUAGAGUUAAGAUUAGAUUAUAAAUUCAGCUUCAAAAUCGACGUGUUUGUUAAUAUAUCCUGGAUUUGUUGUUAUCGUAUAAUUUAAUUAAUGUUGGUUUUAGUUUUAUAUUAGUAUGGAUCUUCAUUUUUCAUAAAAUUAUAGUGUGUCGAAUAUAUAGUUAUCGGUUUCGUAAUUAAUAAAAAUUUUUAUUAUUUCUUUCCUAGUAAUUAAUUAUCUUGUGCUUACCAGAAUAUCACUAACCACAACUUCUGCAGAAGCUUCCUCACCUUCGGAUGACAUCAGCGGUGCGUCCAGGAUGUUUGAUCGGAUCAGCUAAAUUAAAAAUUUAUUGUAUAUGUUUGUGUGAAUAUUUACAAAGGAGUGAAAAAAAACUAAUAUAUUGAAUAACGCGACAUCAAGAACUUCGUUCUGAAUGAAAUUUUUAUAUAUAAUUUGCAAAAUAAGCUAAUAAAUAGAAUGACAAUUUACCCUUUUUAACUUGUAGAGACACAACCUUAAAUUCCUUAAUAUGCUGGUUAAUUCAGAUCAUUGAGAUGGAGACAAUUAGACAAACCUUAUUUUAUCAGAGUGAACUGCGAAAGUACUAGCUUUACAAAAGAGACUAAUGACGUAGUGUGAAUGGAAUUAAAAAAUACUAAGGCAGACAAUUCGUCGAACACAUAAUAUUUGCUACAUUGCUACUACCUAAUAAUUUCACAACCAAUUAACAGUCUCCUUUAUUGGAAAAAUCACAUUAAUCAACCAAAUACAUUUCUUGGUUUCUAAGCUCCAAAAUUGAAAUUUCAUGAAAAGGUUUCUGCAUUGGUGUCUUAUUGCGAGCGAUAAAUUCGUUGGACACGAGUUGCAUUGUAGGUCGAGACUUUGGUUGAGAACGCAAGCAUGAAAAUACUACUGUUGAAACAAGAAUGAUAUCCUGCCUAAUCAUUUGAUCCCCCGGAGGCGGGAGGCGUGGGUCCAACAAAUCAAUCAGCUUUAUAUUUUUAUCCAAUGACGAAGAUGACGAUGAGAGGAGCUCUCCUGGAUGCUUUCCCAUUAGUACUUCUAGUGCCACUACUCCGAAGCUAUAAACAUCAGAUUUCUCUGUCACAACCAUGGUGUAGGCACGUUGUAUAGGAAAACGGAAGUCUUUAUUAGUAAUGUUUCCAUAAACAAUAACAAGCACAAUUUGUUCAUGUUUUUUAGCUUCUUUAGCAAGGUAUGACAGAGAAGCAUAUGUUCUAACUGAUAUUCAGUGUAUGUGUGUUUUGAAAGGUAAAGGGAUAGGUAAAGUCUAAAUUCAGUUAUAGCUCCUUAGUUUUUUCAAAAUUCGAACCCAAGUAGCGAGCUAAAUAAAGCUGGUUAAAAACUACUUAGCAGAGUAUAUAUAAAAAUUAAAUAAGAGGAUAACUAAAGAAGCAUAAGAGGAAUAGCUAGAAGAUGACCUGGAGCAAUAUAUCCAUAAGUGCCAGCUAACAGAGUUCGAUUGGAUGAGUCAAAAUUUAACAAUCUAGCAAUACCAAAGUCAGCAACAAAAGCUUCGAAUUCUGAGUUGAGUAGAAUGUUGUUGCUUGAUAUGUCGCGGUGAACAAUUGGUGGUGUGCAGUGAUGAUGCAAGUAUGACAAAGCAUGAGCCAUACCCUUCACAAUGUUCACCCUUUUAGUCCAAUCCAACCCAACAGCUUCCUCAUCUGUGCGUAGAAUACAGAACAAGCUUCCCAUUUCCAUGUACUCAUAGAUCAAGAACAUGCAGUUCUCGUGCAAACAAAAGCCGUAAAGCUUUACAAUAUUUCGAUGCCGUAUUUGGGACAGUAGACGAGCCUCAUUCCGGAAACUCUCGAGGGAAGCUAACUCCUCAGUUUCUGAACGGUGAAGCUUCUUCAAAGCAACCACUUUUCCACUGGGCAGCCGUGCUCUGUAAACGCUGUCGUAGCCUCCGGUUCCAAUGCAGUAUUUGAUAUCGAAAUCCUCAGUGGCUUCAAUCAUGUCUUGAAAUGUAAUUCUACCAUCGUAAUUCCAAAUUGCAAACUCAUCAGCGCACUUGGUAAUUUCUCCUGUCCCAGUUGGUUCAACUUCCUUAUCCCUUCGUCUACGGAUAAUCAAGAUUCCAAAUAUCAAGGCAAGGAAUGCGACCAUAGCAAGAAUAAUUGCAACCAAGCGAGUGGCAAUUGUUUUGUGAUGUGGCGGUGGCGCAUUUGCCAAAGUAGUUGGGAUUUCUCCUCCCAAUUUAUUGCCUGACACAUCUAAGUGUGGCACUUUUCUGACAAAUACAGGGAUUCCACCGGAAAGGUUAUUCAUGGAAAGGUCCACAGUGUCUAUGCGUGGAAAUUCUCCAAGUUGGGAAGGUAUUUUACCAUUAAUGAAGUUACCGCUUAGAUCAAGAUAAUAUAGUUCUUGAAGUUUGCCGAUCUGUGACGGAAUGCUUCCGCUUAACAAGUUGUUUCCCAAUUUUAAUAUCCUCAGCUUUGAGCAAUUCAUGAGUUCUGGAGGAAUUGGGCCAUCAAGUUUAUUGUUGUACAUAUUCAAAGUAGUUAACUGAGUCAAAUGACCCAGAGACGAAGGGAUUGGGCCAACAAGUUUGUUUUGGGACAAGUCUACACUUCUCAACCACUUUAAAUGGCCAAGUGUUGUAGGAAUUGAACCUCCAAUUUCAUUUCUGGACAGGUCAAGAGCUUGAAGAACCUUCAAACUCCCGAUUCCUAAUGGGAUGGAACCAUUCAUUUGGUUUGAGGCAAUAGCCAAAGUAGUUAGCUGGGUUAGAUGACCUACAUUGGAUGGGAUAUUACCGACAAGGGAGUUAAAAGACAAGUUCAAAAUUUUCAAUUUGCUUAGACCACAAAGAGUUGGAGGGAUAUGUCCCAUGAGGUGAUUAUCAGAUAGAUCCAGGUGGACGAGAUUCCUUAAUCGCCUCAUCUCUAAAGGGAUAAUUCCUGUUGUGCAUGUGAUUUAUGAAAAACGAGAUCAGUAUUCACUAUCUUCAUUAAAAAAAAAUUACAUAGAGGGAGAGUCAAGCUCAAGUGCGGACGACUCACACUUCUUUAGUGUUGUAAAAACAGACGCCUGCUUUAAGCAGCAGCGCGAUUUUAUACAUACAUAUAUAUAUAUAUGGUGAAGUUUCACAGCUUACCGGUAAGGCCGUUGUAGGGCAGUUCAAGAGUUUGGAGCAUUGAAAGGGCAGUAAUUUCAGAUGGAAUGCGCCCAGAGAGAACAUAAUUUGUACGAAUUUUGAAAUUUCUGAGGUUCGGAAAGCAAGAGAAUUUGAAACGACCGAGCUCUCCUUUGAUGUUAUCAUUUUCAUACCAGAGUAAGCUGACCCCGAUUACGCUUCCCGCUGAAUUGCAACUGACGCCAGUCCACUUACAAUGAUCGGACGUGUAGUUGCCCGACGUCGCCCAAUUGUUGACCCACCAGCCGGUAGCAAGUAAAGCUUCCCUUUCUAACAGUAUGGGUGACGACAAUAAUCUUGCAGCUGAUGCCGUUACAGAUAUUGUCGUAUCACUUAUAGCACCAACAUUUAUUAAAAUUAAAAUGACCACCAAUCUCGAAACAGUGGAUGCUGCUGCCAUGUUUAUAAUGGUUUUCGGUUGAUUGAGCUGGCUAUUUGAUUCCUUGCAAAGCGUUUAUAUAAGAAUUAAUUGUUUUGCAAGCUCCCGGUGUUAACUUCCAAUACGCGUUUUCAAAUAGUGUGAGUCAAUGUCUUCUCUGGAUGGAUUCAAUCAUGGAGAUAUAACCUUAUCGGCUUGUAUUUGUGAGGUGUAGAUCUAUUUGAACAACUUUGCAGAAACAUGAGAUAAUAUGGACAAUAUUAGAAAUAAUUAAUAGCGCUAUUAAGAUAUUAAAUAUUACCCAAAAUAAUAAAGAAAAAAAAAAGCUCGAAGGAUUGUUGUUGUAAAAUAUGACUCAAAUAGAAAAAUAAACAAGACUAAUCAUAUCUUUGUAUAAAUUUAAGUAUAAAAAAAACUUGUAGGUGUAUUAUUAUAAUAAGCUGUAGAGAAAAGAAUUUGUAGACUUCUGUGAUUUGACAAAAUAAUAAAAUAAUCCCUUUAUUUUUUAAAAUAGUUACAAAACUCCUUUUGCAACAUGCAAACUAUAUGGAAAAUUGGAAAUUCAUGGGCUACCUAAUAUCCCUCUUAUUUUUUUAUUUUUUAUUUUACACCAAAACAUCAUAGACAAAAGAAGAUAAAAAUUUCAUUGCACUCAAUUUUUUUCAUGAAAUCAAACAAGGAAAAGAAGCAAAAAGUGUUGGAAAUAUAGCACAAGUUACUAUUUGAUGCGUGAUUUUGAGUGAGACUUAUCUGUUGUUUCAAAUAUUCCUCCGUAAAUACUUCAGAAUGAUUUUACCUAUAUAAUCAAAAUAACCCUUGGAUAAAUGAGAAAUUGUUACUCAAAGUAAAUUCAUGGAAUUGGAAAAGUAAAGGAAAUUAUAUUUGUCCCACAUGAAAAAGAUAGCAAAGGCAUGAAAGGUUUGUAUAUAAUUACUCAUGUGUGUAUAAGUAAAAUAUAAACCAAGACGCUCUCUCUUCCGUGCCCCAUCCUAAGUACACAAAUUCAAUGUGAUACGAUCCUAUAGUUUCCGUUCAAACCUAUGCACACUUUAAAAAAAGGUUUUUUUUAAUAUAUUUUUUAUGUAUUUUACAUUUUUUUUAAAAUUUAAUAAAUGCCAUAUUAUUUAAAUAUUUAAUUUUAAGGCAUCUUUUUUAAGUUGAGGGCAAGGAACCCCUCCGAUACGUAAUGCCGAAACAUGCUAAUCUAAUCACCUUGACUUUAAAGACUGCUUCCCCUAGUCAGCAAUUAUUUGGAACUUACGUCUUGACAUGUGCUGUGGAAAAUAAAGAAUGAAGUAGACUUAUUGAGUCAAGCUGUUUCUUCAAUCCAGAUAUUUAGUUUAUACGUGUGCAAAUAUUCAAUGCCUAACUUUAUUCUGCACAAAGCCUAAUGUCCUAUUUGGGAUAACGGUUGAAAUACUUAUAAGUUUUGAUAAAAAUGAUGUUUGAUAAAUUUGUUAAAAGUUUAAUUCAUAUUUUCUCCAUUUUGACAAUAACUCUUAAAAUAAGUAUGAGAUUGUCUUUUAUAAGCAACUUAUUAAAUAAAAUGCCAUUUUUUUUAAAGUUUCUAUUAUAACUUUAAUAUUUUAAGAAAAGAAUAAGUGUAUCUUAUUUUUUUAAAAAUCCUAAUAUAUAAGUAAAAGACAAUUUAAACUUAUGUUUAUUUUAAUGAUUAUAUAAUAAAAUAUUAUUUUCGUAAUCAAAUUUACCAAACACUGAGCGAGCUACUUUUAUAAUCAUUAGAUAAUUCCAUUCACAUCGCAGAAGCAGCUUAUUUCAACAGCCACCAAAAUCUUAAACUGAUCCUAAGUCAUGUUCGGAAUUGCAUGGGAUUGUCAAAUAAUUAACAAAAGAAGCUAUUAUGUAGGAGAAUAGGAACAGGUUCACCUGGAGCAAUAUACUCAUAAGCUUGGCUACUAAUAAACGGAGCGUGUAAGGAUAAACACCUAANNNNNNNNNNNNNNNNNNNNNNNNNNNNNNNNNNNNNNNNNNNNNNNNNNNNNNNNNNNNNNNNNNNNNNNNNNNNNNNNNNNNNNNNNNNNNNNNNNNNAUGGUUAAUCCAAUGUGGUUGUGUAUGAAUUGAUAUUCACCGUAUGAUUAUUACAUAAAGAUUGAACCUUUGUACGUGCUUUACAUUAAGUAAAACUGCACACUUGUUCUACACAUUUAGACAACCCAGAUUAAGAAUUAUGAAAAUGAAAUCUACAACUAGCUAGGUGCACUAUUAUUUAUCUUUGCUCCUUAAAUAUUAGAAAGAUAGAGGAGAGGGAGAAAAAGAAAAGACUAAUUUUGUAGUCCAAAUUUAAUCUUAUGCUCUAAUUUUGAAGCAAAUCAGCAGAGUAUUUGAGGAACCAAUCAUGAACCAUGUCCAUUUCAAUCUUUCGCUGCAUUACUAACCAUUCGGGGUCAUCUUCUGUUGCUGGCUGUAUGUCUAAGCAAUGGGAACCUGCUCCAAUUUACACACUAUUAAUUAUGUUAUCCAAUAAUUUAGUUAAUAAUUGAACACUAAUUUUUUAUUUUAUAGAAAACUUUACAUACUGUUUUUUGUUGUCACUGCUAUUAUAUUGUCUGAUAUAUUUUCCAGAACCCUAUAAUCCCAAACAAAGAAAGAAAAAGAAAAAGAAAAAGGUAUAUAAUAAAACGGGUAACUUCGAUAGAAAAGAAUAUCCAAAAUUCUUAAGCUAAAUUACCCAGCGCUGCUACAGGGAUCGCGAUGGCCAUUAGAGAAAAUAAUGUUGCUACCAAAUCUCUUUAAAACCACUCUUAUAUCCUGCAAAUUAAAAAGAAAUAAAAAUCAAACUCAAGAACGAGGUGAAGUUUUUAAUUUAAAAAAGGAAAAAAAAAGAGAAAAUUAAAAGAAUUAAUUUGGGGAUUAAUUGACACUUACAUGACCACCAUAAUAAGUUGUAAUCCAAUGUGGUCUUGGAACCACUCCAAAAGACUUAUUGCAUGAAUCCCUAUAUUCUGUCAGAUAAAAUGGGUCUGCUUGAAACAUUGUUUCGUUUUUGCCAAUUCCAAUUGGUGAGACCAUUUCACUGCAUGUCUACAUGAGAAACCCCCCUAUACUAAUAAUAAUAAUAAUAAUAAUAAGAUAAAAAAGAAAAAUAUUUUUAAUCAUUCAUAAAUAUAUAGUCAUAUAAAUAAAAUUAAGAGAUGUACAUAAAAUAGGUAUUGUUAGGCGAAAGACUAAUUCAUUGCGACAUAUUGUUUAUUUGACGGUCUCAAUAGAACUAUCCAAUGAAAUCAUGUCAUCUGUAAUCGCAUACUUGCCAACCCCAGCUGGAGUCCAAUGUUUCAUCGGAGAAGAAUUCAUCAACAUCAUGGCAAGAAUUCUCCCCUCUUAAAGCAACAAUUCCUGAGAAUAUCCGGCCUAGGGUAUAUGUGCCUUCUGAAUCUCCAUCAAUACCUUCACAAGCUUUGUUCACUGGAUAUUCCUGAGGAUCAUCAUACUGAGCUGCACCUGUAUACAUAAACUCCAAAUAAUCCUUCAAUUCUGAAACAUCCUUCAGAGGCCUGUUACAAAUAAACAAUAACAACAUAAAAUUAAGUGCCUCCAAGAUUAGUGACAUCAUAAAAGAUCCUUCAACAUACCUGUCUAAAAAACUUUGUUAUAUUUAGUCAAAUUACAAUAAACUUUGUAAGUGUGAAGCUAUUGAUAUUCUCAAAUACAAAAUCCAAAUUUGGCCUUAUUUAACAAUCAGAGUUGUACAUAUUGUUUUGCACGUCUGAACCUAAGUACCAAUGUACUAUAUAUGGUAAUGCAUAGGCCGUAUAUGAGGCCAAACCCCAGAUUUUACUAUGUACGUAUAUUACACAUUAACUGAAAUGUAAAUAUACCUUGAGGAUGACAGAUAAUUAAUUGGAUAUAUAUAGACAGUUUUGUAAUGAUACUACAUUAACAUUGCACUGUAAUUGAAGGAAAAUCAGAUGGAUAUAUAUCGGCAGUUAUAAAAGUAAUAUGAUUCAAUUACUUGCAGGUUUUGAACUUUUAAGAGAGAACAGUAAGUCCAUUUUUUUCCAGCAGCGGCUUUAUCGAUUUCAGCCCAGGACUGUUUGAUGGUCUUGUAGCAACUCUCACUAGCUUCCUGCAUCAUUAAUAUUCAAAAUUCAAUAGUUAGAUUUUAACAAGAAAAUAUAAUCAUACAUAUAUAGAAUUUAAUUAAUUAAUAUUAUUUUCUUACCCUAAAAUCCUUGCUGACAAGAUCAUAAUAUGCGUUCGAUGGUGUGAUAUUAUCAAAGUAGAGAAUUGGGGCUGAAGAGGCAACUUCUCCUAAAGCAAUAUGAGGAUACUUCAAGCGAAACCAUGCAGCGAGCACUGAUGAUAACAAUAACAAACCCACACGAGUAACUCUCAAAGAGCAUCUGUUAGUAGGAAUAUAAAAUAAAAUUGUAUCAUAAUAAUUGAGGCGUAAUCCAGAUUUUAGUCAAAUAUUUAAAAUAAGGUGACAGAUGACAUGAUGUCAAUCAAAAGAUGUAAGUAAGUUAAUAAUAUUGUAACUUACUUCCUCCAUAAGAUGCUCCGACAACGAUAAUGGGAGACAUUUCGGCCGAUAAAGUUUUCUUGAUGUGUAAGAGAAUCUCCGCAUAAUCAGCCAAAGGCUUGAGCAGAGUUGAAAUAUCCACGAAGAGUUGCAUUCUGUAGGGCAUCGUUACUUGAUACAAAAGGCACCGAUUUUCCACAGAACUGAUGCUGAACAAAAAAUCAAAUUAGAAAAAAAAUAUAUAUCACAACUUUUUAGUUGAUAUUAUAGAUUAAAUUUAUCUUUAUUAUUAUUGUUUGGCGUUCGAACUCUGUUUCAAUUAUUAUCAAAUUCUUUACUUACCUCUAUGUAAACUUGUAAGCCUUUAAAUCGAUGAGCAUUAUCAGUAACCUGGAUUUGUAUGUGAUUAGGAGGUCAUUGCUUAGAGAUUCCCAUGUCCACUCUUAGUGCCAAAAGACUUGGUCUUGAUGCACAGGUGACAAGUUUGUUGGGGAGUACAUUUGGACUCACUAUCUUCAUUUAAUUCCAAACAUCUUAGCAUUUGGUUAUUUAUGUUGGUCAAAGUUCGCAAGUUCAGUUUGCUUGGUCAACUCAAGUAGACGAGAGAGUUGCGGCUUUAAAAUUUGGCAGUGAGGACAUGUGAGCUUUUUUGAACGAAUGUGAGUCUGAAACCUUUUUUGAACGAAAACACGGAGCAAAUGUGAGCUUCUCGUAGGCUAAGGUUCCAAGAGAGGUUACAUAUGUUUACCAUGAAGUGUCAUAUGAACUUGUACAGAUUGAUUUCUGAUGUUUCUUUUUCCCGGUAAUUUCUUAUUUUAAAUCUUAUUGCUUGUCUUUGUGUAUGUGCGUUGGGCUGGAGGCUCCAUUGAAAUGGUGUUUCCUCAAAUUAUGAAUUAUAACGCUCGUAAGUGUUAAUAUCAUCUCUUCUUCUUGUCCAGCUUAUUAAGAAAGUCUUUCAGAAUCCUUUUCAAACAUAUUCCUUUUUUUUUCUGAUUUUUGGAAGGAAAGAUUUUCCUAGUUCAGUGCUGGAAAUGUUGUUAAUUAACAAGGAUUUUGGUUGUAUUAACUAUUUAAAUGUACUUCUACAUUCCUACCUUUUUUGAGAAUUCACAAUUUAAAAUAAAAUGUGUGCAUUAGUAUUUUGUAAACAAAUUCUUUCAUCUGUACUACAAUAGCAAAUGAUGGAGCUCACUGGGAAUUUUUUUCAUUUUUACCAUUGAUGUGAUAACUAAUAUAAGGCAUAAUGGUUUCUGUAUCAUUUCCAGCCUCAGCCUGAUUCCAAUACUUGUGGAUCAAAGCAGAAAGCUGCCACACCACCUGCAGGUUCUGGAGAGCUUCCUUCAACGAGUUCAAGCAAAACCAAGGAGUGGAGUUGUGCCCUCUGUCAGGUCAAUGCUACUACCGAGAGAGAUCUAGACGUGCAUCUCCAAGGUAAGAAGCACAAGGCCAAGGAAAAAGUACUUAGAGAUUUGAAGAUGUGCAUUAACUCCACUUCAAAAAAAUAUACGGAAAGCAGAGAUAGUGCUGACCAAGAAAUGAAGUCUAAUGUAGAAAAGGAAUCACUUAAAGGUAAUAAAACUGUUGUUGGUUUAGACCAGAAAGUGGAGGAAGGUCAAACCCUGCAGGUUAAGCCCAAUUCCAAUCUUUGUGGAUCAAAUCAGAAAGCUACCGCACCACCUGCAGGUUCUGGAGAGCUUCCUUCGGCGAAUUCUAACAAACCCAAGGAGUGGAGUUGUGCCCUCUGUCGGAUCAGUGCUACUACCAAGAGAGGUCUAGAUGAGCAUCUUCAAGGUAGGAAGCACAAGGCCAAGGUUUCAGGACUACUUAGAGAUAAGAAAAUGUGCAGUAACUCCACUUCAUCCACGUCAGAAAAAUCUACUGAAAGCAGAGAUGGUGUUGGCCAAGAAAUGAACACUAAAGUACAAGAGGAAUCAGUUAAAGCUAAAAAAACUGUUGUUGGCCUAGACCGGAAAGGGGAGGUUGGUGUAGAUGAGCAUCCUCAAGGUAAGAAGCAGAAGGCCAAGGAAGAACUACUUGGAGCUCAGAAGUGGAUAAAAAAAUCUACAGAAAGCAGAGAUAGUGUGAUACAACCUGGCCAAUUGUUGUGAAUCAGAUCGAGCACAAUGAGACAGCAAGGGAAGAGACCCAGCCUGCAGAAAUGGAAGAAGUCCAACCCGUGAAUGAGACACAAGCUAGAGAGCAGCUCAAGACAGGUUCAGCUCGCGCGAGAAAGAAACCAGGAUGGCUCAAAGACUUUGUCAUUUGAGGAAUGUUCGAGAAUGCUUGAGAGAUUAUAAUAACGAAUAUUGUUUUGUUUUCAAUUAUUAUUUUGUUGUUAUCAAUUUUAUUCUAUUUUAGUUAGUUAAGGGUGCGUGGCUGUUUUUGGGAGAGAGAAUAUAUUGUACUGUCAAAGGGACCCGUGAGGGAUAUCAAAAAGGAAUAUAUCAUUUUGUCUUUUUUCAGCUUCGUCUUCUUUCUCUUCUCUGCAAUUCCCCUGUCCCUUUUCUCUUUCUGCAAAUUCUUUUCCCCACAGAUUGGAGCCUGCACUCGCUCAAAGAGUGUCGUAUCAACUGGUGCUUUCAUUUCAUCUCUUCACACACAAAAAAAAAAAAACAAAUGUCUCUCACAGAACCAACGACUGAUUCAGCAGUUCUCUCCACCAUGAAAACGCUCAUUGAAAAUCAAACGCUUGCUGUUCAUCAGACCUUACAACAAUAUAUGUCCACGGUGGAUUCUCGAUUUGAGGAGCUACGUUCCCAAAUCAAUGGUUCUGUCGGAGCGUCAGUGGGUUCUUCCCGCCCAAUGGCACCGGAACCAGCGUCUUCGACUGUACUGUCAGGUGUUUCGGAUAUCUCUCCUCUGUUGCGUUCUAUGAAAAUGGAUGUCCCAAAAUUUGAUGGCACUGAUCCGAAUGGUUGGGAUUUUCGAAUCAAUGAGUUCUUUGAUUUUCACGGCACCCCUGACCAGUUACGCCUUCGUAUUGUAUCUUUUCACAUGGAGGGAAAAGCAGCAGCAUGGUAUCAAUGGAUGAAGGCCAACAACUUGCUGAGCACUUGGCAGAAUUUUUUACUCAAUCUUAAGCAAAGAUUUGGUACAUCCAUGUAUGAAGAUCAUCAAGGUAACCUCUCCAAGCUCUCCCAAACGUCGACUGUUGCUGAUUUUCAGUCUGCCUUUGAGGAUUUGAUGAACAAGGUCACGAGCAUCUCCGAGCCAUUGUUGGUUAGUUUCUUUAUCACGGGCUUAAAACCCGAUAUCAGACGAGAAUUAUUAUUUGCAAGACCCACAUCUCUCAUGGAGGCUUUUGCUUUAGCCAAAGCUUAUGAGGCACGGUCGGAAGAAAUCAAGACCUCUAGCCAUUCUUGGACAAAGUGGACACCCUCAUCUACUCACACCCACCAAUCCACCAUUACUGCCUCCCCACAACCUGCAUCAUAUAAAACCCCAACAACAACUCCUCUUCCUAGUUUUUCAGCCACUAAACAGCCACCUCAACCCCCAUUAUUGCCUACUCCCACCUUGCCCAUUCGUCGAUUAACUCCAGCCGAAUUAAGAGAGAAAAGAGAAAAAGGGCUCUGUUACAACUGCGACCAAAAAUAUAGCGCCACACAUCGCUGUUGUAGCAAGUUUUUGUUAUUAAUGGGUAUGGAUGAUGAAGAUGAUGAGCCAAGUAAGGACGCUUUUAGUCAUGCACAACCAGAUGAAGUAGUCACAGCGGACAUAUCUAGUUUGAAUGCCUUGGCUGGGCAAACUAAUCCACGAUCUUUAAGGGUGCUGGGCACCGUUGCCAGCUAUCAGUUUCAGGUGUUAAUUGACAGUGGCAGUACCCACAAUUUCCUUAAGCCACCAUUGGCUGAACGCCUUGGCCUUUCCGUUCAAGCUAUACCUCCUUUUCGAGUCUACAUUGGCAAUGGCGAUUUUCUUACUUGUCGAUUUCUCUGUCCUAAAGUGCCUAUUAAUAUGCAGGGGCAUGAAUUUCUUUUGGAUUUAUUCCUUUUGCCAAUCGAAGGCCCUGAUGCUGUCCUUGGGAUUCAAUGGUUACAAAGCUUGGGAAGAAUUUCUACGGAUUACUCCGAGAUGACGAUGGAGUUUCAAUGGGAGGGAAAAUCUAUCAUUUUACGGGGAGACCCAAUUCCAAACCCGAAUUUUAUCUCUUUUAACCAGUUUCAUGCCUUGUUAUCUAACUCCAAAAUCGACAGCUUAUUUGAACUUCAUUCUUUACCAACUGAGCCAUCAGCCACUCACACAUCUACCAACACAUUGCCGGAUAAUGACUUCGAAUUUCUGAGGUCGUUGCCUAAACCAAUUACUACUCUCUUAAAAAAAUUUAAGGCAUUAUUUGAUCCACCCACUGGUCUUCCCCCUCAACGGCUAUUUGAUCACAAAAUACACCUCAUUCCCAAUUCCAAACCAGUCAACGUUCGCCCCUAUCGGUAUCCUUAUUUUCAGAAAACCGAAAUGGAGAAAUUGGUGAGAGAAAUGUUAAAUCAAGGCAUCAUAAAACCCAGCCAAAGCCCGUUUUCUUCACCGGUAAUGCUAGUAAAGAAAAAGGAUGGCUCAUACAGAUUCUGUGUGGAUUACCGCGCUGUGAAUGCAGUGACGGUGAAGGACAAAUUUCCCAUCCCCACCAUUGAUGAACUAUUUGACGAACUUGGCGGUGCUAGGAUUUUCAGCAAACUUGAUCUAAGAGCCGGUUAUCACCAGAUAAGAGUUCACAAGAGGGAUACUUAUAAAACAGCGUUUCGCACGCAUGAUGGACACUAUGAGUUUCUUGUUAUGCCGUUCGGUUUGACCAACGCGCCGUCCACUUUUCAAGCAACAAUGAACCAACUAUUCGCUUCCUUUUUACGUAAAUUUGUUAUUGUCUUUUUUGAUGAUAUCUUGGUCUAUAGUGCAUCAUUGGCUGAACAUGUGCAUCAUUUGGAGCAGGUCAUGAGUUGUUUAUACACAUCUCAAUUUUAUGUCAAAUUCUCCAAUUGUUUAUUUUGUCAGGAAUCAAUUGAUUAUUUGGGCCAUAUUGUGUCGACUCGAGGAGUGCAUGCUGAUCCGCAAAAGAUCACAGCCAUGGUAGAUUGGCCCUUGCCUAAAUCGGUGAAGCAACUGAGAGGGUUCUUGGGGCUGACAGGGUACUACCGACGUUUUAUUCAAGGCUAUGCAACCAUCGCAGCUCCUCUCACUGAGUUGCUUUGUAAGGAGGUUUUUCAUUGGAACCUGGCAGCUACUCAAGCUUUUCAAGCAUUAAAGAAGGCUCUUGUGGAAGCCCCUGUACUACACUUGCCGAAUUUUGCCUUGGAGUUUGUCAUUGAGACCGAUGCUUCUAAUGUCGGGAUCGGUGCUAUGCUAAUGCAAGCCGGGCAUCCGCUAUCUUAUUUUAGCAAAAAGUUGGGUCCUCGAAUGCGUGCAUCCUCAACAUAUUUGAAGGAAUUAUAUGCUAUUGUAGCUGCAGUUCAAAAAUGGCGUCAAUACCUCCUUGGCAGAUUUUUCCUUAUACGAACUGACCAUAAAAGCAUAAAGGAAUUGUUUCAACAAGUUAUUCACACCCCAGAGCAGCAAUUUUACAUUCGUAAGUUGAUGGGAUAUCAAUUCAGAAUCGAUUAUAAAGCUGGUACCUUCAAUAAAGCUGCUGAUGCUUUAUCGCGAAUUCAUAGGGACAACGUGACUGAAGAACCCAAACCAACAACUCUUUGUUUGUCGUUUGUAAGCCAACCUUCUAGUGAACUAUUGACAAAUCUGCACAAGGAAAAUUGCUCUCUUCCUGAUAUGAAACAACUCCAUCAGAGGUAUGCAGCCGGUUCACUUUCUUCUGCCUUCUCAGUUCAAGAAGGGUUCCUGCUAUUUCAACAUCGAUAUUACCUCAGCCCCAACUCAUCAUUAAAAGCCGUGCUACUCAAAGAGUUUCACGAGACACCUAUGGCAGGCCAUGCUGGUAUUAAAUAGACAUUGGUACGUCUUUCAUCGACUUUCUUUUGGCCUAAGAUGAGGGAAGAUGUUGAGCAACAUGUAGCUGCUUGCCUUGUUUGCCAGCAAAUUAAAUACUCAACUCAAGCGCCGGCGGGUCUAUUACAACCCUUGCCUGUCCCUUCAUUAGUUUGGGAUGAGUUAACCAUGGAUUUCAUUACAGGGCUGCCACUUUCGAGAGGAUUUGAAGCAAUUCUAGUUGUUGUGGAUCGUUUAUCAAAGUCAGCUCACUUUGGAGCCUUGCCUUCUCAAUUUACUGCCAUCAAAACAGCAGCUUUAUUUGCUGACAUGGUUGUAAAAUUACAUGGAUUUCCUAGCUCUAUAAUUUCAGAUCGUGAUCCUAUAUUCAUGAGCAACUUUUGGCAGAAAUUGUUUGAUUUAAAUGGUACACAGUUACGGCACAGCACGGCUUACCACCCCCAAAGGGAUGGUCAAUCCGAAGUAGUUAAUCGAGGGCUUGAGCAAUAUUUACGAGCCUUCUCACAAGAUAAGCCACAGACAUGGUCUUCAUUUUUAGGCUGGGCUGAAUUUUGCUACAAUACCAGUUAUCACAGCAGCUUGCGAAUGACUCCCUUUCAAGCCCUUUAUGGUCGUUUUCCUCCCACAAUUCCAAGUUACUCAAGGGGCUCUACUUCAAUCCAAGCUUUAGAAGACAUGUUAAUUGAGAGGGAUGCCAUGCUUUGCUCAUUGAAAGAGAACUUACGACAAGCUCAGCAUCGAAUGGCUCAAAAGGCUAAUUUACAUCGCCGAGAAACUCAAUUGCAGGUAGGUGAUAAAGUGUUGGUGCACCUUCAGCCAUAUCGCCAGACAUCAGUUGCUAAGCGCUCAUCUCAUAAGCUGGCAAGGUGCUAUUAUGGACCAUUCACAGUGGUAGAGCGUAUUGGACCCGUUGCUUACAAGUUAGAGUUACCCACAAAUUGUAGAAUUCACCCGGUGUUCCAUAUUUCCUUACUAAAACCUUAUGUGGGAAACUCCCCCAUUGAUGUUUAUUCACUGCCUCCAGGAAGUGUGGAUAACAAGCCCUUGUCAUCACCAAUUGCAGUAUGUGCUGAGCGAAAGAUACUUCGACAAGGCAAAGAAAUUCCACAAAUUUUGGUGCAAUGGUCUGAUAGCUCACCAGAAAAUUCAACUUGGGAGGACUUUGAGGAAUUUCGUAAACUCUACCCUGCACUACACCGUGAGGACAAGGUAAGCUUUCAAGGAAUGGGGAAUGAUACAACCUGGCCAAUUGUUGUGAAUCAGAUCGAGCACAAUGAGACAGCAAGGGAAGAGACCCAGCCUGCAGAAAUGGAAGAAGUCCAACCCGUGAAUGAGACACAAGCUAGAGAGCAGCUCAAGACAGGUUCAGCUCGCGCGAGAAAGAAACCAGGAUGGCUCAAAGACUUUGUCAUUUGAGGAAUGUUCGAGAAUGCUUGAGAGAUUAUAAUAACGAAUAUUGUUUUGUUUUCAAUUAUUAUUUUGUUGUUAUCAAUUUUAUUCUAUUUUAGUUAGUUAAGGGUGCAUGGCUGUUUUUGGGAGAGAGAAUAUAUUGUACUGUCAAAGGGACCCAUGAGGGAUAUCAAAAAAGAAUAUAUCAUUUUGUCUUUUUUCAGCUUCGUCUUCUUUCUCUUCUCUGCAAUUCCCCUGUCCCUUUUCUCUUUCUGCAAAUUCUUUUCCCCACAGAUUGGAGCCUGCACUCGCUUAAAGAGUGUCGUAUCACAGUGCUGGCCAAGAAAUGAAGAAUAAAGCAACAUAGGAAUCAGUUAAAGCUAAUAGAACUGUUGUUGGUUUAGACCAGAAAGAGGAGGGUUGUCAAGCCCAGCAGGUUAAACCAUAUCCCAAUCUUUGUGGAUCAAAACAGGAAGCUUCCACACUACCAGCAGGUUCUGGAGAGCUCAUGUUGACGAGUUCAAAGAAACCCCAUGGAUUGGAGUUGUGCCCUCUGUCAGGUCAGUACUACUAGCAAGAGAGAUCUAGAUGAGCAUCUUCACGGCAAGAAGCACAAGGCCAGGAAGAAGGACUACUUGGAGAUGAGAAGAUGUGCAGUAACUCCACUUCAAAAAACUCUACUGAGCAGAGAUAGUGCUGGCCAGGAAAUUAAGGCUACUCUAGAAGAGGAAUCAGUUAAACCUAAUAAAAAUGUCGUUGAUUUAGACCAGAAAGUGGACUGUGGUCAAGAUGAGCAUCUUAAACGGAGCUAAUUGGAGCUCAGAAGAUGUGCACUACCUCAUCUUCAACAAUGUCAAGGCUGCUCAUUAUUCAAGCAGCUUGGUGAAGCCACGUCAGCAGAAGGUUGUUAGUGAAGAAUAACAGCUCAGCGUGAUUAGUCAAGUGUUAGCGAUCCAGCUCAUAAAAGUUAGUUAGUUAGUUAGUGAGUUACUAAGCAAUUCUCACGUGUAAGGAAUAAUAUAAAUACUUGUACUGAUUUGUAAAAGUUCUUAUGAAUCGAAUCUUAUCCAAUACCAGUAUUGAGAAUUUUCUCUGUGAUUUUCUAUUCAACCAAACAGCACAUCUCUGUUUUCUUUCAAACAACAUCAAAAGAAUCUGGAAAGACAAUUAAGCUUACCGAAAGUAGAGAUAGCUCCAGCCAAGAAAUCAAAGCCUAAACAGAAUCAGUUAAAGCUAUUAAAACUGUUGUGGGUUUUGACCAGAAUGUGGGGGGCGAAGAAGAUUCAGAGAACAAAAAUGAGGAGCUGCCAAAGAAGAAGGCGUUGAAUACAAUCACUCAGAAGACAACAAAUGGAAUACCAACUGGAGGGACGAUGAGGAGAAAACUUCCCCUUAGAGAGAACUUCGAAUUCUGGUGUGAAGUUUUUCAGGUUGGUACUCACUCCGCUGUUGUGAUGGAGGGUCAUAAAAGGGGGAAGAAACACAUGGCUCGGUCUAAUGGAUCCAGGAAAAAUAAUGAGGCUGUCCCCCUCACUACCCCCACUACAAUUGUGACACCAUCAGAGCCUACUGAGAAUGUUGAAGAUGAAGAUGCGGUGGCCCAAGAAUGAAAUGAAGAAACCGCAGAGAGUGUCAUUGAGAAGGCUGAAGAUGAAGAGGUGGUGGUCUAUAGAGGCAGAUAAAGUGAGCCUGAUGCAGCAGACUCCUUAUUAUGCUGAAGGUAAAGCUCUUAACUUUUAUUUUUCUCUUGCGCUCCAUUUUGAAUGUCUUAAAUUUCAAUGAACCAGCAGCGUGUUACUUUAUCAUUUUAAAACUCAGAAAUUACAAUAAUAAAUUUAAGUUCAUUCUUCCAUCUCGUCAUAUAUAGAUUUGAAGGUACUGAAUGAUGAAGCCUGUAAAUUCAAGCAACAAUACUGUAAUGGGGAUCAUGUGUUGUUCUCUACUCUCCAGUCGUUGGUAAAAAGCUCAAAAAAUGAAAACCAGACACUGUUAGAUCAACCAUUUGAAAGUGCUUCAUAUAUGCAUGAUUAUGACAUUGGACUCUUCGGCCCAAUGCAAAUUUUUCUUGAUCAUGACCUGACGUUAGUUUAUCUUGUGCUGGCAGGUAGUUGGUGGGAUAUCACUAACCACAACUUAUGCAGAAGCUUCCUAACAUCAGCCGUGGGUCCAGGAUGUUUGAUCGGAUCGGCUAAAUUAAAAUUUUUUUGUAUAUGUUUGUGUGAAUAUUUACAAAGGAGUGAAAAAACUAAUAUAUAUUAAAUAACGCGACAUUAAGAACCUCGUUCUGAAUAAAGUUUAUGUAUAUAAUUUGUAAAAUAAACUAAUAAUUAAAAUAACAAUUUACCCUUUUAACUCGUACAGAUACAACCGUAAAUUCCUUAUUUAAUUCAGCUCAUUCAGAGGGAGACAAUUAGACAAAACUUAUUUUAUCAGAGUGAACUGCGAAAGUACUAGCUUAACCAGAGAGAUUAAUGUCGUAGUUUGCACAUUUGUUUAAUUGCAAUUCAACAUAUAUAGGAAGUGAACGUGAAAAUAGAAUUAAUAAUACAUUGCAAGUACCUAAUAAUUUCAGAACCAAUUAACAGUCACCUUUAUUGGAAAAAUCCAUUAUGAUUAGAAGCAAUCCCAUCACAUGCAUGAACAGUUAAAUAUACGCAUCCAUAAUUAGAUAUCACAUUAAUCAACCAAAUACAUUUCUUGGUUUCUAAGCUCCAAAAUUGAAAUUUCAUGAAAAGGUUUCUGCAUCAGUGCCUUAUUGCGAGCGAUAAAUUCGUUGGACACGAGUUGCAUUGUAGGUCGAGACUUUGGUUGAGAACGCAAGCAUGAAAAUGCUACUGUUGAAACAAGAAUGACAUCCUGCCUAAUCUUUUGAUCCACCGGAGGUGAGAGGCGGGGGUCCAGCAAAUCAAUUAGCUUAAUAUUUUUAUCCAAUGACCAAGAGGACGAUGAGAGGAUCUCUUCUGGAUGCUUUCCCAUUAGU